GGUCGCCCUGCGCGACCUGGUGGGCAAGAAGCGUGCCUUUGUCGUCACCGACAAGCCGCUGUUCGAUUUGGGCUUUGCGGACAAGGUGACUCGAAUUCUGGACACGAUCAACGUUCACCACCAGGUCUUCUACCACGUGACCCCAGAUCCAACGCUGGCCUGCAUCAACGCCGGCUUGAGCGAGAUCCUGGAGUUCAAGCCCGACGUGAUUAUCGCUCUGGGUGGUGGCUCGCCCAUGGACGCGGCAAAGGUACGCAAUGUGGGGAUUGACGGCAAAUGAAAAAGUGCAUUUUGUCUUGGUUAAUGAAUCCCCACACAUUGUGGACUUCCUGCAUUAUGCAAACAGCUGCUAUGACGGAUAAAGAUCCUCAUCCAGUGAGAUUCCUGACAGGUUUUGUGUUUCAGACGGUGUUGUGACGGUGUUGUGACGGUGGGUUGUUAUGACGGUGAUCACCCUUGGAUGCGCACGACUAAUCUGCUUGUAGAUCAUGUGGUUGAUGUACGAGUGCCCGGAGACCCGGUUCGAUGGCCUGGCGAUGCGCUUCAUGGAUAUCCGCAAGCGCGUUUACGAGGUUCCGGAGCUGGGCAAGAAGGCCACCAUGGUGUGCAUCCCCACCACCAGCGGCACCGGCUCCGAGGUGACGCCCUUCUCCGUGGUUACGGAUGAGCGAUUGGGAGCCAAGUACCCUCUGGCCGGUGAGGAAAAGACUUGCGAGGCCGUUUCCUGCGUAGGAGAGUGUUUAUUUGGUUGGAUUUUGCGCUCCCUGCAUUUUUCGACAAGGGGCCCCGUACGCAACAGCAUUAGGUGUAUUAUUGGCUACUUUCGUUGGCGCGUGCAGAAACAAAUCAUUCUGUUCUGCCCGGCCGUAAUCCCUCGCUUUCCAGAUUACGCUCUGACGCCCAACAUGGCGAUCGUGGACCCUCAGCUGGUUCUCAACAUCCCCAAGAAGCUCACCGCCUGGGGCGGCGUUGACGCGCUCACCCACGCCUUGGAGAGCUACGUGUCCAUCUGCGCGACAGGUGGGUGACGGUGGUGGUUGUGAGUUGUGGGUGGUUUUGAUGGUGAUGAUGGUCACCGGCCGGUGUGUGUUCAGGAAUGUGCAGAGCAUGUGCUCCGCCGCGGGGUUUCCGUCUGACGUUGGUGUCCGGUAUUGUUGUGUGAGUUUGGCAUGUGUCAUGUUUCGGAUGAUGGCCCUACAGCUGGCCAACCAACAUUCCUUGGGUUCUUUGCCCCAUACACAUACAGAGUACACUCGCGGCCUGUCCCGCGAGGCCAUCUCGCUGCUGUUCAAGUACCUGCCGCGGGCCUAUGCCAACGGUGCGAACGACUACGAGGCGCGUGAGAAGGUGCACUACGCGGCCACCAUCGCCGGCAUGGCCUUCGCAAACGCGUUCCUGGGCAUUUGCCACUCCAUGGCGCACAAACUGGGUGAGCCUCCGCUGCUAAGGAUUACACUCCUGCUUUUCCUUCGUUGUGUCGUGUCUUAGUCCUCGGGACAUAGAAAUAGCGGUGCUGUCGUUGUGCAUAAGUGUUUUGCCUGGGGGGGGAGGGGCCCGUAGCACAGGAAACCAUGUUGAAUGCCGGCUUCGGUCCACGCGGUCAUUCGCUGCCUAACCCUGCUGUUUCAUCAUCUUGCUGCUGCAGGCGCCGCCUUCCACGUGCCUCACGGUCUUGCCAACGCGGCCCUCAUCAGCCACGUGAUUCGCUACAACGCCACCGACAUGCCCGCCAAGCAGGCGGCCUUCCCGCAGUACCAGUACCCCAACGCAAAGCACCAUUACGCGGAGCUGGCGACCAUGCUCAACCUAGGUGGCGAGACGGACGACGAGAAAGUACGUUGCAUCAACGUUGCAUACUCUAUUCCGUAGGCUUUCUCUAGGAAUCCCAGGAGAGCUGUUGCCACCGUUCUGAUGUGUCUGUUGCAUGCUCCUGGCGGCGUGCACCGUAUGUACGUGUGAUUGUCGAACAUGGCAUGUCCACAUAAAUAGUGUAUAUGAAUACAUUUUAUCCAGACCGCCUUUUGUUUCCAUUACACCAGGUAAUUAAGUUGAUUGAGGCUGUUGAGGAUCUCAAGAGGAAAGUUGACAUUCCGGCUACCAUCAAGGAGAUUUUCAACGACCCGGCCAAGGACGAUGAGUUCCUGCAGCGGGUGGACAUGUAAGUGAACUGUACAUCCGUCCGGUGCCCUUUGGUGCCCCGGGGAUAUCGCUCUUUCCUAGUGACCGAUGGCUGGGAAAAUAUGUAUUAUACCCGGAAGCGUUGGUUGCUCGUGGCUUCUCUUGAUGGAGAAGGGUUUUUUGGCUACGUAUGGAAACAUGUGCUGCUUUGCGCAUCUGUCUGCAGGCUUGCGGAGGACGCUUUCGAUGAUCAGUGCACGGGCGCGAACCCGCGCUACCCGCUCAUUGCCGAUCUAAGGCAGAUGCUCCUGGACGCUCAUCAUGCGCCAAUUCUGCCCCUGAAGUCUCUGGAGUUCUUCAGCAAGGUUUAAUAUCAUUGAGACACGUGUGAAGCAGCUGUGUGUUCCCGAGUGAUGAGGAGAGGAGCGAGAACAUGCUCUCGCAGGUUUUACUUGCGGACCUGCAUCGGUGUUCUUUGAAUGUUAGGAAGAAUUUUGUGUGAAUUGUAAUUGUACCUGUGACUUGGGUUUAUGCGUUGUACUGUCGCGUGUCUAUCGUUCGGAGUAAAGGUGUCCUAUGUCUUAAGCUGCUACUGCAGCAACCGUAUCAUUACGUGCUGUUCUGUACGUCAGCACGUUAAGCGUUACGAGGUUUGCACUGAAUUCUUUAGCGAGCACUUUCGCGUGAGGGAAAAUUGGUACAUUGCCUCGCCUUCACGCACGUGCGUGUGCUGAUAGGGCUCUGCAGUUCACAGGCGAUGAGCUAUAGCAUGUUCAAGGUGACUCAAUAACGUGAUUGCGGUGUUCACGCACGCUUUGGCUUCCCUAGGCUCCUUGCAUUUGCAAUUGUAACAAAAUCAACAAGCUCACUAAUAAUAGAUGGUCCAUAUAUUCCCUUCAACACCGUCUGCAAUUGUAACGAAGCAUAUGAAGAUGUGCAGUCCCUACGGAUUGUAAUCCCUACGGAUGACCAUAGGAGGAAUGUACCAACACGGUAUCACGUGACGCCUUGCCAACAGUUUAACCCCUGGUUGGCUCACAUGCGCUGUCGUACAUCGGGUGAUAGGAUGGCAGAAUAAACGCUACGGCCACGGCAACGAACACGGUGAGCACGUCGUCACCAGUGAAGAAGAAAUUGUGCCGACAGCAACCUUUCUCCUGUACAACACCUUGUACGGUCCUUCUAUGUAGAACGACUGCUAUCCUUCAACAUAUAGUAGCUGACCGCUGAAAAGGCCUCCAGAGGUGUUUGGUGAAGCGCGCGCGCUUCUCGACGCGCGUCGCGCGUAUUUGUAGAUGAUAUGUGUGCGGUACUGUGUAUCAGAGAGUACAGCUCAACAUACCGAGGCACGCCGCAGGGUUCCAGCGUGUGCGUUACGGUGAGGUACGGUGCUGCUCAUAAUCUCCCGCGAUUGGUCUUCUAUCAACCAGCUAAAGGGCGCCCCGGGAGCCUUACAAUAUAUACUAGACACGCAGAGCAAUAUACCUCUAUAUUGCUACUAUAUAUAUGCUGCACUUGUACGGCACAUGCACGGCAACCGUGCGGCGGCAGCUUGCUACCAAAAUACAACAUAUAUCAAACAUACUAUCACAUUACGAUGCACAUAGCCCUGCUCUGCCCCGGUGCCUCCUAAAAAUUCAACGACAACGCCGUUUAGUACCGGAUCUUCCGCCGCCCAUUAUAGCGACGGCAGUGAUUGCAGCACGAACACGUCCUGGUCUAGCGACACCUACUGUGGGCGGAGCAGGAGGAUAAAGUGAUGGAGCUAUAGGGAAAACAUUCAAGGCUCCUGAAGAGCCUCCCCCCCCGAACCAGCGAACCAGCGAACAAGUCGACAGGAGCACAGGAGCAACUGCAACGUCAACCACCAUAGCCACCGCAGCAAUCACAACAAACAUAACACAGUCCCUAAGGCACUGAUUGGGUCAGUAACCCAUGGGUUACCCAUCUUCAACCCCCGGUAGCCCUUUGGUAACCCCCUUGUAAGUUCCUACCCAGCAGGAGGGGUAACACGGCCCCAGGGUAAACCCCUCCGUUGCCCUGGACUAUGGACAUAUGUAUGGGCCUAUAGGCUACUCGUCUUAUAUGCUUCCCACAUCGUAAAUUCCGCUUAAGGAUACUUCUAAAAAUGUAAACGUUAGCAACCUACAGUAUCGUGGUAUCUCGGGAAGCAUUUCAACCUUAAGGUCUCUAAUGCUAGCAUCACACACGCAAGAAAUAAGCAAUAAGUACCUAUGUCUUGGCCUGUUUGGCUUGUAGAUGAGUACAGGAGAGGGGCGAAUGCUGGCAACACACACGCAAGUCGACGACAGGUCUUCAUUAAAUGGAUGCCUUUGGUUGUCAUCCAAUGUUAUAUAAUAGUUGUCAUUGUGAAACAUCAGGCAGUCAGUCCUGAGGUCGGCCGACAUAUUACCGGCCGGGGGUGGUCGUACGCAUAUGUGCAUGCUGCUUUACCUCCAUUGAUACUCCUGACAAGCACUUUCAAGCUGAAUCACAGCUAAUUAGCUUGUAAGCUCAUAUAGUUUGGUCUUUUAAUUAGACGGACAUGCUACAAUAAGCGAUGACCACUAUCACGAAUUCAGUCAAUCAUAUUCACUGCUGGCAUUGUUCCUAUUGACCAUAGAUACAAUGCACACAUAUAAUCCACGUUGCAAUACUGGUGCGUAUGGCGGCAAAAAUGGUGGCGUUCUAGCGUUCGCGCGCGCGGACCACCACAACAAGACCGUUGACUGUCUUUCUGCAGCACAGGCCCACACUUAUGGUGCACCUCAUUUAGCAAGACAUCCAGUGACAUCCGAGGAUUUUUACCUGAGGGUGCCUUACACUUCGCCGGGUGUGACCGUGUUCGGGGUGUCGGAUCUCCCGCCCAAGACCUUUGACGCUCUUAGGAGAGCCUGCUCUGAAAAUGAGCAGACUCUGGAUAGUGUUGCAUAGGUCGUGCGUAGAGCUGGAAGUAGCAGGUCGGGACGGGGCACUUAAGCUACUGGCCGACCUUAAGGUAAUGUAAGCUUACAUUGCCGCCCGUUGGCUGGUCCGCGAGUUUUAGGUCUUGGGUCCGGAGCGGCGGUAAGUGCCUGGACCUUUUGAUAGGAAUAUUUAUUGGCUUCACUGGCGGCUUCUCGCUGGCGGCGGUCCCCAAUUUGCUCUGCCUACGUACGCCUCUUCGUCCUCCUCCUUGCAUCUAGGCUGCAGCUGUGUGCCUUACCCUUAGGUCUAGGUUUCUACACAAGGCAUGUUUUGGUGCGUCAAUGUUGAUAAUUGGGCAUUCACAAGUGAUUGGUGAAGACAUGUAUGUUUGCGUGUGUAGACAGGCGAGACAGGUGCAGGUGAAUGUAAACAUGGGUUACCCUGUCUGUUACCCAUCAGUAGUGUAUUACCCCGACCCCUUUGUUACCCCUCAGUAAGGGGUUACCCCUACCCCGGGGUUAGGUUACCCACCUCCCUUCGUACAUAGCCACAUGGGUAACCCCUAACCCUACACCCUGGGUUACGCUUAAGGGGGGGUUACCCCCCGUUUUAUGCCAUAGGGAGUUUGAGACCGCAGAUGCAACAGCAGCAAAUGCAGCAUCAACUGUCGUCGAAGCCAUCGCAACAACAGACCACGCAAUUGCAGGUAACGAAGCUGCAACAGGGACAGUUGGAGCCAGUGCAGCAAUAUCCUGCCUCAUUACCAGCUGGCCUGCUGGCUCUACUCUUCGUGAGUCUAGAGCCCACUGCAACAACCAUACACACAUUUUCAUCAAAAGCAUCGUGGUGCAGAGCAGCGCGUGCGUGCGUGCGUGCGCUGCUAUGUAAGCGUCAUUAAUUGCUGCCAUGAUGCAUGGAGCACACCGGCCUAGUGGCCGCCAGGCCGGUAACGAGCGACCCAUAAGGUUCUUUAUCGUGCCCGUCUCAAACAUUCAACGAACAGAAGAACAGAAAAAAACACAUUACCCAAACUUUGCACCUAAAUUUCUACCACUUGGUUGGUGCUGCUGGACGCUGUGCCUGGUCGUUCGGCGGCCCCAGGCUGGAUCCGCCGCCUUGGACUUACAGUUCGUAUGGCGAAGUACAGUGUGGUAGUGGUGGAUGGUGCUAUAAAUCGUAGAACUGACAAUGUGAUAAAGCGGCCCAGAAGCCUCCCACUCUGUAACAUUACAAAUACAAAUUACAUACCUACUAAGCGCGGAAAAGAGCUUAUACUUAUAACGGCACUUAGCGAUAAACGCUACCCCUGCUAUCUGUUCCAGACACUUGCAGUUGCCGUACAUGCUUUGCGUCGGGUCACCAGCGAUACGACCUUCCCUGGCGUAUUAGGACAAUUCCUUGCUAUGGCAAGAACUAUAACCCCGCCGCCCGCAAAGUCCAUUCAAGAGAUGUGUGUCCACGUUCGCAGGACGAGAUCUCGGUUUAUGAUUUCGGUUAUAGUUGCGCUUAUUCCGCUUACGAGCCUGAGCAGAGCUGACGACCGGCAAACCGAGUCCGACACCAAAUAACGAAAAAUCGCUCUCCGUCAGGGCUAAUUUGCAACCGGAAGACGUUGGGAAGCAAAGCGGCCGUGGAUGUUAUUAGAACAGUCAUAAGGGACGCAUCAGCCAAUUAUAAAUCUGUCAAAGUGUAGCACUAUAGUCUGAAGUCUAGUCGAACCGUAAAACCGUAAAACUGUAAAACAUAAAAACACCUCUGGCUCCACGCGCGCACACACACACAUAUUUGGCACACGCGCACACCAUCUUUUUACCUCAUGACAAUUUCAAUAAUAAGCCCGUAAGCCCGUAAAAACCACGAUCCUUUAUCUUCUUGGGCAGUUGCCGCAUCGCGCUGUUUUGGCAUGCGUUAAUAUAAGCAUGAUGCUCAGGGUCAGAUAUGUAGGAAAUGCUACUGCUGGUACUGCAGCUAAUAAUACAGUUUUCUGCUGCUGCUGCUGCUGCUGCGGCGGCGGCGGCGGCGGCUGCUGAGUUUUAUUGCCGCCUUUUUAUUGCUUUUUAUUGCAGCGUGCGACUUUAUGAUGGCAGCAACGCUACCGCUGUCUGGUUCGCGUCACGGGAAAAGGAGGCUUGCGAAAUGUAUCUGGGCACUUGGGGCAAAAAAUAAUUUUUUUUGGCCCCCGAUUAUUCCGCUACCGACGUCUGAAACUGCCGUCUUGAGAUGCAUCAUGCAGUCACAGUCGACAGUCACAUCCUUUUCUCUCCCUUACGUAAUCGGCGCAUGCGCCACCUUAUUGUCGCUAAAGAUUGAGUUGGCGAGCGGCGCCCAUUGCUGCUGCCACCGCUCACGUAAGGAGGCUGAGGACUGCAGUCUCGGCCGGUCCGCACCUCCGUUGCGUGCGCUGCCGCCGCCGCCGCCGCCGCCGCCUUCUUUUCCCCCACCCUCCGACGGCGCCUCAGUCCCCAGCGGCCCCUGCGUCCCUUCCUUCAAAUUAGGUUCGCUGCCAGUUGGCCGGUUCUUCAACUGCAUCGACCGCCGGAACGACCGUAAUGCGGCCGUCAGGCCGCCGGUAGCGGAGCCUAUCCUGAUCGAGUUGCUUCUCCUGCUCUUAAGGCUGCUACUGCUGGUGCUGCUCCGGGCGACGGCGGCGGAAGCGGCGGCGGCGGAAGCGUCCUCCUGCAGCCCCGCCCGCGUCGGCGACCAAAUGUACGGCCACCGCUCCACCUGCCCGUCCGUCGACUUGACCUUCUUCAGCCUCGGGGCGCCGUACGGCACCAGAACCCGCUGGCUGCCGGUUCUCCAGUAUUGCUCCAUGGCGCUCCGAAGCCGGGCACGCCAGCCCCUUCGUGCGGCGUCAAGCACGAACAUGUUACUGCGCCUGCUCCUGUCGCCGUCGGCGGCGGCGGGCGGCGGCGGCUUGGGUGACGGCGGCGCCGGCGCCGGCUUCGGAGGUGGCGGCGGCUUCAGGCCGUCGUUGCUGCUUGCCGACGCAUAGUGCAUGGCGGCGGCGAUGAGGUUUGUCGAGGUACUUGCAGCAGCUCCCGGACUGGGCCGAAACUGUGGAUCAUCUUCACCGCCGCCGACGCCGCCGACGCCGACGCCGCCCCCGCUGCCGACACUCCUCCUGCGCUGCUCCUCGCCACCUGCCGCCGCUAGCUGGAAUGCCUGGAUCGGAUCCAACGAAACGUCCUUUGAGGUUUGUGAUGCCGGUACGUUGCAGGCCGUCGUGCCCCGAAAUCCGGCGGUGGCUUCCGCUCCAGCGGCGUCGGCGGCAACACAAGUAACGGUAGCAGCAGCGCCGGCGGCAGCAGUCGAGCGGCCGAGCCGAGGGCCCUUGGACCGGGAAGCCGCCUUCGGCGGCGGCGGCAUUAUGCCCCUCCCGCUGCUGCCGAUAUCAUCCCCGCUGUACGGCAGGACAGCAUUUAUGCUGAACCGCGAAGCGGCAUUUCGGUUGGCAGGGCCCGGUGUUAUUGACGGCGAUGGCGGCGACAUCGAGCAUGCUACUGCGGUGGUGGCGCCGUCACCGGCAUCGUUGUGCUGUGGAGUACCCCCGCUGCCGCUGCCGCAACAGUUACCUUCACCUCCUCCUCCUCCUCCUCCUCCUCCUCCGCCGCCGCCGCCGCCGCUGCCGCUGCCACGGCCGCUGUAGCUGCAUCUUCCCGCUGCUGACGAUACAUGGUCCUCAAGGAGUCCGGUUUCGAAUCCUUUCCGGUUCACAUGAUAAUUAUCUUUUUCCUCAGCUGUGGCUGAUGGCCAUGGGUGCGGCGGGGGGGCUUCCUGCGCCGGCAACGUCAUCGACAGGCUGCACUGGCCUUUGCUGCAACUGCCAACCAAGUGUGGACACCGGUAGUCGGACACCGACCAGCUGCUCAGGUCGUCUGGUCGGAGGUUGUUAGAGGCUAUUGGAUGUUGGGGUGCCGAUGACGAUGAUCCCGUCCUGCACACUGCUCGAUCAGGCACAGCGAAGAGUGAGGAAAAGCCAAGUGAAGGGAUCCGAAGGGGUCCGAAGGAGAACGCGGGGUUCCGUCGGGGAGCGAAGAGGAUGGCGAAGAGAGCGGUGGGAGAUGCGAGGGGGGACGGUGUGUUUUUGACACCAACAGCUAUUGUCUACGGAUCGCUCGCACGCGUAAGAUGUUACAGUACGGCGCCGGACGGCGAUGGCAACGCCUUAGCAGGCAGCAACCUCAUGACGAGUCCAACCAGCGACACGAUAUCCCGCCCGUACCCUCCACCCAGCCCAGCCCAGCCCAGCCCAGCCCAGCCCAGCCCAGCCCAGCCCAGCCCAGCCCAGCCCAGCCCAGCCCAGCCCAGCCCAGCCCUAUCUUACCAGGGCGCAUCUUGUUACUCCGGUGAUGUCGCAGCACUGACAGCAACUUGGGCAGUCCCGACGUCGCUGACGUCGCCGCCGCUGCGCCCAUGAUGGUGGCGGCGGCGGCGUCAGCGGUGCCGGCGGCGUUGCGCCGCGACACCGACGACGACGAUGACAACCUCCUUGACUUCGAAGCAGUCAACGAGCGCGCGCGCACGGCAGAUUUACGGUUCCUGGGCAUGUCGGUAUUGCUGCCAGCCGCGUGGCCCUCCGCCGCCAGCGCACUUGGGCCUUUCGGGGGGCCUGGCGGGCGGUGUGCAACUCCGCGAGGCGGGGGCCGGUAGGAGAGGCCAUGUAUGGUCUGGUACCGCAGACACUACAAAAGCAAAAUUAAACGGGUGGGUUGGGCGGGCGUACAUACAUACCGACAUUACUAGGGUUUGGCACCACUGGUAAGGCGCGACCAUUGCCCCCGGGAGAUCCCGGGAUCGAUACCCCUUAGGGUCAAAAGUCCUUCCGAUGGUGGAAGGCAUUGCGCCCCUAGUUGAUGGACGGUGGUGACCUGGGAUAAAGUUAACCUGCGAGCCGACCAGGAAUGGAGUUGCGCCGCUGUCGACCCGGCAGAUUCCGUUGGAUGCUGGUGGUGGGUGCGGAACCUGAGCGAUCCACUGAGAAGUUGACUAGGGUGACUGGAUGAGGGUGCCCCGAAAUACCGGGGAAGGCAGGGUUUCGCAGGGUAGCUGCCACGGGCGAAGAUACACCCCCCUGUUUCACACAUCAUACCGACCAAUUGACUUGGCAAUACGGCAGUACGACAGUACAAUAGUACGACAAUACGGCAGUACGACAGUAUGGCAGUACGGGAGCGCAUUCAUUGAACCCGUAAAAAACGCCGAGCCAGGCGUUUACCUCACCUGUAGGGUUUCCUCCCAGCUUAUCGUGCUUUCCUGGCCCCCAUUGGGCCGCCGCCGUCUCGGGACGGAAUCCGAGGCGGAGGCGGCGACGGCGGCGGCGACGCCAACGCUUCCGUGUUCGCUGUAUAAGCUGGUGCUGCUGGCGCUGCUGUGGUUUCCAUUGGAGACCGUUACAUCACGAUGUCGUACGAAUGUCGUACGGUACGGCGCGACCAUGCCCGUCGCGCCCGGCGCGAUACUGUCGGUGCUGGGCCGGUGACCAAUGGGACCGUGGAAGGAGCUCUGCACCUUGGGCGGUUCGCGCAGGCGUUUGCGAUCCGCGCCGGAGACCGGAACAGAUGGCGGCGAAAUCCCAAGAACGGCAUCGCUACGCCGGUAUUCGCGGUCAGCGGCGGCGGCAGCGGCGCCGCCGCCGCCGCCGCCAUGAGUAACCACCGUGAUGCGGCCUCGGAUGCUCAUGUCUGGCGUCGGGGCCACAAGCCCGACCCCGGAAUGGACGUUUGCCGCCGCCGCCGCCGCCGCCGCAACUGUGGAUCGGGGAAGAGGACCUUUAAGGGCAGCGAUGGUAUCGGAGGUGUUUAAAGGCGACGGCGGUGGCGGCGGCAGCGUGUAUGGCACGCCGGCGGGAGCGUAGCCUUGGAGCAUCCCCCCGUAUUCCCUCAGGUGCGAUGCAGCGCCGCCGCCGCCGCCGCUACUGCUCCGCACACCUCGCGACGGCGUCACAGAAGCGCUUGUGCCACCGCCUCGUCGUACACUGCGGUUGGAAUCCACCGUCAUCGCCUCCGCCGGCCCGCUGGGCCUACCCCUGAGGUGGGUUGAUUCACCUUGGCUGUCGUCGGUGACGUCGGCUGCAUCAGCCGUGUACGGCGAGCAGGACGAGGAGACAGCCGAAGGGACGGGGUUUCCAGCGGUGACGGCGGCGGCGGCCGCAAUGCUAGCGGGCGGGGCUGGCCUCGCCGCCACAAGCGACAUCGACAUUGGUAAGGGCGCGGCGCCCUUGCGCCGGCGCACCGACGGCGUCGAUGCCGCAUCUGACUCAGCGCCCGCGCAGGAUGCCGUCAUGUGGCCGUUACGGCGGUGCAGCGGUGACGCGAGGCGCGCCAGCAACAUGGCGUCAUGCUUGUCGUACAUAGCAGUGUACUUCCAACUGGGGCUGUGCGCCGUCAGCGCGGCGUAACGAUCUACGGCUAUACUCCCGGAUAAGGUAUUGCUGGACGUCUUUCCUUCGCCACGAUCGCCGCUGCUGUCGCCGACGUCGCUCCCGCCGCCGCCGCUGCCGCCGCUCUGAACCCCUCUGCCCUCUUCAUUUCCAUCAGUUCCGCUUUCUUCUCGCGCGCCUUCGUCAUCGCUUUUCCCCAGCGGACCGGGGCCCUCACCAAAGGGACAUUGACGGACGCCAACGCUAAUCUCAGCGCUGUCGCCGGACGCCUCCGCCUCCGCCUCCGCCGCCGCCACCGCCGCGAUCUCUUCAGUGCCAUGGCUUAUAACCACAUCCAGGCGCGACGGUCGCAGUCGCCAGUACGACGUCCCGAAUUCCCCGCCGUCGGAGCCCGCGCUGCGGUGGCUGAAGACGAAGGAGCCGCUGACGCUGCCGCAUAUGCGGCGGCCGAGGCCCUUGCGGUCCUGGCUGCCAGCCAGGGCGGGAGUCACGGACGGUGUCUCCGGUGCACUGAAACGGGUGCGAGGGGGCGCGAUGCCGAAGGAAGGCUCCUCCGCCACCGCGUCGUCCUCCUCCUGGCUUCCACUGGGGUCCCUGGCGCAGAAGGGCGUAUGGAGUCCCGUCGUACCGUCGAUGCAGCGGCGCCUGGACGCCCACCGCUCCGAAGUUGCCGCCGCCGCUGCUGCCGCUGUGAGUUGUGACGGCGGCGGCGCGGCCGCCGCCGCCGCUGCUGCCGCGGCAAUAUGCUGUGUCGUGGAAAUUCGUGGAGUAUUGCUACAGCCGCCGCUGCUGCCGCUGCCGCUGCCGCUGCCGCUGCUGCCGCCGCCAACCGCACCUCCCUGGUUCUUGAAACCUGCAUCUGCCUCAACCGCGUCCGAGGUCGCCGCCGCCGCCACCGCCGCCGCCGCUGGGCCCCCGAAGCCAGCAUCCUCCUUCUUCGGCGGCGAGCGCAGGCUGCGGUAGGGCGAUGAUGAGGAGCUGCCGUCUGCUGAGAUUGCCUUGGUUUCGGAGCGCAGGCGGUAGUGGCAACUGCUAGUGCCGCUACCGCAGUUAAGGAGGGAAACGCUGCCGCCGCUUGUAAUGCCGCCACUGCCGCCACUGCCGCCACUGCCGCCACUGCCGCCACUGCCGCCACUGCCAUUACUACUGAUACUGCGGCCACUGCCGUAGCCGCGCCCUCGCAACCCCGUCCCCACAGCUCCUUCGUGGACAUCCACAGCGCUGCCAGCCGGUGUGGGGGAGGCGGGUACAGCAUCGGUAAUACAAGCGCUGAUGGUACGGGACGGCACGAGGUCGACGGCAACGUCGACGCCGCCGCAGCCUAGCGGUGGCUCAUCCCCCCCCAAUGCGCCAUCGUUUGGUCGCGAGACUCGCGGCUCGCGCCUUGACGGCAAGUCCUCAGGGCGCCAAAUAUCCACCUGACCCGGCAGGACGGGGUCGCCGUACGCAUCGUCGCUGUGGGCGGCAGCGCCUGCUGCUGCUGCUGCUGCGGCGGCGGCGGCGGCGGCGGACUGCCGCGGGCCUCUGCCGCCUCCGCCGCCAGUGUCACUAGCGCGGAGCUGACCCCCAGAGGCUCCGCUGCCUUCGUUACAUGUCGUACCUGUCGUAGCGCUGCAACCACCACCUUCCGCGGAAUCGUCGCUGUAUACCGCGUUGAACCCACCAUCAUCUGCAACGUUUCGCAAUGAGUCAAAGUGCAUGCUGCUCUCCUCCCAGAUGGUGGAGUGGUGGCUGAACCGGUGCUGGUCACGUGCACAGCCGCCGCCACCGCCGCCAUAGGAAUCAGCACCACCGCCUCCGCCGCCUCCGCUGGCGGCGACGGUGGCAGCGGCCGCGGGGGACCGUACACGUCCGCAGUGCUGUUCCGGGUCGGCGGCUGAUGCCACCGCCUCGCCCGCCAGCCGCCACAACAUCUUGGCCGUAAUCUGGUCCAUGAUGCCGCCGGAGAACUCCGCGUCAGGUUCCGCCGUUGCCUCCGCCGUGGCAGCGGUAGCGGGGACGGAGACGGCGGCGGCGGCGCCGCCGCCGCCGCAGCCACCAUCGCCGUUAGGCGCGGCGACCCGGCGACAUAAGCGAGGAGGCGACGUGUGAGGUGCCGGAAUUUCCUUCAGGUCCUCAUCAAGCCGCCCUUCGCCCAGCCCAACCGCCGCCAGGCCAAAAACCGUCCCAAAGCGUCCCCCUCCCAAGAAGUCGGUUUGAAAGCCAGUGCCAGCCUGCGGCUCCCCCUCCUCCUCCCCCUCCUCCUCCCCCUCCUUCGCAGCCCCCAACAGGAUUAGCUCCUGCUGCUGUAACGCCUGCGCAUGGGCCUGCGCUACCGCCAAUGCACGUAUCAGUGCGUCCUGGCUGCGGUGUCGUUGACGGAACAGAACCGCUUCUUCGACGGCACGCUCCGCCGCUGCGACGGUGUACGGCCCCGGCGGCGUCGCCGCCAGCUGCAGCAGCAGCCGUACAAGUCUACGAACGGCCCCUUCAUCCACUGCCUGAUCGCCUCCAUCAGUGGUAGAAGCGGCGAACAUGCAAACGCCGCCAGCGGCACUGCUUCUGCCGCCAUAGCUACUGCCGCCAAGGCAAAUGCUGCAAUCUCCGCCGCCUGCGGCAUGGUCGUUGCCAUCUUCAACACCCUCGGCGCCGACUGCGACAUCAUUGCCGCGGGUUUGCUGUACCGGGCACGGAGAUGGAGGGGAAGCUGGGAAGGAAGGGGGAGAUUGAAGGGGGAAGGGGGAUUUGGGGGUUUUGUCUGCGGCUCUGAAUGUAACUCUUUCAGUGCUGCGGAGGGCGCCGACUUCCUCGACGGGCCCGGUGCUGGCCACAGCCUCCCUCUGCCCCGCCUGCCCAACCGGGGGUCGGAUUACUUCCCCCUCUGAUGUGUCCUUAUCAUCCUCUGCUACAAUUACUACUACUGCUGCUGAUGCUGCUGAUGCAGAUGGUGAUGAUGAUCUUGUUGCUACUGCUGCUUCUGGCUCUGUUGCUGCGUCAGCGUACGGUGGUGGCGUUUCAUCAUCGGCACGUCUUUGGAACGUCAAGCUUGCUGCCACGACGUCUUGCUCCCAUGCCAGGAAAGAUUGCGGAUCACCGGCGGCUGAUGAUAACAAUGAUAACUGUAGGACAUCGGCAUGCAGGUGCCCGGCACCCGUAGCAGCAGUAAUCGCAGCGGUGGUAUCCACAUCCACAGCGGCACCGGCCGUCGCCCCAACAGCAUCACCACCAGCAUCACUUCUCACCCUCUGCUCGGCGGCACUGCUUUUGUGUGUAUCAUCGCAGCAGUUGUCGUCAGCGGUAACAACAGUAGCGGUAACAGUAGCAGUAGCCUCUGCUGGUUGUGCAGGAGGAGGUGACGUAAACAUCAGCCACUCCGCACCUCCUGGAUCUGGAGGGUCCCUUGGGUCACCUUCACCGCUCAGAGCCAACUGGAUGGCCACCUCAGCGGGAGGAGCUCCAACGCCGCCGCUGCCCCGUGUCGGCGAGGGAGCCCACGGCGGCGGCGGCUGAGGCGGUGGCGGCACUCCUGCCGGCGGCGACGGUGACGACUGCACCGGCCGCGUCGGCCUCUGAUGCUGCGACGCGAGUCCGGCCGCGGCAGCAGCAUGCGUCACGACGCUCAGGGGGCCGUUGGCGGCGGCGCUGGGCGCCGCUUGGGCGGCCGCUGCCGCAGGAGCCGCCGCUGCCGCUGCCGCGGUCGGUGGCGAGGCGGGGAAAAAAGCCGGCGGCAGCCCCGCCCUGCAGGAGCUAUCACCCUUACACUCCGCUGCGUGCAGCAGGCUGGCCUCCACUCCCACCUCAGCUUCCACUUCCUCGCGCGUCAAGGCAGGGGAAGAAGUUUCCUUGAGUGGCAAGGACGCGGAGCCUGGUGUGCUACGGCCAGAGACGGGGGCCCUCCUGUCCUGGCGCUGGCUCGUCCCCGUUGCCGCCGGCGGCCCCGUCGACCUGGCGGCGCCGGGAGCGGACUGCCUGGGGAAGCAGGCCCUGGAUCCAGAUCCAAUCCAUGAUGAUGAUGAUGAUGAUGGCGACGGUUUAUCGGCUCCCGGAAGAACCUGGGGCUGAUGUGUUGUGGUGUGUGUGUAUGUGUAUGUGUGUAUGUGUGUAUGUGUGUAUGUGUGUAUGUGUGUAUGUGUGUAUGUGUGUAUGUGUGUAUGUGUGUACAUGGGGACAUGGGGACAUGGGGACAUGGGGACAUGGGGACAUGGGGACAUGGGGACAUGGGGACAUGGGGACAUGGGGACAUGGGGACAUGGGGACAUGGGGACAUGGGGACAUGGGGACAUGGGGACAUAUGUGCGGAGGGGGCGGUUGUGAGCGGUCCCUUUUCCAACUUCGCACCCAACAACCCCCUUCGCCCCCUCUCAACCGUUUCCCCAGAACAAGCUUUUACGUACGUCCGGUGGUGCUGGCUGGCAGGCCUAGCUUCCUAUAAUGGCGAUUGGCAGUGAGGUUAGGAAUCCUAGGGAUGCAAAGCCGAUUUUUAUUUGGAAUUCUUAAAUAGGUUUACCUUCAGAAAACGUUUUUGGCCCUCUUCCUUGUCACCACUGCCCCCGCCGCCGCCGCCCCCGCCGCCGCCGUCAGCAUCGCUGGCUGCUGAUGUUGCCGCUACCGUCGCCUGCAGCAGAGCUCGCCGUACAUCCAGUUGCAACUUCUCCAACCGCCGCGCUCCAUAACCACCCCAAGGCUCCAAAACCUGGAUGGGUUCACCGCCGCCGCCGUACUGCAGCAGCAGCUGCUGCUGCUGCUGCUGUCGCUGUGGCGGCGCCGCCACCGUAGAUGUCACUGCUGCGCGGUGGGGUUGCAGCUGCACUACCGGCGGCCUCGCCAUCGACCCAACAAUGUCCUCCUCCUGCUGCUGCUGCUGCUGCCGCUGCUCCACAACGAUAAGCUGCCCCUUGCUGCGGAAACCUCCUCCCCGGCUACUUGCCGCUCUUCCUGCUGGUUGUUGUUGUUGUCCCGUAAAGCAGCCCCUCAGCAGCAUCCGCACCCUGAUGCCCAACGGAGGUAAUUCCGCGAGGGAGGAGGACCGCGCGCCGAGAGUUGUAUAUACAUAUCUUUAAGGACCGAUGUCUCUCUCCUCGAACUAACUGCUUACAAUUGCAAUGGCCUGGCGGCGGCCCUCCCAGGAGGAUGCGCACUAACGCUUGAUAUUGCGUGGGGAGGUUGAGGGCGAGCGAUGCUGCACCGAUGUAAUAUACCAGAUAGACCCCCAGCCGUAAUGCAGGUGGAUGCCGCGAUGUGGGAUGUUGGGAUGGCAGGCUCGUUUAGGCCGGUUGGCAAGUUGUCAUCCAGGCUUGCAGCAGGACGGUGAUGAACCGGCUGAAUCUUGUUUUUAUAUGUGUGUACAUAUGAUUUAAACGCUUAUACUAAUGCAUGCACGCCAGGGCUCAAGCCCCUGAGUAUUUCCUUACGACUUGUAUACCUUGGCAAUGUACGUAAAUAACCCCGGAUAUAACCUGAUGUACGUCCGUAAUAGGUAUCGAUAUUUAACCGAUAUUUAACCGAUAUUUAACCGAUAUUUAACCGAUAUUUAACCGACAAGUAACCCGGCAUCUGCAAGCCGGCAUAUUUCAUAAAAUAAUUGUACACGCGUAAAAAAUAUAUAUAUGCAGAUACAUAGGCUAACAGAAGGCCAAACAUACAGACAGACAAGGCGAGGCAGCGCUUUGUAACGCCAGCGAGCUGAACAGCUCAAAAGAUGUUGAACAGGUCGCGGAUCCAAGAAGCCAUUACGCAUUACUGCUGCUCCUGCUAAUUUCGACCCUCUUAAUAACAGUUGUUUCCUUAUCACCCAUCCAACUAACCUGUCACUCAGAGAGACGCGGACAGCAUCAUCACGAGCAGCAGCAGUGUUAAUAGUAGCUGCCGUUGCUGCGGCCGUACUGCCUGUACUGCCUGUACCGCAGCCAGCACCAUUAGUACUGCCAGCAUCAUUAGCAUGAUGACUAGUACCAGUAACACCAGCACCAAGGAAAGGCGGCUCCAGCAACAACCCCGCCAAUCCGUCUUCGAUGGCCCCAUUGGGUUUCAUUCGUCCAGGCGCCCCGGACGAAGGGCUCCAAGCUCCAACAGCUCCACUGCCCGCAGCCAGGACCUUCGCGCCGGCAGCAGCCGCGGCCGUAGGGGCCGCAGCAGCGGCACCAAGCGCGGCAGCCGCUGCAGAAGCAGGAUGCAGCACGGGAGGUAGAAGCAGGCGACCUGACAUCAGCAGCCCCAGCCACUCACCCUGAACUUCCAGAAGCUUUUUCAAUUUAGCUUCUCCUCCAUCUCCGUCUUCCUCCUGCUGCUUCUGCCCCUUUUCGUCCUCUUGCUCAUCAUCAUCAUCAUCAUCAUCAUCAUUACCAUCAUCAUUCUCACCAUCGUCUUCAUCGCCAUCGCCACUAUCCCCACAAUCAUGGCCGCCACAGCCGCCACUGCGACCGCUAGCCCGACAGCCACCGCCUUGGCGCGCAGCUGCACACCCGUCACCACCGCCGCCGUCUUCGCCAACAGUAUCCGCAGCGUUAGCGACCUCAGCAGUGCUGGCGGUGGCGACAGCGGCGGCGACGGCGCCGCCCCCCCCAUUGCCACUUCGCACCGCAAGCGGGGAGCUGGGGGUGCUCUGUCGGCCGCCGCCGCCGCCGCUGGUGUAGGGUCUCCUGGCGGAAUUUCCAGCGCUGCACCUGCCAUCGCGCCCGCUGACACAACUGCCAAAACCACCGCCGGAAUGAAAUCCGUUGCGCUGGCGCUGCUGGUGCUGGUACUGAUAGCGACCUAGUGUCGUGCAACGUUGAAGGCGCAGGCCGCCCAAGCCACCAGGGCCCUGCGGUGGUGGGGCACCGCCGAUGUGUUUUGGUUUCGGAGAUGCCACCGGAACAGCCUUUUUGCAGCCCGCGAUGGCGACACAGCGCAGGAAGGGCGGCAAGAUGCCUCGAUGCAGAAGUGGCUGUAGUUCCCGCGAGCAACAACCGCCGUAACGGCUGCCACAACUGCCGCCGAUGACGACGUCACAGCUUACGCAGCCGCCGCCGCUGCCGCAACCAUUGUCUGACGCAGCUACUGUUCUUGCCGCCGCCGCCGCCGCCGCCGCCGCCUCGUUGCCGCAAGAAUCCGGCUGAGGGUGCAUUCCAGAGCCGGUACUUUGACGUAGUACGGCCGCCAACGCCGCAGCAGCAGAGGCCCGUCGCCUCGCCUCGCCGCGGAGUGGUGCCACCUGCUCCGCUGCGCAGGGCAUCGCAGCCGACGUCGCCGCCGCCGAGGCUUCAGCAGGCGGCAGCGGCAGCGGCUGCGCCGCCGCCGCCAGCCUGAUGAGGAGAAGCUGAUCCAGGAAGGGAAAGGCAGCGCAACGGUACAACCGGCCCGCGGAGGACGCGAGGGCCGAUGAUAGCAGCGGCGGCGGCGGCGGCACCGCUGCCGCCGCCGCCGCAAGGGACUGCCCCUUAGCUAGCAGGAGCCCCAGCGGCGACUGUCGUACGGCUCCGUAACCUGAGCCGUCUAUGGAGUCGCCUUUAAUGGAACGGAAGCUGUUCACGAGCGGGGUGACGGGAAGUCGGAGCAGCAGUGGCGACGACGGUGACGGCGGCGGCAGCGGCGAGGACGGUGACGGCGGCGAUUUCGUAAAGCCCGGCGCCACAGCAGCGUGAGCAGACUCUUCAUGGGGUUGUGCCGGUGCGCUCUGAAGAGGGGGAGGAGGAGGGGGAGGAGGAGGAGAGGGGGGAGCAAAAUUGAUGGUAGAACCAUGAUGGAUCAAAACGAAGGAGCUUUUCCAACAUGCGGUGGUACGGAUGCAGCCGCUUCGUGGACGACCUUCAUGCAGGCAUCCUUCUUCCCACCCACCCCACGCAACCCCCACCCUACGCAUUGGCAUGGGACGCGCCACCGUCGCCAGCGGUCAGCCGCUGCCACUGCCACUAUCCAUCCGUCCGUCCGUCCGUUCGUACGUAUGUACGUAUGUACGUCCGUUUGUAAGUAUGUUCGUAUGUACGUACAUCCUGCCGCCGCCACCUACCCCACAAAGGCCUGUGCCGCUGUCCGGCAGCAGCCGGCUUUUCUUCGAAGCGCCGCGUGCUGGCGGCUCGCUGUCGUACAUGGCCUGCGUUGUCUGCUGCCGCCAGAACCUGACUCUUCCGGGCCUGCUCCCACCGGGCCGCUCUGUCCCAGUCUGGGCCUCCAAUCCAGGACCCGACCUAGAUGGCGGCGUGCUGCGGCUCAUAGGCGGCAACGACAAAAGCACAGCACGGCAAAGCAUAGCACGGUCAUAUCAUAUCUCAGCACGGCAAGCGCAGCGUAUCUCAGAACGGCAAAGCACAGCACGACCAAGCCACAUCUCAGCACGGCAAGCACAGCAAGUUACAGCAUGGUCACAGCACGGCAAUUCACAGCACGGUCACAUCAUAUCUCAGCACGGCAAGGCACAGCACAUGAACGUCCUUGUAUGCGCGCAUACACCCCGAACUGCUCACAUCACGGGAACCUCGAGUAUGUCGGGGAAUGGUGGCAACUGUGAUGGCAGCUCCGCUGCUCCAGUGGCCGUCCGCGGAAGGGCCCUAUGGACACCUCGUAGACCGCGUUCACCGACCAGCAACUUGAAGGCGCUGGGAUCAAGGGAGCAAGAGCGCUGCAGUCGCAGGGGUCUCGCGCCGCCUUUAUGCACCUGCGGGUGCACAGACAGUUGUAAUGGUGACGCCGCAGCAUGCGGCGGCGGUGGCGACUGAGGAGGCGACUGAGGUGGCUGCUGGCCCCAUCCGGCGGUGGCGAAAGACCAGCCGCCCCGGGCCGCUGCGCCACCACGCAUGACGUUGCUGCUACACUGGGCAGCUGUAGUGGCCUGGCGGCCAAAGAGGCUUGACCUGACGAUUUCGGGAGGUCUUUUGAGGUGAAAGUUGAACGGGGAGCCCUGAGCCGAUCUUGAAGCCAGUAUGCCGGCAGGUGCGGGUUGUAGCUCCUGUGGAUGUGAUUGACAAAUAAGGAAGACGACUUUCCGGAGAAACUACGUACUGGCAGUGCUGAAUCAUAUUGUUUAGUUUAAUUUAAUAGUUAAUGCCAUGUUUGUGGCUUAAAUCUAUGAGUACAUGUGGAGAUGGGCACCAAGUCCGCGAGUCGGCUUUUCGGCAAGUUGGACACCGCACGCGGUGGGCAAUGACCAGCUUUGUAACAACCGUAGUUGCAAUCUCACAGCAAAAAUAUAUAUUACAGGGAUGAAAUUUCCAAAUAAAACGAUGAUUAUGGUCAUCCAUUCUCCAACGCUCAUCAAGAAAGAGGAAGAGAAGUGGGCGAGACCUGUUUAGUUAGCCCCGAGGUCGGCAGCAUAAAGGGCUCCCAGGCCAAUUUCAUGAGAGCCAGCUGUAGAGCUGCAGAUCUGCGAUAGAUCGGUUUCAGUGGACAUGCCCCUCUGGAUACCCCCAGAUACAAGCUGGGGGUCCCAUUUGCCCUAGCAGAAAUGUAUGGCGAACCCCCGGUGACCCAGCCGCUUAUCUUCUUGCACUUCUUCCCACACGCGGCUCUGCACAAUACGGUCCUACUCUCACCUGCAGCGUGAAUGGCUCGGGGCCGAUGUGCAGCAGCACUGCCAGGUCGGCGUGCAGCUGCUGCAGGCCGAAACACUCCCCUUGGAGUGCUUCCAGUCCCAGUGCGCCAGGGCCGGGACGCACCCCCACCGCGAUGGUGUUGAAGUGCAGCUGGUCGGCAGCGGCAGGAAGGUACUGGACCUGUCGGGAUCGAUGCGAAUGUUGGAGGGAUGUGUGCGUGUGUGAGAGGGUGUGGUGAGAGUUUGAGCGAAGAAGCGAAGAUGGGCGUUUUUAGGGAUCGACACCGAUGUUCCAAAAUUUUGAACAGAACAGACCACAAAAGUGGUGUGGCAUGUUUGACACUCCGGUCUUCUAUAACCAAUCUUUUUAGCUGUUUGGACUGUUUGAGGCUUGCGCACAAGUGGCAAAAAAGUGGAAUGCAUACGCAUUGAGGUAUCGAUAUCGCUUUUGCAUGUUAAGGGUCGUAUAACUGGCUCUGGGAAAGCCAUUUCUGAUAUCUGCCAACGUAUCAUUCCCCGACGUUUCAGAGCCUGGGCGUUGAGAACCAACCUGGACACCUGCGCGAGGUGCCGCAUCUGAUAUGCGAACCACACGCCCGGCUAGCAGUGUUAUACCCGCGAGCAGUUGGCCAGAUGAAGCUCCAGUAUCGGUUCCUGCGGAGUCUGCUCAGAGUGUCGAUGGAAGGCCUCGUCGUUGCAGCGCGUCGUUCGACUUGCCCAUGGACAUGUGCGAACGAGUGCGCGGUCGAUUCUCGUACCUGAAAUGACUACACAUCGCAGCCCAGGUGCAUGUCGCAGAAUUGAUUGGCCUAAUGUGGCGCCGUGCUGUGGGUUCCGGGCAAUCACGCAAACCGUCGCUGCCAUAGGACGGCCCGUGGACCGGUACUGUAGUACGCUUUACUAGACCGCCAAACAAAGGCUGUGAGGCGUGCUAUUUGAGUUUUUCAAGCUCAUUCGGAAAGCUUUUCGCGAAAACGUAAGCACGUGUGCGACCUGUCAGUUGAUCCUGGCGUACAAACUCUAGCGAAAUUCAGCAUCCGAGAAUGUAAAGGUAGGAAAGCUUACACUUAAAUAAAUUCAUCCGUUGCAAUAUUAUAUGUCCUUUGCAUAUAUGGCAAAUCUUCGCCCUCUAGGCGAGGAAGACGAGCAGACCCGGAUAAAGUACAGCAGUCUGCCUAAAGCGAAGGGCUACACCAAAAAUCGGGUUAACGCAAUCCUAAUAUUUCCGAGUUAGCAAUAUGAAAUGUGAGGGCACAAUAGGUAAGGCUUCCGUGUUGGCUCACUUGCAUCAUGUCAACGCGGUAGCGAGCAUCUUACCUGACACACCUCGGGUGUCCCAUUGCCAUCAGUUUAAUUGUUCAUUCGUUCAUUCCACCCUUCUGCCCAUGGCAUGCCCAUAUAUGCAUAACCCGGCCCAAUUCACAGUGCCAUCCCACGACAUCUCUCCAGUCGCCGCAAUGGUAAAAUCUACCCGAUGGAAACCUCGUCCAUGGAAAAGAGAUCCAAAGUUCCCCAAACCAGGAUACUGAAGUGCACAGGCUUGUCCAAGUAUGGUGUUCAACACGGGAUAUGGGACAGCCGCAUCCAUUCCUGUUGCAGGCCGUCCCCGGCAGUCAUAAGAGCCCUAUACGUCAUCACACAUCAUACAUCAUGACAAAAGCCACCGCGGCAUUGCAUCGGCAACGCACUCACUGCGGCCCUGUGUGUCGCCCACAAGUCAAAUGGAUAGAUAAGGCAUGGAGGAGAGGCGCGCGACGAAACGCAGCGCGUACAGAACCUCCUCCUCCACACCUGACCUGUUCUGGCUGUUCUGCAGCCACACCUCAACACACCAGGCCACAAUGCCACGGCAGCUCACUGCUCACAGCCAUCAGAAGACACCGCCGCGGGGUUUCGAAACUUCACAGACCACACCAUCUCCACCCCCCACCCCCCAAGCAAUCCGAGCUGUGCAUUAUACAAACAACAAACUCAAUAGCGCAGAAUACGAGACACUAGAAGGUCGCCCGCGGCCGCGACACAACAGCUUCGCACCGCCAAUUCCACUUCAAAAACGAGGCAAAAUGUCAAAAGAAGGGUCUUUCCCUCCUCCUCCAUACAAACACCGAGGCUUUCCAAACAAAAGGAUUUUUUUCUCUAGGUCAAAAAAACAUUCCACUUUUUCCAAAGCGACAGGCCGCCUGGCCGGUCAGGCAAAGCCCUCGUUCCGCCACGAUAUUAUGCAUAUUCGACGACUCAAAAGACACGUGUUAGUUACCAAACGCCUGGCCCCGGCUGCAGCGUGCGCAUCCACCGCAGGCGGAGAGUUGCCUGCUAUCGGGACUGUAGACUUCACCCCUUCACAUCCCUUCUCCACCCAAAAUGCAAGCCUCCUCCCUCCUUCCCCCCGCCCCCGGUCCGAAGUCUGGUCCCGGCCGCACGCUUUUAAGUCGACCAAAAAAGGGCCUUGGUUGGCGGUCGUAAACGAUGAUAUGCUGAUGUUGAUGCUGAUGCUGCCGCCGCCGCCGCCGCAAGAAAAAGGCGACUCAGCCCAAAUAGCUUCCGUAACCCUCUUACCUAUCCACCUCCACCACGACCUAUAUGCCCUAAUGGCCACUUCCUUCAACACGAAAAUGGAAGCGGCUGCCGCGUGCUAGAGCACGGAUGCCAGGUGCGCCACCACCGCCACCACCGCAAUCAUUCGCCACGUUCCCAACUCACCCACAACAGCAAGCAGAAGCACCACACGCACACACACACACACACACACACAACCCCAACACUGUACACAUCACAGCACAACUUGCACUGCCGUAUUCGUCUUCCUCCGCAAGGGCUCCUCUGCAUCACCAUUAUCAUCAUGUGCGUGUAUUCAUCUAUUCGUUCGAGCCGUGGCGUGUAGAUGCCGUAUUGCCACAUCGCAUGUCAUAUCCACGUCCCACGCGCCGGCGCACCCACGACACCCCCCUAAACCAACCAAGAGCCCAGCCACCCCGCCCAGCCACCCCGCCCAGCCACCCCGGGAUAAACGCCAAAAAGAGUGAAACAGCCCUCACUCACUUCAAUGCUCUAUGCCGCGGAAGUGUAUCUGAAUGCAUCCGGCACACCUUGGAGCUCCACCCCCCCACACACGCACACACACCACCGGUCGGAUUCCGUCAGGUCCGAUCCGACCCGGUAGCAAAAUGGCGACUAGGGCUGACAGCCCAAUGAACCCCCCUACCCCCCCCCAACCCCAAGCACAUCAAGAACCGCCAAGAGCGGUGCAGCACAGUCCGCAACCUUUGCCGUGCAUUUACCCCCUUCGCUCUCUCUCUCUCUCUCUCUCUCUCUCUCUCUCUCUCUCUCUCUCUCUCUCUCUCUCACUCACACACACACACACACACACACACACUUCUCGCACCCUUAACAUAUGGAGGAGCAGGAGGGGGAGGGGGAGGAGGAGGAGGAGCAGGAGGAGGAGCAGGGUCGUAUCCCCCCCCGGACCCCAUUCGCAAUUCGGCACCGUCGUUCAACAAGAGUGGGCUUUUCACUUAAUUAAUCAAUCCUCAAAUUGCAUACAGAUGUACAUGCAGAUGUACAUGCAGAGGUCCCAGAGACCCCAGGUCACUCGCUCAAGCGCGCCUUUCGUGAAUUGCAAACAGCCGCCACGACAGGAACACGACAUGAAACGUUAUGUGGUCCUGUACUGAGACACACACGCGUACAUACAUAAUACAGAUGUACACUGACAUUCACGCACCGCCUCCGCCACUAGCCCGCUCAGCAUCGUUCGUCUAGCAGCCCGGCUCCAUAAAAAGAAAGGCACACACCGCCGGCGCGCUCGUCCUCGUUCCCAUGGAUGUAUGGAUGUAUGGAUGCAUGUAUGUAUGUAUGUCCGAAGCCGUCGCAUGCCCGCGUCCGUCUCCGUCGGAGUCAACCUAAGACCCCCUCAUUUUCCCCCCUCAAACUCACCACAACGGCAACCCCCUCUCAACACCCUGCCCCCCAACACACCCCACACACCCAACACACGAGAUAUGUUCACCCUACACCGUCCCCGCUGAGGGCUGAAGCAGCACUUGCCCAUGCGGCCCCGAAACCGCUGGCACACUGCCGUACUCCUGCAUGCCGCCAGCCAGCUGCGGCUGUAGCGGCUGCAGCACCGGAUGCCCCUGCUGUUGCUGUUGUUGUUGCUGCUGCUGCAGUGUUGCUGCUGCUGGACUCGGAACCGCGGACAACGUGCCCUGAGGAGCGGUGGCCGGCGUGACCUGACCCGCGUGAGCUUGGGGCGCCUGCACGUGGGCUUGAGGCGGUGAAGAUUUGCUAGGGGCGGAGGCGGGCAAGACCGCUUGCAGCUGAAUCUGCAACGGCGGCCGCAUCAGUGCCUGUUGUUGCUGUUGGUGCAUGAUCAUCUGGAGCUGCAUCAUCUGCAACUGCUGCUGCUGCUUAGCGUAAAAUUGCUGCUGCAGCAACACCUGUUGUUGCUGUUGGUGCAUCGCAGCUGCGGCAGCAGCAGCCGCUGCGGCUUGCUGAUAUUGCUGGAAGACUUGCUGCUGUUGUGGCUGUUGCUGUUGUUGUUGAUGCUGCUGUUGCUGCUGUUGCUGCUGCUGUUGGGGCACCUGCAGAAGCGUAUUCAUGUGGGUUGGUUGCUGUUGCAUUUGCUGCAUGUGUUGUAGGAUAUGUUGUUGCUGCAACGCGUGUUGCUGAUGCAGGAGGGCCUGCUGUUGCUGCAACGCUUGCUGCUGCUGCAGUGCUUGCUGCUGCUGCUGUUGUAACGCCUGCUGCUGCUGUUGCUGCUGUUGAUGCUGCGGCGGCUGUUGUGAGGGUGAUGUCUGUUGUUGUUGUUGUUGUUGCUGCUGUUGUUGUUGCAGCAUUUGUUGUUGUUGUUGCUGCUGCUGCUGCAAUAUUUGCUGUUGGUGAUGCAGCGCGUGCUGUUGAAGUUGUUGCUGCUGCAUAACAUGCUGUUGCAACAUCAGCUGCUGCUGCUGUUGUUGCUGCUGUUGAGGUUGCUGUUGAGGUUGCUGUUGAAGCUGCUGCUGCUGCUGCAGCUGCGCCUGAAACGCCAGUUGCUGCUGCUGAUGCUGCUGAUGUAAUUGAUGCGCUUGCACAUGAGCCUGAUGUUGCUGCUGUUGCUGCUGUUGCUGCUGUUGCUGAGGUUGGUGCUGGUAUCCAAUUAGCGACCUCGCAAGCGCACUCGCCUCCACUUGAGCUGGUGCAGGUCCCGUCCCCGGUCCGGAUUGCUGUGGCUGGCCCGCACUGUUCCCCGCCUGGCCCGCAAACCGAGACCCCCCCUCAGCUCCACCCUGCGCGGACAGCCCAGGCUGCCCCUGAGCAUCCCCAAUGUGUGAACCCGAGGCAGCAUUUACCGGGUGCUGCGCCUGUAGCCCCUGCUGCUGCUGCUGUUGGUGAUGGUUGUGGUGAUGGUGCUGCUGCUGCUGUUGCUGCUGGCCCAGUACAAAACCAUGCGUGGUGGUGGCAGCAGCAGCAGCAGCAGCAGCGGUGCUGCCGCCAGCCAACCCCACGCCGCUGGAAGACACCGUCGCUGAGCUGGCCUCCGUGACCGCCUGCUGCAGUGACUCAGGCCUCUGUGAAAGCAUCAGCUGCAUCGUCGCGGAGGAUUGCCUGUCUAGGAUCUUCACAGCGUGCUGGGAUGGGAGUGGUGGCAGCGGUUGCGGCAGAGAUGAAGCGCGACGUGUGCCCGCAUCUGCCCCCGUUAACCCCCCUGCGCCGCUACUGUUGCCAGCACCGCCGUAGCUAGCGCUCGCAUGACGAGGCGCGACGGCUCCCAGCGGCCCAUUCUGAACGGCACUGCCGCUGCCGCCGCCGCCGGCGCCCGUCGCUGUGCCGUGACCCUGCACCCCCUGACCCACCGCCGUUGUUGGUCCAUCCACCCCACCCGGUCCUGGCCCUAGCCCGCCGCUGAUGCCUAAUCCGCUGCUGGCGGCGAUGCUAUUCCCGGCGCUUUGCAUCGUCGUCGUCGUCGCCGCCGCUGCAGCCGCUGCUGGCCCUGACUCCGUACCCGUACCGCCAUCUUCUAAUACAAGGAAAUCGCUGGCGUCGCAACCUGCCGGCGAACUGCCCUUCAUGGUGCUGGCCGCCGCCGCCGCAGCUGCCGUCAAGCGGCUGCCCGAGGACGAAGGGCCCUUCCCCGCCGCCGCCGCUGCCGCCGCUGCCUCAGCGCCGACGGUACCGUUAACAGCCCCUAGCCCUACCGCCGACGUCGCCGGCGCAGCGGCGGCGCCGCCUUGCGAUGAGCGGUGGUCGCCGUUGGCCAUGACUAACCCUCCCCCCCCGCCGCCGCCGCCGCCGCUGCCGUCGCUACCGCCCUUUAAUGCAGCCAGCUGCGCACGAGCGCGCUCCAGCUUCUGCCGUAAUUCGUUGGCCCGGGUGGCCAUAGCCCGGGCGUGUUCAACGUUGCUCUGCCGGGCUCGGAGCGCAGCGCUGAGUCGCUCCGAGUCCUUGACCUUAGUUGACUAUUAUUAGUGCAUAUCGUGAAGAGGGGGAAGGGAAAGGAAAGGAAACCACAGGGCCGACGAAGGAUUAGAGUAAUCCACUAGGCAGGGAACGGUUGCUUUGACGGUGGUAACUGCCGCAACAAGCGGUAACGAGUUGCAGGAUUUGGGUUCCCCCUUCCGUCACCCACCCCCUGCACAUUUCCUCAAACACCGCCACACACAGAGGCAAUCACCCUCGCCCCCACGGCCCUCAAGGGACCUCCACUCGAGAAACAUACACACACGCGCAGAUGCAUGCGCCAUAGACAUACAUACAGACACACACUCUUACCCGCGCCUCCGCUAGCUUCUGCUUGCGCUCCGCGUUCUGCUGCUCCGAAACCACCCAAUUUCGAUCCAUUUCCGCUAACCGUGCUUGCGCAGUCGACAGCGCCGCUUGGGCGGCAUGAAGAGCCGCCUGAGCCUGAGCUACCGUCUGAGGCUUUGCUGUCCCCGCCGCCAGCUUGCUGCCGCCGCCGCCGCUGGCAGUUGCCCCGUCACCGUCACUACUACUGCGUCGCUUCGUAUGGCCCUGCUGCUGCUGUUGAAGCGGCUGCUGGCCCUGCUGCUGCUGCUGCUGCUGCUGUUGCGGCCCCUGCUGCUGUUGAACUUGCGGGGAAGGCUGCGACGGCUGCAGUGCCGGCGGCUGCAACGACUGGGGCUGUGGCGGCUGUAGCGCCGACGAGAACUCCAUGACGUUUGCCCCAAGCAAGGGCCCGUCCAGGAUAGCACCCAGGCCUCCAAGGAGGGCGUCGUCAAUCAUUAAACUACCGGAGCUGCGCCGCCCGCCGCCACCGACAGUACCUGCGGCCGUGGCGGCGGCGGCUGCGCUGUCCCGCGGCGGCGAGUCAAAGAUAGCUGCCGCUGCCAGCGCUAGCUCCUCGUCCGGGUCAAGGAAAAGAUCCGCCCCCGAAUCCAUUGGAUCCAGAACCAGCGGCUGCUGAUGGUGUGCAAGCACGCGAUCAGAAGCCGCACCGCCGCCGCCGCUACCGGCUGCAGCAGCGGCGGCGGCAGCGGCGGCUCGCUGCCGGGCCUUGGCUGUGCCGCCGCCGCUGCCGCUGGCACGGCCAACUCCGGCAGCGCCCGCGCCCGCGCCGCUGCCAGCUCUAGGUGUACGGCUACCGCCAUGCGAGCCUGCCCGAUGCAAUGGCGCGCCGCCGUUGGCGGCGGCUGCCGCCUCCCGUGCCGCCGCCGCUCGCGCCCCCGGCUUGGUCCCCGGCCUGCCGCUGUUUGUCCGUACAGGCUUCACGGCGCCGCCGCCGCCAAGCAUGGAGCCCAGUACCGUCCCGCCGUCACCGUCUCCCAAGGAUGGUGACGAAGACGCCGCCGCCGCCGCCGCCGCGGCGGCCGCGUGUGCAGCAGCCCCGCCGCGGGUGAAGUGCCCGCCGCCUGGGACGCCCGCUGCAGCGCCGCCGGCGGAAUGACCCCCGCGGUGGGCCCCGGCCCCGCCGCCGCCGCCACCCGGCCCCGGGUGCGGGUGCGCCGCUGCCGCCGCUUCAUCGUCCUCUUCCGAAGAAGCCAAGUAGCCGGGCGGAAUGACCCGCUCGCCUGGUGCCAUGUUGGAGUGAUUGCGCGGGUGUGUAUGUAUGUAUGUAUGUAUGUAUGUAUGUAUGUAUGUAUGUAUGUAUGUAUGUAUGUAUGUAUGUAUGUAUGUAUGUAUGUAUGUAUGUAUGUAUGUAUGUAUGUAUGUAUGUAUGUAUGUGUUGGGGAUGGGAGGUGUGGAGCGGGGAGAGUGGCCCCGGGGUUGAGAGGGACCAAGAUAACACUGCAUACGUACACGCAGUCGGAGAGUAACGCAACUCAAGGUGCAACAACACACACGGCGCCGUGCAUUAAGGUUGGUGCAGCAGCAAAGCACGCCGUGCCAAGACACACGCACUCAAGGGACAGGACAGACUUGAAGAAUACCAAAGGAUGGGGUAGGGUAGGUUAGGAUUGGUUUUCCCGCGGCAAUUGUCGUAUACCGCCCUACCCUUCAUGCCUCUGGGGGCCCCUCCCUGCCCAGAGCUUCCGAGCCCCGCUGGCCGCGGCCGCGGUGCGGUCGGCACGUGGUUGGUUGUACGAUGGUAAGUGUACGACUCACCCGUGAUGGGAUCGGCGUACGGCAGGUUGUUAAGGCGGCGGUAUUCGCACUUAAGUGAGGAGGUGCUUGUUCCACAGCGUCCCUUCUUCAGCCGCCGACACACGUCACAGCGGCCGCCAGGCAUGUGUGUGACGCCGCCACCGCCGCCGCCGCCGGCGCCACCGCCGGCGCCACCCGUGGGUGUGGGCGCCGGCAGGGGCGCCGCCGCUGCGUUGGGCACUGACGAGCAGGAGGAGUGACCCACUGCCGCCACUGGACCCGUAGUGGACUGCAGCAACGUCAACACCCCCGCAAGAAACACAAGCGAGCAACCUCAACGACGCAGCCGCAGAGUACAAGUACAAGGAGGACAGCACUAUAAAAGGACAGCAGCAGGGAGGUGGCGGCGGCAGGGAGCAGAGCCAUAUCCGGGGCUCCCAUUCCCACAACCUCAUGAGAUUGCUAUAGCUGCAGAACAAGAAGCUCAAGCUCACGCCUGUGGGGCUGUGGGGCUGGAAAACACGGCGCUUGUGUCGAUGGUGAUAUGUCGAUGACGCAGCCGUGAGGCAACAUGACUGCCAAGGCCCUUCCGAGCACAGGCUCUUCCGCCCGCCACGAUAACUGCCACUCCAACUGCCACUCCAACUGCCACUCCAACUGCCACUCCAACUGCCACUCCAACUGCCACUCCCCCACAUGAUAUCGCCUGCUUAGCUACGAUGAUCUUUUACUCUUCCCACGGGCCACCGAGCCUCCUCCUUUCCCCCCCUCCUCCAAGCCGCACAGGGGUGGGUGGGGUUUGGGGUCAGUACUUCCCAAAGGUGAGUAAAACACACCCAUCUCACACGACACGGCGACAAGGGACACAGACAUAGAUGCGCGGGUCCACCUCACCGGUCGCAGCAGGCCCCUACAACCUGGAGCAGCCCAGCCCCAGCCGGGCUCUCCAAGCUCCCUUCUUUUCCCAAAUGGGAGACAUACACACGCUUGCUGCUACCGGCUCCACGUCGUACGUCCGUCGUACGCCGCAAUAUUAUACCCGCGGCCUCCGAAACCGCGGGAACCCCGCCGGCACAGGCCCAAACCAGGCUGCGUGGGGACCGCCGUGACCUUCGCCCCCCCAUGACGCGUCAAGCAACCCCCUUGCACUGCUGUCCUGCACUACCCGCAGUCGCCCCCCCCAUCUCUCUCUCUCUCCCCCCUGCCUGCCCCUUUACCCCUUAUCCCAAACCUUCCCCAGCGCCCUCUCCCCUCUCUACCCUGGCAUUGCCCCUGCCCACCCGACCCACUUUGCUGAGGACUCCCCACCCGACAAACCCUCCCCUCGUAACCCCUCGAAACCCCUCAUAACCCCUCGUAACCCUCUCACCCGAAAUCGCAGUUUCAUAACACGCCAGGUCGUUCCUUUGAAUGCUUUGCACAUGACACAAAGUCCCACCCUCCCCUCUCUUUCCUUCCCCUCUCCCCGCUUUUCACACAAACCGCAGACGGCCACACACAUACCCACCGAUUGGGUCGUUUCCUCCUUCUUCACAACCCCAAAGGCGCCUCCGGACAUGCCACGAGCUCUCUUAGAUGGUGAGGGGCCAUGCGCGCUGCCCGUCGCGACGUGGGAAGCCGCGUCCCCCCCCCCAGCGGCCCCUCCUCCGCCUCCUGCUGGUCCCACCGCGGCCCGUUUGCGCGUGGGGGUAUCAGAAAGGGCGCCAGGUGGCCCUGUACGGAAAGGCAUUUGAAAUGGCAAUUGCAGGAGGCGGGCGGCCACGCAGCACAGCAAAAUUCACCAAAGCAGGUGGCCGGUUUGCGGGAGAUACAGCGCGUGGGGGAAGGACGAACAGCGCGUGGGGGGACUUAAGACGAGCCACGGACGCGUGAGGGGGGUUGGGUUUCCUAAUAAAAGGUGGCAUGGGUGAAGGGUGGAUUAUGCUGCCUUGCGCCCAUCUAUGCACGUUAAUGCGAGCGCCUCCCGUUUCCCCCCUCCCCCCCGUGUCACAUAGCUGCCCUCCUGCCCGCCGUGCCUCCCACGACACCACCACCUAUUCAUGACUCCUACCUGACUCCUAACAGAUUUCCAACCAACUCGGUAUAGCUCCCUCCUCUUUCACCCCGUUCCCCCCUACCUACCCCAUCACCCCUUACCUCCUGGCGGCCCUGCCCCUGCCGCUGCCCCUGCGCCGCAAUCGCUUCCACCAUUGACAGUCGCUGCAGCCACCGCUGCAGCGCUCCCCUCCGCGCCAUCACCACCACCACCAUCACCACCUGCUGCUGCUGCUACUGCUUGCUGUCCCCCUCCGCCAGGGGCCUCACUACCUCCUCCACAUCCCGGCUGAGAGGAGUGCGGCGGACCGGCUCCCUGCGCUGACCCCGGGCCCGCGCCUGCUCCCGCAACCCCCUGUUGCUGCUGCUGCUGUUGCUGCGGCAGCGAGAUCUUCAGCUUGGGACCCCCGGCAGGAUGUAAGAUGCGCGCUACUGAAGGCUCGCUGGCGGCCUGCAGCGGCCCCGCGUUGCCUGGCACUGCUGCUUGUCCGACCGUUGCCGCUGUUGCUCCUGAAUGCCCGGGUGGCCCAGGCGCCGCCGUUGCCGCCGCCGACGGUGUGCUUGCUAGGAGAGGUGUCGGACAGGCCGUGGGCAGUGAGUGCCCGGAAGUGCCUAGCUGCGUCGGCGGUCCGUUGUCCACCGGCACAAACAUGAACGUCUGUGGCGGCUGGGGGCAGUGCUGGAAGGGCUGGAGGGGGGAAUGGUGGUGGUGGUGGACGACCAAACCUGAAUGGUGCUGUUGGUGUUGCUGUUGAUGCGGGUGGGCCAACACGUGCUGUUGUUGUUGGUGCUGCUGGUGCUGGAACGCUGGUAGCUGCUGCUGCGGUUGUUGUUGUUGUUGUUGCUGCUGCUGCGGCGGCUGAAAAGUCUGCAGCUGUUGCUGUGGUUGCUGUGGUUGCUGUGGUUGCUGUGGUUGCUGUGGUUGCUGCUCAUGCUGGGUUGGGUUUUUUUUGUGGCCAAUGGCGGACUGGUACAUUUGGGUCCAGGCUCUGGAAAGCGCCUCUGCGGCGAUGCGCGCCUCGUGACCUGCAGGGUGGUAGGCCGCGCAGCUAUCCCAGACCUGCAACGUGACCCGGGGGACGGAGAGCAGCCGAGCAGCCGAGCAGCAUUUAAAAGGAAAAAAUCACACCAAUUACCACCAAAGCCAUAAAAACACCACGACAAGCAGCAUUGCCGUCAAUCGCAGAAGCGCCAUCAACGGUGCCAGUCGACACCGCGGCAUUAGCGGCACAGCCGCCGCCACGGCGGGGCUUAUAAUAAAAAUCAAGGAGUGCAAGGCCCCCACAGGCGCCCAGGGAAGACGUCGUGCACACGGCAAGAAUUUUUUCGGGAUUCAACAAACGCAGCUAAGAAACCGAAUACCGAUGGACACCCGCGAUAUGUAUCAUGAAGGGAUAUAGACAGGAUUGGGCUAAGGGGGGGCCCUCCUGGCUUCCCGCACGCCAUCAUGGAGCCGAUGGCCCACCCACCAGCUGUACAUCCUGUAGUACGGCAGCUGCCGAAGUGUACGGCGAUUCCCCUGGCGGCAGCUGCAGGUUAUGUCGUAUAGUCCUCAGGUCCAUUGGCCGCUGGCAACACAUGACGGACAACAUGACGGACAACAUGACGGACAACAAGGAGGGCAACGAGACGGAGGGAGAGAAAGGAAGGUGAGGUGAGGGGAAAGACGAUGAACCACAGAUGAAGGGGGUUGCGGGCAAAAGAAGAGGGGCUGGGUGUUAGGAGGAGGACAUCCACAACCCAACUGGUGAGAUACAUAAUCACAGUCUGUGUCAUUCCGGUACUACCGGUUCUAUGUGCAAGGUGUAUGGAAAAGCGUGGGGGGUAUCAUCUGCAAGCAACCCUAACCAUGUAAAGCGGUCGUGGCCAUGCGUUACGCGUUAUGAGUUAAGGGUUUCGGUUGUCGACUGGAAGGUGUGGGCGGUACGGCUGCGCAUUGCAGUUGCAGGUUGUCGCCGUAAUUAUGGUUACAAGCAGGGAUUCGACUACCGGGAUGCGUAAGAGAGGGUUAAGAGAGCUGAUGGGUCAGCAGCAGCUACGAUGGUGGGCCCGUCGGCUGACGGUAGUUCGUUCACAGCAUGCGGGAAUAGUACCAUGUAGCAACAAAAGUAUCAUAUGCAUGAAAUGUGGACCAGUGCGCUAGCCUGGGUCCAAUUGGGCACUUUGCAUGUAACGGUGGGGGAGUUCGUGACUGCGGCUGCACCGCGGUUAAGGACAAGGACCCUUGAUUGUUUGCACAAGUGAGACAGCGCGGAGCGAGAUGCAGCGGAGGAUACGGAAAAGGAUGGCAGAGGUGCUGAGGGCACCGACAGGCGCAGACCCAAGCCUGGGCCCCUCCUGUCAACAAGAGUCGUCCCUGGCCUGUUGAUGCUGGCGGUUGGUGGAGACAGCGCGAUCGUACAAAUCGUUGAAGGAGCGUUAAAACGUUAUGAUUGCUUAUAAUGGCAGUGCCGAUCGCUCUGCGCAGCGGAACAAAACGAGGCUAGGCAGAAGGCGUAGGGAAAGCGGCUGCGCAGACAGGAAAUCAGCACGCCGUGGAAGAUAAGUUUCUCCGGGACGCAGACUCGCCGGAGGACGGGCAACGCGUCGAGCGCUGAGCGAGUCCAACCGCUUGAAGCUUCUAGACUAGAGGCCUAAGCACACGUCAUAGCUUGCCCUCAACGGGCAUAAACGUGCGGUGGCCGGCUCCUAGCUGUUCUGCAAGCCCCCAAAACCCGCCCAGGGCUCCUUACUAACCUGCACGCAUAUCGCAUAGCCAGGAUGUUCUGAUGGGUCAACUGGCUUGCAAAAGUAUUUCUGUGCUUCCUCCCUCUGCAUCAGCGCCGUGAUAACCUGAAAUUGCAAGGAACGUGUGGCAUUGCCCAACAUUCCAUGGGCAUCGCUGCUGGCUAUGCCUGAGAAUUAAGGUAACUAAAACCAGUCGAAUUCUGUACAAGACUUGCCCGUAACAGGGUAGAGCGUGUAUCCUCGUCCAUUUCCGAGUCCGGUUGGCUAAUCGUUCGCAACGCCCAGUCUCAUGACCAGUUAAAGCCCUAUCAAUUUGCUCUAAGGUGGGCGAUUUUCCCAAGGGUGCGGCCACAUUGAGGGCACAUAACUGGCACGAAUUCCCAAUCUAGAGCUAAAGAAUACGCUUGAUGGCGUUACCAGAUAGAACCAGCUAGUGUUCCCUCGCAAUUUCGAGCCCCUUAGUGGGUGGAGCACCAGGACCUUACUGUACGACAGUUGAAAUUGGGAUGGUUUGAUGAACUUCAUUCCGGGUGUUCUUUUUGUGAAGAGUACAUCAUGCAGUUUCACUGUUGUCACAUGCAUUUUGGUCAAAAUGAACUUGAGCUUGUAAUUUUUGCCUCGGGACUACCUUUCACAUUUACACUUUAUUCUAUUUAUAGUGCUUAAAGAUGGCGUCACGGAUCAACUGUGGAGGCCCUGCGGGUUAUGCCCCAUCACGAGGUGGGAAGCGCGUUCAGGAGCAGGUCAAGGUUGAGGUAGCGAUGGUCAGCUUUACCGUAUAUGUCUCACACUUUCUUCAACACAUGGUUCUCUUUUAACUCAGGACCAGUGCUUCUUUCUUCGACCAGACGAAGACUUGUCUUGAGGCAGGGGGGCACGCCGGGAGCUCGACGUGUCGAGGCGGCGGCCAUCGGUGAUGAAGGUGGUCUAUUAUUCCUCGAUAACGGGUACGGAGCAGUCAUUUAAACCGUUUGCGCAUGCCUUACUGUCUCUGACUUCUCGACUUCUCUUCAGCGAAUGCCUGACUUUUCCCAAGAAACGAGCACAGCUGGGACCCUGCUUUGAGUUCUCGUGGGAGGAGGCCUUGCGUGUGCAGCUCGAGGUUAGUUGGAGCGUUGUGGUAACCUGUGUGGUCCACGUCCCAGGGCCGUUUUGAGGCAUCAAACAUAGGACAAGCCAUUCUCCGGCUUAACAGCGUUAUAAUCCCCAUCAGCUAUGGUUGCGCAGCACCCUUGUGUCGUCGAAAUAACCCGAAACACGCUAGGAGCGGAGUGCAUCCUAUCAGAAUGCCACUUGUUCUGCCGCUCCUCGGCUUGCAUCUCUCGGCUGGCCCUUCGGGCCCGAACACUGCCCUUGAGCCCCAGUAACAUGCUGCGGGGUCACAGCGGCCGUCGCCGUCAUCACGACCGCCCCAUUUCUGAACCCUGUCAUGCUGUUCAUCAUCGCAGGCCCUCCGACAAAACAAUGUCCCCUACCCGGAUCACGGCGUCGAAGUAUUGUACCGGUUCGCGAACUUUGACCCCUUCGUUCGGGCCAAGUACUUUGGGUACGUACUAUAGUACUAUAGCCCUAGGCUUAAUCGCUGACUUGCAUGAGUAGAAAGGAAAGGUCGAAUUUGAUCCUUUUUGUCUUGUGUGGCCUGCGCUGCAUGUUCCUAACGCUGGAAUUCGAACUACCAAUCUUAAGUGCGUGCGCAUAAUUGCAUCUUUAUCCAUCCCCCCCAAUCGUGGAAACGUGCGACACCCAAAAUCCUAACGACAUCAAAGGUUGACCAAAAUUGGCUCUCAGAAGUAGCUGUGUCCUUGUACUCACUCUCCAUUGCCCACUGCUUCGCGCUACUGCUCCUGCUGCCACCGCGUCUCUCGUUCGCAGGCGCAGCCUGGACCUCGGGUGAGUCACCGAGCAGCCAUUAGCCACUUAGGAAAGAGCCACUCGGCUUGCUAGCUGCAGAUAGGACAGGGAACCGCAGGUGGUGGAGACCCGCAGGUGGUGGAGACAAACACACGCACGGGGGCAUCCACCUUGAUGGAUUGGAGUAGUUGGCUUUGUCUGAGGACCCCUCCUCGCUUCCUUUGCAACCAUCGAGCGUACACACGCAUGCAUGCCACCUGCGGCAUUGCCCAUGAAACCGCUCGACAGAGGAUGUAUAUUCUCUUGGUGGCUCGGUGCAGAGGUUGUUGUGCCAAACAAAUGUCGUGUUGCGCUUAUUUGAUUGGGUAUGUGUGCGUGUGUGCACUCACGCCCGGUCCUUGACAUUUGCUGCUUGUAGGCAGUUUGAGCGUUUUCGCCGCGUAAUGCACUCGCCGUAUUAUGCGACCUUGCUGGACAACUCGGGAUGGGAGGUGUUGAGCACACUGCAGGUGCGCACAUUGGAGUCGUCCGUGCCAUCCGUGCGCGCGGUUCCAUGCCUCCAUACCGCAAGACCUGUGUGCCGUGUUUCAUAUCUGCUGAUGGGCCGAUCCCCUCCGCUUUUCUGUAAUGUUGCACUAGCACUUCUUCCUCUGCCUGGAGUGUUGUUUUGGCCAUAUGGCGCCUGUCACGUUUUGGUUGUCUGACCCCCCCCGUCUGUCUGUUUGAGCUGUUCCCGAGGAUAUUCUGUCCGAAGGUUUGCUGUCUGUUCUGCUCCCUUAACUGUCUCUGGGCCCGGUGAACAGGUGGAGGAGGGCAUGUGGUGCGUCCGGCUGCUGGUCCACGACACGCACCGAUUGGAGCAGCGAACUUACUCUAUCACCAUGCUGCAGGUCCGGGCGGGGGGGGGGUUUAGGGGGGAGCAGCGCCGACUCAUAAGACAAGAAGGCAUAUAGGAUUCUGCAGCUGAGGGAUGGGAGGAAAGGGACCGGAGCCAAGGCAAACACGAGCCGGGCACAAACUGUUUUGGGGUCCUGUGUGGGCAAACGCUGUACCGUCAUCACCCUAAGUUGCCCGGGAGGGUGCCAUACAUGAUUACCGUAAUCUGGUCGACAGAAAGGUGACGGGCAUAUUUGGUUGCCAAUUUGAGGAAUUCGGUAAACGUUUGAAGGGGCUUUUUGCAGGAGUCGUGAUAGGGGAAGACGAACGAAAAAAGGCGUUUUUUCCCUUUUCUCUGAGUGGCAAGCCGACUAGGGAGAGUGUGGGGAUCAGUCGUGUCAUUUUCGACAACCUAUUACAAUCGAGGGACAAUUACAAUAUAGCUGUAGCUAUGGAUGGCUUGCGUUGUCAACAGUCGCAGCAACAGCCACUUGAUAUCAGAAAGUAAUACAUGGUGGUAUUAACCGUCCCCACCGCGCAGAGGCUUGGCGGCUGCUACGACGGCUACUGGUACACGGAUCGUUGGGUGUGCGAGAAUCAAGACGUACGGAAGCUGUGGGCUGACUAAGCAGCGCAAGAUGUGAGAAUUAGGAGUGAUGAAGUAACAAGUAAAGCUGUGGUCCAUCUAAACAGCUGGAGUUAAGGAACCGCGAUGCAUAUCGACAACAAAAAAACCUGAAGAAGACUUAUGCAGCUGGCACGUGAAGCACACUUGAAGCCUAUGUAUCAUUAUUUCCUAUGCUACCAUCCUACGAGAUGAUGAUGUAUUUGUUCCCAUCCGUAAAGGAAUGUAUACUAAGUGGCUGUUUGCAUGCGUUGAACGUUGUAGUUGAAUUCGUAUUUUGUGCGCGCAUCUGAUAUAGAGCUAAGUUUUAUUUUUUGGCCGGGCGCAACUGUUGUAUAUUAAUUCCUAACCCUUUGGCACCUUUACGCACCGGUUCCGGUAUGAAUGGUUUAUUCACCUCUUGAGCCCGUUCGAAUCGUGCAGCGCCCUUUGAACUUUAGCAGCGGCAAUGUGGCUGCCUCAAAAUAGCUAAGACCGCGUUUGUUGCGCUGUCGCACCUAUUGAUCAAUUGCUAUCGAUUAGGUAGCUAACAAUCGGGUGCUGUCGUAAUGGUUUUGGCGGUUAAGCCGUAGAUACAUUAAAUCAGGCGCAGUUUACCUGUUGAUGAUGCAAUGGAUUGUGCUCUUCUGUCGUUAGAGUGCUUGAGGGCUGUCUACCGAGCCUCCAUAAAUCGGAUUAGUUGAGUUGGGAUUGCGUACGUGUAUCCGCGGCUCUGGGUGGCUCGUAUGCCAGCGAAACGGUUCCAUGCAGGGCCGCACAUCGUUUCUGAGACGCCUCAUAGAACCUGAAAAACUCAAGAUGUAUACAGUCCAUGGCCUCCCGCCUCCGAGCUUUGACGGACACCCCCGCAUUCAUAUCAUGCGGAACGCGUAACUUGUAAGAUGCUGAUAUCCCGAAAUGCCCGCAAGUCUGCAUGUGCUGAUCGGACCUCGAGUCUUGGACAAAGCAUUAAAAUGAAAAUUCUGUAAUUGUGGAACUCGAAUGCGGAUCUUGCGGAUGGAUUCUCUGCAGCUGGCGGCCCGUUCGCAAAAGAGAGCUGUUUUUUCGUGGACGGGAUGCACACGUUCGUGACCAUCCAUCCGAUCAAUCUACCGAUCAGGCCCACAACUGGAUCCGAACAGUUAAGUUACAAGUAAUAGCUCGCUCUGAGCAGCUGACAGUCCCAUAACAAUAAUCCAUGUUGCUGCUAUGCUACGUACGACACGUACCGACAGCAUUUGGAGAAACGAAUGGACUGGGCUGACUAAAGCCCUAGCUAGGACUUCGGCUGCAAUUUAGGCAUACAGAUACCGGGUGAGCUUACUAAUUAUCUUACACACACAGACAGGAAAGAAAGGAUGUGCAUGCUAUAGUCCAUACCGCCAAAGAACGCGGCCCAGAAGCCUCCCACUCUGUAACAUUACAAAUACCGCCAAACAAUCCGUUUCCUUUGAGGAUGUCACAAACUAGUUUGCCAAGGACCCGACAAUCAGCAACUACAAGUUCGACAUUCUUUUCUUGCUUCAACUGUGUGCUGCUGGGUAGUUGAGGCUAUGUCCCCGGGGAAGCUCUUGGCCGAUUAAGGCCUACAAUGUUGUGCGGUGGGCGCCUGCUUGCACCCGCUGGGCUCGUCAGGGUGUUGCCCACGAGAGCAACUCUGGCUCCUCCAAGUGCAAGCGAGUAGCCCAUUGAACUGCUGCCCCCUGCAGCACGUCCCAUAGCACCGAGGCGCAGGGCACACGACAUGACACACGAUACACACUUCGGUGCAGCACGAGUUUCCACGCAAAGCAGCUGUACUUGUAUCCGUUAGCGAGAGGGGGUGGGGAGGGGCCGGAGGAAAUGAGAACAUGAAUGAAUGGAAUGUGCUGAACGGCCACACAACAUCGGUCUUCAGUCUCUCCCACAGUGUUUCCUGUUCCUCUUGAUAAUUACGAUGUGCGCACCUGCAGUCAAUCGGUCGUCAUCGGCAUCCUCGCCAUCAGUGCCGUACAAGUCUGCUUGGUUGAUGUAUGUCACCAGUUGCACCACCGGUGAUGCUGCUGCUGGUAAGGAUGGUGUCGGGGCAUUGCACUCUCGUAUUGUGCUAUUGCGGACGGGCACUGAACCUUUUGCCCAAAAGGUGCAUGCAGUCCGCACCCCUAUGGCACCUUUCCUACAGCAUGGGUGAUGAUGAUGAUGGCCCACACGUUUCCCGGGCGAGGCGAGGCGCAGUGGAACGCAGGUUUUAAGUGAGCAGGGCCUACACCUGCAGUUCAAAGAUAUGCACAUGCAUCAUCUGGUUACCUUGUGCAUCUUAUGCACUAUCAGCACAUCCACAGCGGUGACCCACCUGUGCACUGCCCUUGUCGAUUGUCGCAAAAAUGCUGGCGUCGCACGGGAAGUGUGUGUUGGUGGCAGCUGUGGCAGUGUCGUCACGCGCCUGUGAUGGAUGGAGAAUAAACACGGUUCAACAGACCUGUGCGCUUUUGUGGGCCACGGAUCUAACAUUAGGCAUGAAUGCGCGGGCUGCCUGACCACACGCUGCUGCUUUGCUGCUGGAAAGAAAAAGCUCCGACCACCGGAUCUCGACCGGAUUAGCUGGGUGAAGGCAGUGCGCAGAAACUCCUGCACCAGCAACAUCCCAAAGACGCGCACGAGUAAGAACUCGUCUGCACGUCGCCACAGCUGGAUAACGUACUCAGAGAACCGGCUCGACAGCCGGCGCUCAUAUCGCAGUUGACCAGAACCAGCAAGCAUCAAGUCAGACUGGAUGGGUGACUGACUACAGAAAAUGCGUGUGGAGGCAUGUCCUUUCUAAUAAGCAUCAUAACGAUUCACCUUCUCCCGGAGGCAAGUACUGUCAUGCAUGAACUUCACGGCAAGAAUGGCCGCGUUGCACGAGAUGAUGACAUCCUGGCGGGUUUCGUUCGACAGGAAGUGUCCCUUGACGCCUAACUUCUGAUAGGCAGUUGCCCAAUAAGGCGAUGAACACCAGCACGAGAUGGAGAGAUGAUGCAGCGUGUGUGUGUGUGUGUGUGUCUCUGGGGAGCGGGAAUUCGGACUUGCUGUGUGUGUGCGGUGUUUUAUGUUGGGGGGUACAGGAAGGGAUGUACCUGGGGGUUAAGGGCAGGAAUGUAGUUAUUAUACCACAUGGGGGAGGAGGCGGGGGGGAGGGUGUGCCGGGCUGCGGGGAGGAGGGGUUACAGAAGGGGGGACAGAUGUCCACGUACGGAAAGACAGAUAUACAUAAAGACAGACAAACAGACAGUGAUGGACCCGGUAUUACAAUGACACCUGCCUCCAGGAGAGGAGUUGACGCCGCCGUUGAUCCGACAGACUCCACCGGAUGCCGGUGGUGGUGGGUACUGAACACGACGAAGUCAUUCACUUGGCAGAAGUCGGCGCAGAUGGGGGAAGAGAAUGAUGACGGUGCCCGCCCGCGAACUUUGGGGAACCGUAGUAGGGACUACCAGGAUAGGGGGAACGGGUGGAGUUAUACAACCCUUCUUCGCAAAGUCAUACAGCUAUUCCCCCUUUUUCCUCCCCUCCCCCCAAACCCCCCCAAGCUGCCUCCGCCAAUUUGCUGCUUCCGGAAGGAGCUCCCCCCCUCUCCACGCGGCCCCGGAUGGUGGCGGACCGAGUGAUAGUGGUAUGUGGGGAUAGGUGUUGGGGGUUGUGGAUGUGCGGGGUUACGUAUAUUAAUCAAAAGCAGUAGCAGCAGCAGUAGCCCAUAUUAUGGUGAGGAGAAGAGAAUGAGCUGGACAUUGUAUCUAUGUAUGUACUACGUUGAUUACACUGUGGGCUGAAACCGCAAACAAGGUGUCACGCCAAAACAUCUGGAGCGCACAAAUUACGUGCCACGACCGAGUUAGUCGCUAUCCGCAGGUGGCUAAGCCAACCGAAGGUAGUAAGGCGAACCGCGUAUUGAUUUAUUUGAGACUUUGGGUAGCGUAUAAGGCGCUUUCUGUUGUGAUUUGAGGAUGUUAGGUUGUCGUUCAUCUGUCGUUAGCUGGAUGAGCGUUAAGUAUCCAGGAUAGGGCCUCGUGUGAUAAGGCCCGGCGUGGAUCGGUCGAUACUUCGCCAUAAAUGCGAGUGCGAAAAGGUCACACAUUUGUCGUUUGGCUCUCGAAGCAACUCUUCGUGAGCGUAUAGACCAUUAUAUUAUUGAAGAUAAUAUAAUCAUAGGAGGGUUGAUAGGCCUGUUUUGGUGUAACAAGACUGUGAUCCUACCCUACCUCGAGACGCGCAUCAGAGCAGGAUAGACAGAGAGUGUACACACAGCAUUCCAUAAGGUCCGCCCUUAGUGCUCAUACCUCUAGGCUCGACAGGGAUCCGUUCCCAGCCCGUCCUCGCUUACUGCGAUCGCGCUAAUCAAGUUAACGAAGCUGGAGUGAGCCAGCCAAGUCAAGCCGGAGCUUUAAGGAGAGCUCCUAUCGUAUUGUAUAAUAAUCAUCAUUUACCCACAGCCAAACAACUGAGAAGGUCGGCGAGUCGUCCUGAAGUAGGCGGCCGUGAGAAGUAAAGGAUCGGGCGCCAGUACCCCGAGUUUAUUGUGCAGCUAUUGUUGAAAGCGAUCCGUCGCUGUAUAUUCUCCAAGUGGUGUCACCCAUCUAUUGAGCUAGGCUUUUCGCGUCCGCGCACUAAGCCAACACAGAUCGUCAGCCUUCCGAGGCACAUCGAAUACGCAGUGUUAAUCGGCCUCAGGUUACUUCUUCGCCUGGUUCCGACCAGCGCGAGGAGCGCAGGCGCGUCAACCCUCCGGCGGCAGCCAUCCGUGGCAUCAGUGCUUACUUGUCGCGUUCUUAUUUUCUUUUGAUUUGCCGCAAGACUGCUGUUAUUAUCCAGCUUGUGAGCUUUUGGCGUGGUUGAUCUGGCUAGCAGUGAGUCAGGAUUCGUAGCCGUAGCACCCCUUUCAGUGUGGAGCUUCCGAGCUCCUGGGGGUUGUCUGGCACUCCACGCGCCCAUCGGGCACAUUUGUGUGAUUAUAUUAAGUGUAGAACCAGCUAGUGGUGGCUCUAUUGGUGCAUCCGUGUGCCGAGCCCUAGCUGUUGGAGAACUAUUAAUCUUUGCCGUACUCAGCCACCAAGCGCUCCGAGCGUUGGUGUGUGUCCCAGGACUAUCGUACGUGCACACAGGCUCCGGUCAUACAGACUCAUCAGUGAGAUAGUGUCCCCGGACAUCACUGAACACUGCGCUCUCACUAGAGCCUUGUAAGAGUCUCAUUAUCUUUAGAGCGCUGGCGGACUCUCUACGUCGCGUCAAUCCCCACCGCUCAGCUCGGCCCCCAGGGUCCAUCGAGCAUUCAACUGCACCAGCGCGCCCUAGGAAAGGUCACGCAAAGCAACAAAAGGGAGUGAAGAAGGGUCCGCCCCUCCCUGCUCAGCAGCAGCAGCAGCCUCACCCAGGACUGGAACCCGUCAGUGAGCAGCACGAGCAGGAGCAGGAGGUGCUGUGGCUUGAGAACCCUGAGUACUCCGGUACUGCAUCAGGGUUGAGCAACAGCCUCGUGUCAGAAGCACGCGUCGAGCACACAGGCAGCAGUGGUGAUUUGGAGCAAGCGGACGCAGCCGAAGUAGCAGAGUGUGAACACAGCCACUCGCCUGAUUCAGAGCUAGGACCAACCUUUCGGCUACACAGCCGAGCCUCCUCAGCAGUAACUUCGGUACCUCAGCAGUUUCCGCUUCCCAGCAAACCCUCAGGAGGAUCUGUACAGUCUUCACCUUCUAUCAGCCCUUGGUACAGCGAUACCGAAAUGGAGAAUACAGACUCUUCGUGGUCGGGGCCCACCAUGCUCCGUUUUCGACACGAGGAGUUCCCUGCCUUCAAGUGCAGGGUGUUGCGUGCAAUGCAAACUCUGCGCGCACGCUUCCGACUCAACAAAGGACAGGUGCCCGUUGAUGAAGCUCUCGACUUGAUCAACACCUUUCCUACACCAGGUACUAUGUACGACAUCUGGCAUAAGCAGCAACUACAUACGUUAGUUAAGGAUGCUCGUGCAUGGUUCAGCCGCCGCUGCACGGCAGCUGCCCAGGCAGCUAGUGCGGAGGGAGAGAACGUGUCAGCAGCAGUGCACAAUGCUAUUGAGCCAGCAUUGGAUGGUGAGAGCCUUCUCGAGUAUUAUCUCAAAAAAUUAGACGAAUCUUUUGCUCAUCAGUGUAAGACAGCCAAGGUUCUGGAGUAUUUGCAGACUAGGCAGGACAACGGCUCGCCACAGCUGUACCUGCAGCAAAUACGGGAGCUCGAGCCGUACAUUUGAGACUCAUGCUCCAGUGCAGUUAUCGUGGAGCGCUACAUUGAAGGCCUAGAUCCAGCAGUAAGGGAGCGCAUCAGAACCAAGUACGAGCUCACCCCACGUGAGGGAUGGUAUGCUCAACUCAACAGCAUUGCAACGGAUGCUGAAACAAUCUGGAUCAACCUGCAGCAAUCCCAGGCCGAGCGGGAACGACAUGCCAGCAGCGACCACGCCUCCGGGUCCAAGCAAGCUAUUACGAGUGAGAGGGAGAAACGGCUGCGCAAGCAGCCAAGCAAAAGCAAAGACAGCGGCUCCGGCCAGUCUAAGUUCUAUUGCAAGCACCACGACACCAACAGCUCCCACGACAGCAAGGAUUGCCGGAUUCUAAACGGUCGCACAACAGGAAGUGGCAAGAGCGCCGCAGCUACGGGUUCCCAUCAACCUGAUGAAUUGGCGGCGAUGAUCACCGCAGCAGUACAGACUGCAUUAGGUGCGGGUCGUACUGCUAUGGUUUCUACAUCUGAGCAGCAUGCCCCAGCCACGAAGUAUGCUGCCGAUCAGCAAUGAUGGCAGAACCGAGGUGGCGGUGGCAAUAACAACAAUGGAGGUGCUUCCAAUAGGCGUCCCCGCAUGUAUGAUGGUCCGCCCUGCGAGUAUUGUGGGCGGUAUGGUCAUGAUGAGCCAAACUGCCGGGUGCUCCACCCACAAUUGGCGCCACCCGGCUGGGAGCCGCCUCUUAAGGUGCUUCAGGUACUGUUCCAAGCUAACAAAGAGCAGGCACAGCAGAAUCGUGAGCGUGGCGCCGCACCACGCCAGCACCGAGCAGUGGCUGUCGGUGCCGUGCAGCAUGAUGAGGAGGACACCGAGGAUGAUGAAGAGGUGUACGUGCCGCACCGGUGCAACGCCAACGCGUCCUUCAACCACUGCACCCAGCCUCCUGGUGCAGCCUCUGAGACAAUCAAUGAGGUGGCGGCAUCCAUGCACGCCACUCUCACUCAUCAAGCUACUCCGGUGUCCUUCCAACCCAUGGAAAUCAGCAAUAAUGUCUACCCACCACCUAAGGUGUCUUCAAAGCCGUGUCCUGCCGCUGCGACACUCCAAGGGUCAACGGCAACAGCAGCAUACCAACCCAGUGAGUUGGUGCUCCGUUUGAACGUGGAUGGGCCUGUGCUAAAAAGGGUUAUUGCGGCAAUUAGUGAGGUCGAUGAAGCGACCUGUGAGAAUACGUCUCCCUCCAAGGAGGGCUUGCCUGGGGUGCCUCAGCCAGCUCCAGUCCCUCAGCAGCAGCAUCCAGCAGCUGCCCAGGUUCCAGCCCUGUCGCAGCCUAUUGUUCAAACCGCAGCACUCAGCAUGCAGGCCCCCGGGCCGCUGAGUGUUGCUGGCUGCACCUCUCAGCCAGUGCUGCGUGAGAUGCCUUCUGGAGUGCCAUACUGUGUUUCAGGGGUAACUGGAGCACCACCCAGAAGUAUACAGGAGAUAACUAGCGUCGAGCUGAAGCAACUGCUUCUCAGCAACUGCCCUGCAGCCGACUACUUCACACGUAAGCAGCUCAUAUUUUAUUUUCCACAAGGUGCACUACAGCUCAAUGGUCAUGAACAUCCCGAGUUCCAGAGCCUCCGUGACCACUGCGUGGACGUAAAUCUCAUAACGCAGCACGCCAUGCAGCGGCUGGGUUUGGUACUCAUGCCCACACGCACACAUCUAGACACGUCCGCCAGUGUUGAUGCCAAGCUUCUGGGGGAAAUUGACACGAGGGGAGUUCAAGUGACAAUGCUUCCAGGCACGAUACACGAGUUCAAGCUCAACCUCACUCAGACACUGGUGGUUGACAACAUGCCUCUGUUCGAUUUCUUGGUAGGAAAUGAGCAAAUGCUACCUGUCAUGGACGCCAUCACCCAAUACCCGACAGCGCAGCUCCACCUGUUUCCCAAUGUCAUUGAGAGUCCGGACUACGCAAUUAGCAUCCCCAUGACACCUGCUCUGCGGUCCGCCGCACGAGGGGUCACAGCUAGCCUGCGUUCAACAGCUUUCUGUACCAGGGCCAGCUCUCUUCCCAGCGAUAUGUCAACAGAGCUGGGGGGGGGGAUGUGUUAGCAACGACAGUCAGCAACGUGUUCAAUCAUCCAGCACAACUGUGCAGCGCUCAUGUGUUAGCACCCCCACGGCUGCCUCUACCCAAGCGUCAGAGCACCGGUUGGGAAUGGAUGCAGGUCAGCACAACACAACACAUGUAGCACCUCAGUCUGCCAGCACACCCAGGUCAGCCCUGGUGCAGGCAGCGUCAGUGAUCAUCACUACGGUCACUGGCUUUACAUCAGCAGCUACCAGUACCUUAGCAGCUACGAUUGGAGCCGUAGCAACUGCGGCCACUCCCGUGGUCGUAACACACCAGGAGCCCUUGCCACCACCCCGGCGAAGCGGCAAGAGGAAACGGGCUAAGGCCCUACGCACAAAAAACAUCAGUGUCACCAACCGCACAUGGACAAGCCUUGCAGCGCUCAGCAUGCUGGCAACGCUCCUGCUCUCUCUCGCUGCAGGCACAGGCGCCAUGCAGGGCAAGUCGCUCGGCACCUCAGGGGUAAAAAUCGCCACACAUGCCCUUUCCACAGGGGGGCUGCUCCUGAGCGCAGCCAGCUGGGUGCCUGAAUCCGUUGGUACGCCUACAACGCGCUCAGGCGCACGAGACCACGGCGGGUUUGACUACAACGGCUUGGGAAGGGCAAGCUACAGCCCAGCCGCUUCACUUGACAGUGUAUCCUCCUUUACGCCUGAAGGCAACAUGGCAGCAACAGCCUAUGAGCGCUACCAAAAGGAUCCUGAUGGAGGAUGGAUCUGGGACAAUAGCAUCAGCAUGAACAAUGAAACCAAUGAUGCUCUCAGGGCCGUCGUGCGUGCCCGCAAGCGCACGGCAUUCGCCUACAGCUGUAGCAUGGAGGACCUGCCUGGCUAUCACGGUGAUUUGGGGCCCUUUCAGCUGGAUCUGGACACCGACAAGCCGAUUGUCCAGCCUCCCCGACGCUACAGCCCCAAGGAGCGUGAGGUCAUCGCCGAAAAGACAGCCGAGCUUGUUAAAGCGGGCAUUGUCAAGGAAUACCAGGGACCGACAGCCUGCGCCAUCAACCCAGUCGUCGCCACCAAGAAGGAUCCUGACACUGGCCUGUGGACCGACUACCGCAUGGCACAGGACUAUCACCCUGUCAACACUCACACACUACAGGACAAGUAUGGGCUGCAUCAUCCCGAGGAGAUUUUCCAGCGCGUCGGCAAAGCUACUGUUUUCUCCAAGUGGGACCUGCGGCAGGGGUUUUUGCAGAUCCCCAUAGCGCCUGAGCAUCAGGCUCGUACCUCGUACUGGGUCUCCAACAAGCUCAUGGCCUACACAUGAAUGCCGUAUGGACUCAAAAAUGCCAGCGCCUACUUUCAGUGCGUCAUGGAUUAUGAGCUGGGCAAGGCAGGCCUGGCCGAUGUCAGUGUAGCAUUCAUUGACGACGUACUUAUUUGGUCACAGACGCCUGAGGAGCACGUCAAGCAUGUGGCCGCCGUACUCGACGUGUUGGCAGCCUGUGGGCUCCGUGCCCAUCCUGACAAGUCAAUUUUCGGCGCUGACGUCAUUGAGUACCUGGGUCACAACUUCAGUGCCUUUGGGAUCAGUCCUCACCAGGCCAAGGUCGCCGCAAUCAUGGCUCUUCAGCCUCCCCGCAACGUGUCUGAGCUCCGUACACAGCUGGGUUUCAUCAACUACUACCGCUGCUACAUCCCGCAAAUGAGCCAGCUCGCAGCGGAUUUGAACAAGCUCCUCAAGAAAGGUGAACCGUGGGUCUGGGGUCCCAAGCAGCAAGAGGCGUUUGAAGCCAUCAAGACUGCAUUCACCAAGGAGGGACUCAUCCUGCAUCGCAUCGACUACUCCCGCCCGCUAAUAUUGCACACGGAUUUCUCCAAUAAGGGCAUAGGAGCCAUCCUCGGGCAAGUCGAUGAUGAUGGAAAUGAAUAUAUGUGUGCUUGUAUCAGCCGUUCACUUAACAAGCACGAGACAAACUACAGCAGCUACAAGGGAGAGAUGCUCGCCGCCGUGUGGGCUGUGAAGAUGUUCCGUCACCACCUGAUUGGCGGCCCUCCGUUUAGGCUGAUUACAGACCAUCAACCACUGCUGUACCUUAUGAGCUCGGAAGGGCUUACAGGACAAUAUGCACGCUUUGCACUAGCGUUGCAAGAAUAUAAUUUUGUCAUCGAGCAUCGGCUGGGAAUUAAACAUCAGAACGCGGACACCCUGUCCCGCAACCCCGCGCCAAGCAAGGCUGACAACACUGGCGCCCGGCUUGAUGAGGAUGAGGAAGUCGGGGAGUCCGCACUUCUCACCCCGGCCUUCACUGCUGCAUCCGUGCGGGCAGUGUGGGCUGACCAUCAGCUGGCAUGCACCACUAUCCAUACAGCGGCAUCCGUUGCCCCAUUCAGUGACACCUUCUGCCCCAGCCCGGAGGAGAAUCUCUGCGGAUGGAACGAUUGGUGUUUUGAGUCGCUUGAGCCGCCUCCCGAGGCCAAAGAUGCUCAGCGAGCUGCAGCCCGGACCCAGCUGCAAAGCCUCACAACUGAGUGGCUGUCCGCUGCAAAACGUUCCGGUGGGAUCAGUCCCUUGGUGCCUACAGACCGUGACACCCUGAAGGUUUCAGUGGGAGCCCAGUUCUUCCCACUGGCCACACAGAAAGGAGUCACACUUUAUGAGCCGCUAGGCGGCAUGUGCACGGGCCUUGAGGCCUGUCUGCACAAUGGAAUUAGGGUCAACAAGUAUCUGUACUCGGACAUAGACCAGCAUGCAAGGAUGGUGGCCACCGCACGAUUGCCAGCACUCAGCGCUGCCUAUCCCCAGUUAUUUCCGCUCUCAGCAUGGAGCGAUACAUUUAUAGCACUGUCUCAGGACGUCCGGCAAGUUACAGGUCCGGAGCUUAGGCUGGCAGGAGCUCAGGAGGGUAGCCUGUGGUUGGUCAUCGCAUUCUGGAAUGCUCAGUCAGCUGACACAGUGCCAAAGGUUCUCAGCGUGAUAAACGAGCUUCAGGUGCUCGUUCCUUCACCUCGACCGGCCUGCAUACUGGGUUGCACAUCCCUACCGCUUUCUGACCAAACACCCGAGUCCGAAACAGCCGAGAAGAAUGCUGACAAGAUGUUUGGGAAAGCCACCCUUACCGAUGCUGCACACUUUGGCUCGUAUUCACACUGUCUUUACCAGUGUUGGAGUAACCUCGCGUUGCCCGAGGAGUUCACCUGUGUCGUGCAAUCUGCAAUCCGGCCCGCCGGCAGACAACUCCAAGACGUGCUUAGCAGUGAGCAUUCAGCACCCAUCUCUGCGCGUCAGAUGCACAAUCCGUACUACCCCUGUGACCAUGCUGGGAAGCCCGUCCGCACGCUUUAUCCAGGCUCAGUGGGGCAGCGUGGCUCGGAUGUUGUGGGGAGUAUCGCCACUCCGUUGUACAACAGUGUUACCACUCAGUACGAUUCCCUGUAUCCCGGGGAGUGUGACAUCGUGUUGGGUUAUGAGGCAGGGGUGUCAGCCGCUCCUGGCCUAACAGAUCAUGCUCGUCUCUCGGUGCUGGUCAACGCAACUGACCAGGCACUCAUAUCCAGUGUUGUUGCAAUCCUGCGCACCCUGGCGCAAGAUGCCAAGGUGCAAGCCUUUUCCGCAGCAUCAUGCCGAUCCGUCAUGCACAAGCUUGCUUACCUCUCACAAGGGCUUGCCGUGAGCGUGGCCUCUCACCCUCUUAGUGACAUGGGUGGGGCCUCUAUGGCGCUGGCCGCGCAUGCUCAAGAUCAGACUCUCAGUCCCGAUGCCCGACGCCAGGAUAUUUGGGACGACGAAAUCACGAUUUGUCUUCUUCACUUAGGCGAAUGUCCACCUGGCACCGACCUGGCGGAGCAAAAGCGUUGUGCUCAGCGCGCACGCAAGUACCGUUUCCAAGGAGAGAAUGACUUCACCAGGAGAGCAGCGCGAACGAAGUCGCCACUGCGAACCAGUUGUACGACAGUACCACAGAACCAGCCUUAGAAGCUCCGGUCGCUUCACUCCGUCGCGUCUAAGCCAACAAUUAGUGCGCGGACGCGAAAAGCCUAGCUCAAUAGAUGGGUGACACCACUUUGAGAAUAUACAGCGACGGAUCGCUUUCAACAAUAGCUGCACAAUAAACUCGGGGUACUGGCGCCCGAUCCUUUACUUCUCACGGCCGCCUACUUCAGGACGACUCGCCGACCUUCUCAGUCGUUUGGCUGUGGGUAAUGAAUAUACAAUAGGAGCUUUCCUCAAAGCUCCGGCUUGACUUGGCUGACUUACUCCAGCUUACUUAACUUGAUGAGCGCGAUCGCGGUAGGCGAGGACGGGCUGGGAACGGAUCCCUGUCGAGCCUAGAGGUAUAAGUCCUGCUCUGAUACGCGUCUCGAGGUAGGGUAGGAUCACAGUCUUCUUACAUAAAACAGGCCUAUCAACCCUCCUGUGAAUAUAUUAUCCGUAAUAAUUGAUGGUCUGUACGCUCACGAAGAGUUGCUUCGAGAGCCAAACGACAAAUGUUUGGCCUCUUCGCACUCGCAUUUAUGGCGAAGUAUCGACUGAUCCACGCCGGGCCUUAUCACACGAGGCCCUAUCCUGGAUACGUAACGCUCAUCCGACUAACGACAGAUGAAACGACAACUGAACAUCCUCAAACCACAACGGAAAGCGCCUUAUACGCUAGUCAGGCAACACCCAAAGUCUCAACUAAAUCAAUACGCGGUUCGCCUAACUACCUUCGGUUGGCUUAACCACCUGCGGAUAGCGACUAACUCGGUCGUGGCACGUAAUUUGUGCGCUCCAGAUGUUUUGGCGUGACAUGGUGGUGGUGGUGGUGACGGUGUCAAGCCCCACACCGUCUGCCUAGUCCAGUCUUCUAACCUUCAGCUUGACGAGAGGCCCCCCCCCCGUGUGUACACCACCCCCCACCCGCGUUAUGAAUUACCCGCUCGCCUGUGGGGGAGAGAAAACGAGGGAGGGCAUUACUCUGUGCAUUACUUACGUUUACCUGGCUCACCUGACGUAUCAGGCUUACCUCUUACUUCAGCUACACACCACACCCACGCUCGAGCUCUCUGCUGCAGUGGCUGUGCGGCGGCGGUGGCAGCAACCUCGGCCGACCCCCAACCUGCGCAGUAAUCCCCGAAACCCCCACAUGCAACCCCUCACAAGGGCGGGCGGGCGGGGGGUUGUUCCAGGCCCUCAUCAGCAGCGAACGGUUGUGAGCCCACACGCGCCGGCUUUGCACAUCGGCCCCCCCCCCCCCCCACACACACACACACACCACACACACACACACACACACCUUCCGCCGCCUUGGCAUCUGCGCAUGCGGUGGAUGUCCGCAAGGCUGCCUCGCGGAGCCACAUGCAGGACACGCAGCCGGGGAGGAACCAUAUUGCUGUACAGAAUUAGGGAACAUAUCCAACGUAUCCGACAUAUCCAGAUCAAGAUCAAGAUCCAGAAUGGCAAAUUUGAAAAGUUUCCGAUCGGAUGGAUGGCAGCGAAGCGUUAUAUGGCGCUGGAGCCGGUGAGAGCUAGGAUGGCCGCGGCAGCGGCACUGACGCCGUCGUCGUCGUCGCCGCCGCCGCCGCCGCGUCUAGGCCGGGCCGCCAGGUGCUUUCACCGCCGAUGAGGCGCUAAGAGGUUUCCAGUUGAGGCAGAGGCCGGCGGGUAUAUGAGGCGCUGCGGUCUGCAGGUAGGGGGAGAGGUAUGGCCGAGGAGCCGCCGCCACCGUCGCCACCACCGCCAAGCGGUGUGGAACUUUGGACACCCCCGUUUGCUUUAUCCACGGUCGGCGGCGGCGGCGGAUGAGGAGGGCCGGUUCGGCAUCGGCAUCGGCAUCGACACAACGGCGGCGGCGGCGGCGACGCCACCACGUCCAGUAUCAUAUGUCGUACAGCCUGCCGCCGCUGCGUGACGUCAUGUGUGCGAGUAGUCGCCGGGGUGAAAAGAGGCAGGCGCAGAACCCGCAGCUGCCAGGCUCCGCUCCAGGGGGGCCGCUCUGGCCGCUGCGACAUCUCGGGGCUGCUCCUGGCGCUCUGGCCGCUGAACAAUAUCCAACGCCUCCAGGAUGUCAGCAGCAUCCAACCAACCAAAUUCGCAAUUCGUGUCCUAAAGGCUCGGCAACGUGAUGUCAAAUUAUGCCGCCAAUUAUUUAUUGCCUCAUAUCCCUUUGCCGUUUCUAUUAGAUCAAAAAGCCCUGUCACGAGUACUUGUGGCAAGCUGAACCAACUUCAACUCUUUUGCACUGAGCGGUACUAAUGAGGGGUAAAUGCUCCAAGGAAUCACCCCUCGGGUUUGAUCUAUGCGCCUCUUUCCUCCUUUUGACCUUAGCAAUCUCCCACAGGCUUUAGCGCUUUACCACGGCCAUAUAUCCGGGCCGCACUCGCACGUCUAUGAGUGAACGCGCCGCUAUACUUGUUUUUCAACAGGAUGCCUGAUGAUACUCAGGCGGUGAUUUAAAUGCAGCACCCGCAGAGGGAGGCUACUAUCCCUAUGGGAAUCUUCAAGGCGAUAUAUGGUUCACACGUGUGUAUGGGGGAAAGGGGAAAGGAGAAAUCUACCGAAGUCUACCUCACGUUUAAAAACACACAUCGCACGCAUUUCAGCUGAUAGCAAUAGCACGGUGCAAACAGCUUGGGUUUUUGACACCUCCUUUUCCCUUGCUUUCCCAACUUUAUCGUCCCCCGCCUUUUUACCGGUUACUGUUACUCUUAGUAGUGGAUACCCCUCGAUGGAAGCUUAUGGGCGAAGGUUAUGGUGGUCAAGACACUGUGCAAGGUGGUCACGUGAGAUAUCGUACAUGGGUGAUUAAGACGCCGUACAGUAAGUUCGAUUGUACGACGGUUACAGGGCCACCAGGCCACAGGGCUCGAUUCUUUUCGGAAAGGAACAUUACCGCGAGGCAAUAGCGACCGAGGACGGCACGACACAGGAGAGCGCACACGAGCACACACACCACCACAGAGCAAUUAUCAUGCUUGCCAGCCAGGCGGCCGGCAGCUUUGAUGACGUGUGGAUUUCUAGCUGCAGGCUAGAAACCUUUCCUGAAGUCUUUGCUGCGCUGCUGCUGUUGCAUUGAAGUGCGACAACCCACACUCGCCGCAAUGCCUUUAGAAGCCGCCGCGGCAGGCAAUCCUCGUGUGACAUGACGUCGCCCUCCAGUUUUUAAUUCUUUUUCCAGCAUCAUCGGCUGAUGACCUGAUGACGACUGUUACUGAGCUUAACAAGGCCGCGGAUGCGCCCCGGGGGGAGGGGAAGAACCCUAGGUCCUCAGGUAUUUACACUGCCAGCAUCAAUACCCCCGUGGUGGUGGUACGAUGGCUGAAUGGCUGAAAACCUCUUUUUCACUGUUCUGAAGUUAAAAGAAUUUACAUCGUUCGUCAUUUAGAUAGGGAGCGUCGAACGCCGCGUGAAUUUAACACGCAGAGGAGAUAAUCCCCAUGCGAGCAUUGCAUGCACGUACAAUGCACAGGCAUGCUUGCUUCUAACGUAGCCAAGGCCCCAAAGGCCGCUGGGCCUCGCGACCAUCCCCGCUGGCACCCCAUAUCCGGACCCUCCACCCUGCCGCAAAUGCUGCUGCAUGCGCUUUCUUCGCCCUUAAGCAACGCAGUAGAACCACCAUCUUUUAGACACCAUCCUAAGCUAAAACUUUCAUGUGCUAUCCAUCCUAUGAAACCUCUGGAAACUCUUACCCUUCAAAUCUAAAAUGCGACAUAAUUUUCUAUCAAGACGUUGCCGUACACCCAGCCGUAAAUCCAUACCGCAAUCGGAUCCAACUAAUUUUAAAAAAUGCGCGCGAACAGGGUUUUUGCCUUUGUAAUGUGAAAAUACGGUAUGCACCCUUCAGAGCAGGGAUGCGUCCUGCAGCGAACAAUUAUAAAACCCGAUAACAGUCUCACCGAUGCGUUGCAUCGUCCUCAGUCAUUGGUAUGUAUGUCGUCAUAUGUCGUUCGUGUGCGUGUGUUUCUUGUGUCAUCCCAGCACGUGACGCUUCUCCGUGUGCAUUCACGUAUUGAGCCAAGCAACCACCAUCACCCAACUAACCAACGAACAACGUCCUAUCGGUUAGGCGGCACAACCUCUCCCCAACUAAACGCAAGAAGGCUGCAUUGAGGUUGUCCCUGCAUGUGCAAGGUUGCAUGCAGGCAUGCAGGCAGGCACGCGCGCGCACAAUUCAUGCAUAGAAUUGAAGACGCACCAGGCGGGGGAGCCCCAGAUGAUCGCCGUGCUGCAAAUUCAAAUUUUCUAAGCGAGGGGAAGUGGCGGGAGUCAGCUGGAGAGCAGCUGGUGGUGGCAAAUGCGCGCACGACACGCACUGCACCGCGUGCUGAUAGCCAGCCCAUGCAAGGGCUAACAUGCCGUAUGGAUGGAUGGAUGGUUAGAUGGUUAGAUGGAUGGAUGGAUGGAUGGUUAGAUGGAUGGAUGGUUAGAUGGCAAGAUGGCAAUAAGCUGGAAGCGUGUUGGAUUUUUGGCAAUAAGAUAAGGCUGGGUGGGUGGGUGGGUGGGUGGAUGAUGAAUCCCAACAGUUCCGACCAAGUCAACACACAGCCCGCAAUGGGACUCCGCUCCCUCCAAACUUAACUCUCUCCGCCCCCCCCCCAAUGGGCAAAUCCCCCGCAAUACCACUUCGCCCAAUUUCCGACCAAGUCGGGGCAUCAGCAUCAGCAAUAGCAGCAGCAGCAUCACCACCGCGAAUAGGAACAAAAUAGCGCAAUGGCUGCCAAGCCAGGUUAGCCCAAGGUACGCUGCGCACGCAACGACACACCUCACUACUUACGCAACUUGACUCCCCCCCCCCAACCACUCCCGAAAACUCUCAAGUCAAAAAACCCUUCAUAAAAAGCUCCACUAGAACUGCCUAAAGAACAAAUCUUCAUCUAGAUCAGCAUGAGCCCGGCCAGCAGCAGCAGUAGCAGCAGCAACAGCUGCGGCGAUGGCGCCACCAUCACGGCUGCGCCACCGGCUGUCUGCCGACUGCUAGCCGGGUUAAGAACCUGCAGAGUGAAGCCCCCCGGGGGUUCAGGGUGUGGUGUGUCUCCAACAAAAGUGAAAAUGGCGUCGAGUAGUGCCGGGCGUCACUUAGCGGGGGGGGGGAAUAUCAGUGUGUUUUAGGGUUCAAAUUUGGGUUCAAAAACAACAGAACACCCUUUUAGGGGGAAGAGGAGGAGAGGAGGAUGUGCACUAUAGGUAGAGCGGGACCAAGGAAGCCCGACAGCCCGCCCAGACGGAGCGAAGAUGGACACAAAAGGUGUUUCUCCUCCUCCCGGGUUCCCUCUGCUGUAUGUAUAAUGUAUAUGUAUGGGUUUUACGCACCCGCACAGGAUUUCUCGUACUGUGCCGUACACUUCCGUACACUUACCCCAUUAAUCACUUGGACGAUCACUUGUGGCUCGAUGCCGACUUGGAAUGUAUUUAGGAUGGAGAAGACUGGGGAUCCGGGUACGGCAGCUGAGGCGACGGUGGGCUUGACGCCAGCAUCGGCCUUGUCGUUCGAUGGAACCACAACCGUCACGUUGUUCGAACUUGGCAUAUGUAUUUUAUGUGCGCGCGAGCGAACGUGUGUGUGUGUAUAUUGCGUGGGGAUGUUGCGCGUGGAUGUUGAGGGCAAGGCGAAAGAAAGUUCAAAAGAAGAGUUCAAAAAAGGGGGGCAAUCCUAGAUGGGGAAUAUUACUUGGGAGGUGCAAUAAUUGCCGCGUCUGGUUCCCUCAGUGGUCGUGGUUUGUCUUACUAAGGGUUUAGGGUUUGUCUUGCUCUUACAUUGGUAAAAGGAAAUUCUUAAAGCCGUGUGAUGAUGUGUGUUUAAUGAGCUAUUAGGCCUCCUAGCCCAAUAGAAUCCUGGCAUAACAAACACAGGUUUUUUUAUUACAAAUAAGACAAAACAGAAAAGCCGAAGCGGAGGAUACACAGCGGCAACAACGCUAACGAACAACCGUUGUCCCUUUCAUCGCCGUACAACUUACACAGCCGUUUAGUUCAGGGGCAUACAAAAAGUCUAGUUGCGAGGGUUGUAUGGUAUGGUUCAAUGUUAAUAAUGUAUACGAUGUAGUAGAACCCCUGCUAACGAAAUAAACUUACUUCAGAGUUAUGUACGAUGUACGAACGUAUUCUUCUGAGGUUGUGUCCGUAACCACCCAGCCGUAUGCCACAUGGUGACGUAGCAAGCUUUCGUACGACCUUAGAUUGGCGAGGAUGGUGGUAGCGGCGGAGGCACCGAAGGCGCUGACGAAGGCCUGCAAUAUACCCAAAGACGGCGAUUAUGGGGACGGAGGUGGAUUACCAGACGUGGAGAAGAAGCAAUAAAGAGUGCAAUUACAUGUUCUCCGUGCCAACAUACCUCCCGAGCGAUGCUGCCAAAACUCCGGACAGGACAGGACAGGGAUGAAGUAGAGGACAUGGCAGUUGGUGGUUGAAGGAGGCGAGGGAAACCUCACAUUCGCACAGACAUACAUACUUACACACGGGCAGACAUGCAUAUGUAUUGGCAUGUAUCAACAAUUAAUUGGGCGUUACAACUGAUUCGGCAACAACUACGACACUCACCUCGUCGGUUGGUACGAAUAUGGUGUACGGGCUCGUCACAUUCGCUGGCUUGAGAAGUUGGGCGGUCUUGAGCGCCUGGUACAUGGUCGAGGCGCCGCUGAUGGAGGCGAAGACCUGGGGCGAAACGGCGAAGGUGGACCGUAUGGAGGAAUGGCGGUGGAAUGAAUUUAUUUUGUUGGAUGUGUAAAAGAGGUGAGGGUGACCGAUUUGAGAUGGAGAUGCCAGAUGUCCUCGGGCAGAUCAAAACAUCCAAAUUCAGGAAAAAAAUAUGACUUAAAUUUCUAUAAAUCACCCACACGGGAAAGCUGGCGACCCCAGAGGCGAACACAGACACACAUAUAUACGAGCGCGCGUGCUAAAAAACGCGUCAAACUAUUCAUCUUUAAGAAAUAUCUUUACUGCGAGCUGAUCAUUGCUACACAGAGAGACAGACAGAAGGACGGACAGAUGCCGUUUUGGAGAAUGUGACCUCAGAUCUUUUAGCAUAAGACAGCGGAAUAAACAAAAUAUCUUUUUAAAAAUAAUAUAUAAUAAUAUUAUAUAAUAUAACAGUGUCACCACGGCCGCCUCGACCCUUACAUCCCCAUUUCCAUACGCACAUACAUACACACACACUCACUCACACACACUCACCUCAUCAACUGAGUUGUACCAAUACUGCAAAACGGUAUCCACGACAUUAAUGCACGACGCGCCUGCCGCGACAUCAGCCUGCAGUACUUUAGCGGUUGAGCUAACCCCCAGAAUGAAUAUCUCCGGGGAUGUCGCCGGGGGGCUCGAGGGAGGCGAAACCCGCACGCCGAUGCUUGAGGACUGUCCCAUCGUACUGCCCGUGACGGUGUACGACAAAAACAAAAAAAUGAUAUUCAUAGCCGUAGCCGUGCAGCCACGACAUUGAAGGCGCGUGAUGUUGGCGACGGGCAUUACAGAGGGGAGGGGAUGGCCAGGUGAGUUUGUCAGGUGGCGGGGGCUAGGGGGAUGUCAGGUGGUGGUGGGUCAGGGGGGAUUUCAAGGGGGAAGAGGAAGCAACGGGAGUUGGUGGUUGCAGUUGCCGUACGUCUCAGAGACGUGUUAAAGAAGAGAACCUCAACGAAGAGAAGGGGUCCGUUGUAAAAAACACAGAAAACACACGCACACGCACACGACCCGUCCCAUGACGACGAACCCCCAUUAUUCCAAAACACGGAUAGAGACCGUAGAAAAAAAAGACCGCAACCUGGAAUUUAUAUAUUUCACAUUUACAUAUCCUAAAGCACAGGUAAAAUUCCGUAUUUUCGUUACAUUCGUUACAACCGAGCCUCCGCCGCUGUAGUACUCCGCGUCCCAUCACAACCCAAUGCCGUACGAGUUGUACACAGUCCGUACUCACAGCGUGGUGUUGUAGUACUCCGUACCGCCGACUGAUUGAUUCGCAACACUCUGAAGGCUAAUUCUGGUCGGUAGCACGUGAUAGCUUAGGGCUCUUUUGAUAACCGGCAAGUACGGCAACAAACCCGCACGGUUGCUCCUGGCAACGCCCAGCGCGUCCGACAACUUGUCAAAAGCCCUGCGGAUUGGUGCAGACAAGGUACGGCAUUGAGUCUAUUGUCGCACAUUGCAAAUUCGUACAGUACGACACGGCAAAUCUGUCACUCGGGAUGCAUGUUCCGAACCUAGAAGGGAAAGCCGAACCAGCUUCGUGUAAUGAUGAAUAAUAGGCCAUCGCGGGACGUGUCCGGACUCACGUCUCAGUGGGCAGGAAGAAGGUCACCUCCUGGCUGGAGUCGUUGAAGGUUGCGACUUCAUUUGCGGUCGACAAGGCAAGACUGAUCGUUGGGAAGCUGUUGUUCUUGACAAGGAAAUCCCAGAUGGAAGAGUAGCUGACAGGAGGGGUGGGAGGGGUAGACGGUGGCGGCGAGGGAGGUGGUAUUGCCGGCUGGCUGGAUGCGGGACUUGUUGGCGUGUUGUCCUUAACCAGGGGCGGCCGGUCGACAUCCUCGUUAGGCGGCGGCGGAGGAGGACUUGCUAGGGCCGGCAGUAGUGGUGGUGGAGGUGAUGGCGUAGAUGGUAACGGAGGCGAUGUGAAGGACGACGGCGAGGCUAUCAGAGGCGGAUACGUAAAAGCAAGAACAUUGCUUUUCCAUGCAGGCGUAAGGAAAAGAAGCAGACCUGGACCGGUGAGGGCGAGACGAAAAGGAAGGAUGUCAGAGGGGCAUCAUGAUGUCACGGGAAAGAGUGAGGCUCGAGCCGAGUCGAGAAACGAGACGCUGAAUUAAGAGACCUGGACAAUUCAUUUGACGUCGUUUAUAAAGAAUCCCUCGCUGCCAGGCUUCUUCACUGUUUCCCGCCCGUCUGAGCGAAGCACGACGUUACAAAACCAUGAACGAAUAUGGGAAGUUCCAUGCGCAGCUUGCGCUUCGCGAUUGCAUGGUUCAAUAACAACCGACCUGCGCACGCGAGAAGGUAGUUCAUGAAGGCAGCGAUUGCCAUCCGCAUAGUUCUCUGUUGGAAUCCAAUACUGUGUCUUUUAAAAUAAGGCCUGUAAGUUGAUGCUGGGGGCUCUCAUUUCCAGCAAUUAUGGAAAGCCAUUUAGCGCCACUUUGCAUGUGAUGGCGCCACUGCAUCAAGUAUUGCGCCAUGUACGGAUUUGCUCGCGCAAUAACUUACCCCGUGUCUUCAACUGGAAGUAGUCACCUCCACAUAUCUCUUUUAAAUGUUACUGUAUGUUGGCAUAACAAAUGGUUCUCCUGUUUGGGGCCGAUUAGAUGUCGAUAACGGCGAAAACAAACUGGCAAGAAGAAGACAAGUUAUAAUAAAAGGCUUGGCAAGAGUCUAACUCCAGAAUUAAAGACUCCAGGGGAACAUGAUUUAUAUAGCUGUGGAUUCUCAACCGCUACGAGCUACUGCCGCUUCUCAUGCUCUUGUACGGCGUGGUUCGAUGCGUUUUGCGUUCUGUGGUAACUGCGAGACGAGGUCUUUCGACAUUUUCUAUUGUGUCUUGCGAGGCAUUGCUGUGUGAUGGAUGUAUUGUGGUGUACUUUGGCUGUUCGUGACCACGGGCCACAGUCAGACUUUGCUAACUGGCGCACAAUGAGAUCACGUACAUUCCACAUUCUCAGGACGCACGAAUCUACUCACUUAGGAAAGGAAGCAUUUCCAUUGUUCAUCCCUUUGUUAAAAAGGGCAGCAAAAAGGUAUGAGGUCGAGUUCAACCAUGAUGUCCGUCGCAUCACAGGCAGUCUCAGGCAGUCACACCCAAGCACGGCAAAUGCAUUAAUUUUAUAUGACGAAGGAAGGAGCAAAGGCCACUUUGGUUCUAAAGCCUCUCCUGCAAAAUGGGCGCCAUGUUUCAUGCUUGGACAUAGGAGCCACUGCUCUGAAGCGAGGUGUGACAUAUGCGCUGUUUAAAAUCUUGACCUUUGGAGUAAGGAAGAGCUUUAUAUAUUACGCCGUUAGUCUGUAAGUGGUAACCCCAACACAGUAUCUAUCGCACAGAACCCAAAUAAUACAUUUAUACGAUACAAAAGCAGGAACUGCGCAAGGAAAUUCUCUUGAAAAGGUUCUAGAUCUGACCUGGAGUUCGUUCCCGACUUAACCGUACUUCGAUCGUUUGCGAUACAUUUCGCUUUUUUAGAGCCGUAACUUGUCGCAUGGCGGCAUUUCUUUGCUGGCGUCUUAAAUCGUAAGCGUAGGCACAGAAUACAGUACUUUUCGCGACGGUGGAAACACGCGGGGCCAACCAACCAAGCAGCUUUGGGGCCCAAACAACUCGUUGAAGGCGGCCUGCACGCUGCGAACAGUCAAGUGCGCAGCUCAACUACCUGUACCUGAAGCACGGCAGCAGCUGGCAGCAACAGCAGCAGCUAGAAGCGAGAAGCGAGAGGUUUGCUGAGCGACCAAAUCUAAGACCGCUAGAACAUCACGACGUCUUGCUUGCACUAAUGACCUUACACGCUUUAUUGCAAGUACUCGCGACGACCAUUUACGGGCAGACCUACGGCAACAUUCGGAGCUUAUAUUGCGACAGCUUGAUAUCAAUUCAAAUCCAACAGCUAAAAUGCAUGCAGGUUAUCAUAAACUUGCAGCGACACAAGGGUCUUCGCAGGCCUUCAUACCUCUGCUGGCUGCGGUUGAUUUAACUGCAACGUCAUCUAGUUACGUUAUACCACUUUGAAAGGUAAACACAUCGUUUCUAACCAAUCUCGGAGCAAAAACAUGAAAACUCAUGCCAUCAUGACAGCCGUGACGUCUGGUUCUCUCUCUCACCUUCUCCACAGAAUUACAUAACGAUUGUUCUAACUGCUUUUCUCCUCAAAAGUGCUGCUUAGAAACGGUUUGAAUUUUUUACCUAGGUUUGGACGUUACGGGUGAAGUUCUUGAAGCUAGAGACGAGACCGCGGCAUCGCACGAUUAAAACAUCGAUCGGUUAAUGAAGGAGAUCCGGGCGCGGCUUGAUGAUGUGUGAGAGGCUGCAGCUGGCUCUCACACAGCUGGCGGUGAUUGUUUCUGACAUAAGGGGGGUCAGAUGUGGGUUUUCAGAUGUGCCGCGAUACCUGCGAUGGAUGGGCCAAUCCAAGCCCUACGAAGGCUAUAUUUUGCCGAAACAGCACAUCACACUGAUGUGCAUUACGAUGCUUGUUUGGCCGCUGGCUGGCAACCGACCGCAGGGCAGGGAGCGUGCAUCGCGGUGGUGUCGGGUUUGUGACGGUCGAUCGUCAGGCAAUCGAUUGAAGACGAGCGAUACGUGUUGUUGCUCGAAUGUCACUGAAAUGAAAAAAGCAAACAUACGUCCUGACCUUUGGAGCUUAGGCCCUGUGCCAGGGUUCUGCCAUGGAUGCUGCGGAGAUGGGUGUUGAGGACCAACGCGCGCGGGCUAGCGCACGUCCUGGAUUGCAUACGGAGACGUAAGUUGGAGUACAUGAACGGCUAAUGCGGCUCAUGAGACCUUUUUCUAUUACUAUAUAUUUUAUCUUUUCUCCUUAUUUUGCUCAAGAAGCUUGUAAUAAAAAGCGUCAAACGUCAAAUGAAUGUACAGCUGUGCAAAGUAAGGACAUCGUCGAACAGAAUCAGAGGGGGCCCUAAUUUUCCUCGGUAAAUAAUAUUUUUACGUGCCAAGCCCAAAGCACAGAAAUAUGGCAUAACAUAGCGUAACAAAAGGGAUAUGAGUGUGCGUUGAGAACCGAAUUUCGACAUCAUCAUCUUCCGCACGAACUAAGCAAUCCGUGGCUUCCUGCUGUAUGAAUCCUCUGUUAUAAACAAUUCACAACAAUUUCGAUUGUUUUUCGCUACCUGCCUCUGCCCCGCCGCUGGCCUAACCGCAGCGAAUUGGCACAACAACCACACAACUCCCACACACCCCAAAACUACAACUCUCUAGAUUCUGUUACGUUCAGCGCAGAGUAGGUCAGGCGAAGUGAAGGCUGGAGCCAGCCCCGCAGCCUCCAACAUUUAAGAAACCCACGUAAACAAAACUAAGGAAGGGUAAAAUCAACUAAUUCGCCAGUAUUGUCAUCGCGCGCCCGUACCACCACGCGCGCUACCUGCCGCAAAUGUCCAUACGGCUCCAGCGCCGCCACCACCGCCGGCACAAGCCGCCGCUGCCGCUGCCGCCGCCGCCGCUCCACUGCAUUACCCGGCGGCGCCGCCUCCAGCUCCUCCACCUCCUCUAUCAGCACCUCAGAGGGCAGCAAGUCCGCCGGAAGCUCACCUAGAUGCCGUACGGCCGCCGUCAACACCUCGCCUUCCCCUGCCGGCACCCGUACCUCCAGUCGUACACAGCGACUCGCCGACAGCGCCAGAGAUCGUCCCAGGAGCCCACUUCCGCCUCGCGGUCGUCGGCUGUUGCUAAUAAUGACGCCGCCGCCAGCCCCGUCGCCGUCACCAUCGCCGUCACCCCCGUCGCCGUCACCCCCGUCGCCGCAUUCUGGAUAUGUAAUGCAAAGCUCCCGCACCAUCAUGGAGCAUCCUGGUUGGUCUGCGAAACCCUCCAGUAGCCGCCAAUCGUCUUCCACUGCGGCGCGGUUUAGCAGCAACUUGGUGACCGCCACACGCCUAAGACCACCACCACCACCACCACCACCACCACCAGCUACGGCGGCGGCGGCGGCGGCGUUUUUUGCCGCCGCGCCGAAGAGCCGCAUGCAAUCCGCCAACCUGCGCACGUUAACCGCCGUAGCGCGCAGUAACAACCAGCCAAGCCAGGGAUCGUACAUCAGCGCAUCGGCCGACAGCGGCUCUUGAAGAAAGGCCAGGUGCUCGUACAGCGUCAGCCGCAGCGGCCGAGCGGCAGCGCCGCCGCCGCCGCCAUCCAUACCCGGCAGUAGCACCUGAGCCACUCGGCUGUAGCCUCCGACCAGCGUCAGCCCGCGCAGCUGCGGUAGCGCCGCCAGCAGCGCUCGAGGCCACCCGAGCUGUGUGCGCUGUCGGAGCGAGUGGUGGAUGGCGUCAGUGUGCACCACGAGGUCCUCCAGGGAAGGACAACCGCCGGCCCCCCUGCUGGCGCCGCCGCCGCCGCUGCUGGCACCCAGGUGCGCAACUCCCGACGCCGCGACGGCACUCGGGUCGUACACGAAAGCCGCCGGCAGCUCCAACCGACGUAGAAACCGCAUGGCCGCUAGGGCUGCUAAGGGCGGAGCCGGAUCGUGAGGAGCAGUUGCUCCGAAACCCGCAGCGUCAGGCUGUUCCGCAGGAUCAAGCUGAUAUGGACGUGGAUGUGGACAUGAAGGAGCAGGGGCGUACCUGCCCGUGGCCUCGCCGUAUGAUGGGUCUCUGCCGCAAGUGUCGCCGGUGCCAGCACCUGGCAGCAAUGGCGGUGACGGCGGCGGCGGCGGCGACUGUACGACGUCCCAGUGACCGGAUAAGGAGAGGGACUCCAGGGAGGGAAAGAGCUGGGCAAGUGCCGCCGCCAAAUGGUGGGUCAGCACCAAGGGGUCCACCGAGCUUCGCCAGCCAGCGUCUCCUCUGGAGGCUGUUGGCGGCGGCUUGCCAAAGAGGAAGCUAGCGGCGGCGGCAGUGGCGUGCGAGAGGUGGCCGUCAUUGCAGGGGUAAGUGGGAGCAGCAGAGAAUAGUCUUGCGGCGGCUGCCUGGUUCUUGGACUUGGACGGCGCUGCUGGUGCUGCUGGUGCUGCAGCGGUGGUGGCAGGGACGAUGCUUCCGUCUGGCGCUACUUCCAAGCCACUGUCGUGCACCAGCCACUGCGCGACUUGAUAGUGGUGGUCGUAGAGGUGGAGGUGUUGUUGGUUGCUGUGAUGAUAGCCACGGCCGCUGUCGAAGAUUCCCCGAGAGAAAUCAGGGUGCAGGUCAGAUGGCUUAAGAGCUGCUGGGGUAGAUGUGGCCUCCGGGCGCGGGGAGAUGGUUUGCUGGUGACGUUCGGGAGUUUCUUGUUUGUUGAGGCGCUUGGUGGGUUUAGGAGCAGAAGGGGGAGAGGCAUCCGCGUGAAGGUGGAAACUGGUGAUGUGCGGGAGCACAUGUCCGCGCGCAGCUGCCUCCAGGAAGGGCACCUGCACGCAGUCCAUGCCAAAGUUGCUGAUGCAGCUGUUGCGAGCACCGGUAUGGGGAUUGCAGCAGCUGCGAGGUGCAGGGCUUGCAAGCGCAGUCAACGCCAGGCGCGUGCAUCGGGGCCACUUGGCAAGGAUGCUCAGCGCGCCGGACACAGAGUUUACGCAGAAGUUGUUGCCAGUGGAACCUGGCUUGAAUUUUAUUAUUAUCUCGAGAGGUUCUGACAUUAGCGGGUCAAUCAGCGAGGAUGCCGUGCGACAGGUGGCUCGAAGUGAGAGGGCGCCCUGCAGGCCCAAAGCUGAAAUGAAAUGGUGUCGAGUGUUUAAAUCUGUUGUGAGCAUGACUUCGACCAAGCCCUGAGGGAGGGUUGGUAACCCCAAAUAUGUAAUUGCCAUUGUUUCGGCAACUGUGAAAUACAAGUUCUUGAUGGAAAGCAACUAUUGCUUGCCCCGUUGUGAACUUAUGUGCUGUCUGCCUUUACCCUUCAUAUGCCCGUCAGCAGAGCUGCUGGAAAUGGAUCCAUUCCGCAUUAGCGGUUAACUUGUACGGUUCGCAAAGUUGCCCUCUGGUCCGGCCUUGCACGCUUAAGGCCGAUUGACUGGCGCUAAUUGUGCUAUAUCCAGCUGUGUCCGCUCCCACACAUGCGCGCGCGCGUUCUUUAAAAGAUGGGUCGCACAUCGUCACGCCUCGUCACCCCGUUUCCUCACAUGGACCAAGCGCACGCAUACCUACCUACCUAAAACACAGCGCGAAGCGGCCUUUGGCACAGGCAGUAUGAAAUACGGAGAAGUCACGCCUUAGGCACAGGCAGUACGAAAUACGGAGAAGUCAUGUACUGCAAUCCCAGAAGCGAUCCAGAAGUAACCCCAGCGACUUUAACCCAUUUUUAGGGUCUACCGUGCACGACGAGGCAACAGAAAUAAAGCACAAAAUGGUCUAUUUCCUAAUUAACCUACAGCUAUAACUGCUUAGUUGUAGCUAAAUUAGGAAAUUGCAUUUUUGUUAUAGUCGCCACCAAAAGACACAAAUUAACACAAACAAAGACAUACAGACACAGACACACAGACACAGACGCUAGCUGUCUGCUAGCCUAGCUGGUCUCGGAGCCCGGCGGUGACAGUACAACGGCCGCCAGCGGGGCGAGCAAAGCCAAUCUGGAUUGUACGGCCGUCCUGGAGCCCACAACGGGAACACCACCGCCACCGCCACCGCCACCGCCACUGCCACCGCCGACGCCACCGCCGACGCCGCCGACGCCCUGUCCACAAUAGACUCCGGGUCUCUCCUCAAUGCGGCGAGUUCUAGCUGCCUCUAAGAAAGCUGUAGCCGCAAGAGAGCUCCCAGAUCCGAAACCACUGAGUUGCCCCCGUGGAGGUGGGGGGUUACCAGCGGACGAGGAGAACUGCUGCUGCCGCACCUCCCGCAAUGGCUGUAGCGGCGGUAGCGACUGUGGCGACUGUAGCGACUGUGGCGGCAGUGGUGUAGGUGCUGGUGCUGGUAGCGACCGUGGCAGUGGCGAGGGGGAUGGCUGCAGCUGGUGACGCUGCUGUAGCAAACUGGUCAGUGACUUGGCUUUCCUCGCACUGCCGACACGGUCGCCGUCACCGCCACUGUCGCUAGUACGAUUAGUACGACUCAACAGCGACGGCGGGGUGGUGCCUGGGGGACUUCGCGCCUUGAACGUGCUCCAUAUGCCGCGGGAUCGGGAGCCGUCGUGAACGCCGUACUCUGAUGCUGCGCCAGCGGCGGCGGUGGCGACGGCGCCAGCGGCGCCGUAAGCAGAAUCGGGAUCACCGUCCGACCAGCCUGGGCGGGUCGGUCCGGCGGCGCAUGCAGCCAAAAUCUCAGCCGUUGCCACGGCCUUGAAACGCUCCGCGCCCCAAGACAUGAAUCGGAAACUGGACGUGGCCGUCGCGCCUCUGCCGCCGCCGCCGCCUCUACCGCCGCCGCCGCCGCCUCUGCCGCCACCAUCGUGAUGGAAAGCAGCAGCAGCAGCAGCAGCAGCAGCAGCAGUAGCAUCAGCGCCGCUGCCGCCGCCAUCAAUGCGAUCCAGGCCCCUUGGUGACGACGAAAUCAUGCUGUGCUGCGACGCGGUGGGGAUCCUUAGCGCCAGGCUCUGCCCGACGCCACUAGUGUUGCCGCUGACGCGUACGACAUUGUACGACACGCAACUGGAGCUUUGAUCCGGGUACGGCAUGAGUAUGGAGCCCGCUGUAAGGCUGCUAGAGGGAGCGGGAGCACCACUUGGGGGGUUAUUGGACGACGCAGGGCGCAGAUGCCCAUCAGCCUCCACGUCAUCCUCUUGCUCGUCCAUCGACCCGUAGUACGACACGUGCUCGCUGGCGCUUCGGACGCGAAGUCGCCAGCGAGUGCUGUUGUUUGUCGGCUCCGGAGUAGAUGUAGGCUCAGCGUUGGCCUUAGCUGGCAAUUUUAACAUCUUGAUUAGGAAGGACCGCAGCCAUCGUCGCAGGUUCGAAACCCGCGAGGAGCUGGAAUUGACCGUCGCCGCGGCUCCGGCAGCGUCUUGAAGGCGUUGCAGCCCUGGACACGAGCUCUGCGACGUCACUGCGGAGGCGGUGAAAACGUCGCAGUUGGCGGAGGUGUUGGCGGCGGCAGCCGCCGCCUCCGUCAGCAUUACCAAUCGUGGACUUUCUGCGCCGCAGCCGCCCUCCGGCGCCAGCGCAGCCGUUCCCUUCCCGUCCUCGUCCGAAGGGGCAACUGACUCCGGUAGGCCAGUGCCAGCACCCGCCGGGCGGGCUAGUUCACCUGUGGCCGCUUGAGCCUGCUUCGCAGUCCUGGCGGCGACGGCGCCGCUGGCGACGGCGGCGGCAGCGGCCGCGAGGUACGGCAGCUCAUCCGCUGAAUCCACCUCCCGUACAACCUGCGGAUCCAGAGGGCCGUGCUGCAACCAUAGCGAUGGCAGCGGCGGCGGCGGCGGCAGGUUUUUCGUGCCUGCUGCUUCGCUGCCGCCACUCCCGCCGCCGCCGCCGCCGCCGCUGCUACCGCAGGGGAUCGGAUGUCUACCUGCGCUAGUACGCAAUGUCGUGCCUGGCUGCGUUGCGCCAUGUGACUGCUCGCCAUGGGUAGCGGUGGUGCCCUGUACGGUUUGUGGCGGCGGCCGCGGCACCGCCGCCGCCUCAGCGGAAGCUCCGGAACCGGGCACAUCUGUGGCGCCGCCGUCGCCGUUGCCGUCGCAACCCGUACUUGAGCCCAUAGGACCCUCUGCUCGCAGACCGCCACCGUCGCCGACCUGCCCGCUGGCAGCGACGUCAGCAGCGUCGACGCUGACGCGGACGGCCGUGGCAGCAGCGGUGAUGAUGGCUGCAUUGCACGACAUGCGCCAGCGCGCGCUGGCGCCGCCUCCGGCAGUAGCGUCCUCGGCACCACCACAAUUGCUACUGCCACGUAGCGCGCUGCCGCAGCUGGCGUUGCUCGUCCUUUGGCUGACGGCACCGCCGUCGCCGCCGCCGCCGCCGAGAUAAACGCUGCUGGUGUAGCUACUUCGCUGUUGGCAGCUACUGCUAUUACUGGUUCUGUUGCUACUGCCGGGAUAUCCAGAACCGCAACUGCUACUGCCGCUGGCGGUGCUGCGGUAGCGCAGGCCCUGGGCCGCUUGGCUAGCUUGCUCCCGCCCAGCUGCUGCUGUCCGCGUCGCUGCGGCGGCGGCGGCGGCGGCUGCGCANNNNNNNNNNNNNNNNNNNNNNNNNNNNNNNNNNNNNNNNNNNNNNNNNNUUCGGCUUUCACAGCCAGGUUAGGCAACAAAACAGGACAGGUUCACGCCAGGCCUUCUUACCUUCAGAUCCGCUGGCUCCCCGAAGAAGCCGCCGCAGCGACGCCGCCAGCGUCCUACCACUACGGCUCACCCGACUUGCGCUGUUGCUGCGGCUGACCGCAAUUGCCGUACUACCGCCGCCGCCACCUCCUCCUCCGCCGCCGCCGCCCCCAUUUAAGCUUCCCAAGCUGCCGUACACAUGGGCGCCGGCCCACCUGCCCCCCGUUAGCUGCUCCUUCAUCAACGACUCUAGAUGCGCCUCCCACACGCCGCCGCCGGCGGCGGCGGUGGCGGCACUGCCGCCGCCCGCAGCGGAGGCGGCGGCGGCCGCCGCUGCCGCCUGCUGAUGCUGCUGCAGCGCGGCCUGCAAGAAAUCCCUCGAGGACAUCAUCUGUGGCGCCUCCCCCGUAUUGCUAGUUCGCAGCCUUAUGGUGGGACUGGGCAUUAAGCACGGACCAGAACAGCUACUGCCGCCGACGCCGAAGCUGCCAAUGCGCCUCGCAGGCCAGAUACUAGUGACGGAAGCCGCGCGGCCACGGCAGGGCGUGUACGACAACACCUGCUCUGGCGCAGGUGGCGGUUGCGUUGUCGGCCGCAACGGCGCCGCGGGGCUAUGGAAGCGCCCUCCUUGGAGAGGAUGUAGCAGCAAGCUGCUGAGGCUGGUACGGCGGCGGCGGUCGCGAUGGUGCUCUAGGCUGUAGCGCUGUUCCGCCCGCGAGCAAAUCCUUUCUUGAGAUGGUUCCUGCUGCUGCUGCUGCUGCUGUUGUGGUUGUGGCUGUAGCGGUGGUGCUGUAUCGACACUUAGUGGACAUCUGGCGGCUUGCUGGCCGGAGCGGCGGCGGCCGCCGCCACCGUCUCCGCCGCCACUGCCGCCGCCGCUGCCGCUGCCGCUGCCUCCGCCAAACAACCACAAGGCGGGUGCUUGUAAGCGGCGGCGCCAACGCGGACUUGGCGACGCCGCUUCACCAUCCAGGCAAUGCUGGGGCUGGGGCCGGUGCUGCCGGUUCCUCCCACAGGCAGCUCCUGUUGUGUGGUUUGGAGUCCCAGACCUGCUUCCGCCACCGCCGCCGCCGCCGCCGCCGACACAGCUGCCGCCGCCGCCGCCGCUGCCCAACAGCAUCGCCUUUAAUCCCGAAAGGGCCCGUCCCGCGUCUCGAUGAGGGCGGCCGCCCACAGCCCGGCUGGCGGUGAAGCCGGUCAGGCUCCGAGAAGAGCGGCGUGUGGGCUCACCAGGACCAGCGGCCGCGGUGGAGCUGGUACUGACGGCGGCAGCGGCGGCGGCCGGGUGGGUGCUGACGGCGGCGGCUGAAGCGGCGGCGACGACGUCGACUGCUUUCGCCGCCGGCCGCGGGGCGUUUUGCUCCCAAGUCCCCUGAUGGACACCACCGAUGCCCCAUAGGGCCCCAUCGCCUUUUGGAGUGGCGGAAGAGCGGGCAGGAAAGGAGUAAAUACUGUGUGAAUAUUUUACUUAUUAUUAAAAUUAUGUACUACUGUAAUUAUCGAAGCAAAGGCCAUGGCCUUCGGUACGGCAGUUCCGUCCAUGUACGACACGACAACUGCUCAAAUGUACGGCAUUUCGGACAUAGUGAUCAAUCAGUCCAUCAGAAGAGACAAGGAUCAUUUUGGUCACAUACAAACAGGGCAGGGCCAUGCAUACGGUUGUACGUACGUGACCAUCAUGCCGUACCUGAGAACAUCGUACACGUCGUACAUGGAUUGGACGACAGCACAGUUGUCGGCGCCGCCUCGGUGAUCUCACUCUCGUCGCCCCCGUGCGGCACCUGUUGGCUAAGGCUACUGGCCGUUGCCUGUACCCGCUCGUCCCAACUGCUGCGCCAACUGUCAACCGUUUCUGAACCAAGGCCCUCUGAUGCGGCCGCCGCCGCUGCUGCUGCCCGCAUGACGGCAUAUCUAUUUUCCCUGCCGUGAGAACUAAGGCACGGUACGGAAAGCCGACCCCGCUGCGGCGGCGGCGGCGGCGGCGGCGGGGCCAAACGCUGCGGCAGCGACUGCGGUAGUGAUAGCGACAGUUCCUCCUGCUGUAACUGCAACUGCGCCGUCGACGGCGGCGGAGACGGCAUCGGCAUCGGCAUCAGCGGCGGCGGCGGCGGCAGUGACUGCAACGGCAGCGAUGGCGACCGACUGACCUUCCGUCGCUCAGAAAGCUUAGACAACAGCAACGCGUCGUGGAUGUCGUACAUUGCCGUACAUCGCCACCCCGCGCUGGCCAUCAGCAGUGCGCCGUACCGUUCCACAGCCCUGCUGGAUGCGCUGCACCUUCCUCUUUGCGCGGCGCUGCCGCUGCCGCUGCCGUCGACGCUGCAUCUCUGCGUCGCCGCCGCCGCUGCCUCUGCCGCCGCUGCAACUGCCGCCGCCGGCUCGUCGCCUCCGUCGACGGCGUGGUCCUCUCCGGGUAUACCAGCAGUACCGGCCGCAGUAGCGCCCGAGGCUUGUGCUACUGCGGCGGUUGGGGUACCGGCGGCGGCACCGCCGCCGCUGACCAGACCUAUUGGGGUUUCCUUUGGGCCGCAGCCUUCUUCUCCUCCUUCCCGGAAGGCAUUGUCUCGCUGCAGCUGCUCCAGCGGCGGCGGCCGUCGCAGUUUGAACCUUAAUGACAUGGGGGCCCGUGCGCUGACGCCGGCGGUGGCGGAGGCGGCGGAGGCAGCGGCGGCGGCCGCGGCGGAGGCAAUGGUGCCGUGGAGAGCUGGAUUGUCGUUGUCGUCGACGUCGGCGUCGUCGUUGUCGCCCGUAUUCGACGCUGGCAGCUGCCGUUGAGGAAGCGGCGGCGGCAAGGCCCUCCCGCUGCCCGUUGCAGGGACGGCCGCGGCGACACCGCCUCCGCCUCCGCCACCGCCACCGCCACCGCCUCCGCCUCCGCCACCGCCAGAUUCUCCCCAACCCACCGUAAUCCCCGGCCUGGCCUGAUCUCCCUGUCCACCCCAGAUCGAACUCGUUGCAUCUUCCCGUCCGUACGUCAACGACGUGUCCGUUGACCGUUGCCAAUCUAGUUUGCGGUCCUGCCUACGCAGGCACUGUUUUUCCUCCUCCUCCUCCUCCUCCUCCGCCGCCGCCGCCUGAUCUCCUCCUUCUUCUUGCUCGUCACUGUGACAGAGCUGCGCCUCCGUCGCCCUGCCCGCCGCUACCGUCGGCGGCUCCGCUGCUGACACCACCCCAGGCCGAGCCGCCGCCGCCGCCGCUGCCCCUGCCGCCGCCGCUGACAACCUACCUGACGGCGGCAACGCCGAUGGCAGCAGCAGCAGCAACGCCGCGGAUCGUGUGACGCCCAGAGACGGCAUCAAUCCAGUGGCUGCUCCGGCCGGCAACAGAGCUGCACGCAAGCCCGGGGCAACACCGUCCGCCGCCGCCGCCGUCGAAUCUCUCCCUGAAGAUACGGCCGCCGGCUGUGGAUGCGACAUGGCCCGUCGCAUCGCCGCCGCCGCCGCAACCGCCGCCUCCGCCGCCAGCACGUCAGCCCGCGCCGCUGGCGGCAGCACCUUGGCGGGCGGCAGGUCUACCUGGCGGGCCAUCGGUAGCUCUAACGUUGCUAUCGCCGUACGGCUGCUGUCGUCGGUCUCCCGCCAGCUGUACGUGCCGCCACCGCUGAUGAGCCCACCGCUGCCCGUACCACCGCCGCCGCUCGUACGACUGACAAGGCUGCCCAAUCCAAAUCCCAAGCCCAGGCCUAAAGCCGUUCUAGAGGCUCCGUGGGCGUGUUUGGAGGCGGCGGCGGCGGCGGCAGCGGAGGUUAAGGCGGUGCCCUGCGAAGGCUGCGCUGCUGCCGCACCAGAGUGAGUGUGGAAGGGUACGGCAGCGGCGGCGGCCGCGGCGGCUGCUGAGGAAGAGGCAUUGGGGUCAGGUCCCGGCGCGGGGGCACUGGAGGUGUGGCGCAGUGUACCGCCGGUGUGUUGUUGGUUGCGGUGUUUCUGAUGGCCCGGUGCUGGUGGUGGUGGUGGUGAGACCGUGUCUGAGUUUCGAGAGCAGCUAGGUACGGGUCCGUGAUGUACGACGUAGGAGACCGUGGCGGCGGCGGCGGCGGUGAUGGUGGUGGUGGUAAGGUCAUGAAGGUUCGGAUCAGCCGUACAACCUUCCAUAGAAUUUCCCUGAAGGGAAGGGAAAGGAAGGAGAGGCAGGGAGGGUUACCAAUCCCUAAGGAUACAGGUGGCUCUGAUGACAGUGACGGUGUCCUCCUCUUCUACCUUAAUCGCUCCUGUAAGACACGGAGCCGUGUUUUUUUCGGGGACCGGGGGCGGGGGGGAGGAAUAUGGCAGGACGGCUUCAGGCUUCAGGCCCCCGCCGCAUUCCGUCACGGCAAACUCGUUUUGUGUAACAGAGCCACACAGUGGUGGGAAGCGGCGUAGGCAUACGCGUAUGCCUGGGCAUGCGUGUUAAUGCGCGCGCACGUGUGUGUGUAAGAGAGAUAGAGAGAUAGAGAGAUAGAGAGAUAGAGAGAUAGAGAGAUAGAGAGAUAGAGAGAUAGAGAGAUAGAGAGAUAGAGAGAUAGAGAGAUAGAGAGAUAGAGAGAUAGAGAGAUAGAGAGAUAGAGAGAUAGAGAGAUAGAGAGAUAGAGAGAUAGAGAGAUAGAGAGAUAGAGAGAUAGAGAGAUAGAGAGAUAGAGAGAUAGAGAGAUAGAGAGAUAGAGAGAUAGAGAGAUAGAGAGAUAGAGAGAUAGAGAGAUAGAGAGAUAGAGAGAUAGAGAGAUAGAGAGAUAGAGAGAUAGAGAGAUAGAGAGAUAGAGAGAUAGAGAGAUAGAGAGAUAGAGAGAUAGAGAGAUAGAGAGAGAGUGUGCGUGUCCGUGUGCGUGUGCGUGUGCGUGUGCGUGUGCGUGUGCGUGUGCGUGUGCGUGUGCGUGUGCGUGUGUGCGUGUGUGCGUGUGUGCGUGUGUGCGUGUGUGCGUGUUUGUAUGUGUGUAAAGGGCGGUGCAGGUGCGAUAGUGGUGGCAGGUGGUCUAACCUGCUGACGGCGUUGGCUGCCGGCGCCUCCAGUACGACCUAGAUGCCGGGAAGUGGGACCCAUCCUCCGCUGCUCCCCUGGCCCUGCACCGCCCGGCCUCGCCUUCGUCUUGGCCUUCGCUUUCCGUUGUCUUGGCCUUUACGGACCGAUCGGAAUGGCGAUGGCGGCGGUACUCCUGCUGCUACUGUUGCGGCUGCUGCUGUGGUGACGACGGCGCAGGAAGCCUCCGAGGCGACGGUGAAAUGUGUCCUUCCACUUCGCCUGCCGCGAAAGGUCCACACGCUCUCCUUGUCAACGGAGCGGCGCCGGGCUGAACGUGACGCUAAAAUGUCGUGACACUCGGAGGAGCUCCGAGAUACAAAAUAAUGUAGGUAUGAGAGCGAAAAUGGACGCUGGCUCCAGGAUUCAUUUGUUCGACUCCUUAUGAAGGCAAGUGUUAAACGCAGCGGGGAAUCAGGGAUAAGUGUCCCGGGGUUCUGCCAGCUGCGCCAAUGUAUUUGCCAAACGGAUGGCAGAACGAGUCGGACCGUCGGGCAGGUCGGGCGCGUAAAGUAACAGAUUAGCCAUAUUUAAAAUGAAGUAUGUGGAGAUGUUGCAAUGGAUGUUUAGAUCUUUGUAGCCACCAUGCAUUCGCGUCGGCGCGGACAAGAAGCAAGGCGUCGCGUGAGGCGGUCUCGGUAGUGGGCAAUAUCUCGGUUCGACGCAAAGUUUGCGCAGUUACGAGCGGCAAGGUAAUAACAGGAACAGUAUACAAAUAUUACGGGAAGAUGCAUGCUCUAUUGUGUUGUCGCCGUGUGGUUUCCUUGCAGCUCGCAGCAAUGCCCUGAAGGUCGCAGGGCCAUCCUAAAUCCACGUUCCAGCUUAGCUUUAAGCAUCAUGCAUAGUAAUAUGCAUAAAACACGCCAUUAACUUAUGGCUUUCAGGCCUUUUUAGCUCGACGGGUGGGCGAUUCACAACUUGCUCGCCACGUGGCCAAAGGCUGUUAAUGUGGACACUUACGUUUUCCAAAACAAUUCAUAGUGGGGCAACUGACAGCAGUCUCUUCAUUACCUGUUCCUGUUUUGGGUCGACGCAGCCUCGCGCGCCGAGCCGUCGUGCAAAAGAAGUCCUCGUGAGAACAAAAGCAAGUAGGUCUUGAUUAAACCGACUCAAAACGACCAGCAGAUUAUGGAGAAUCCCUAGAUGUACGCAUUUGGCGGUUAAACUUGCCCACGCGUAUGUUAUUCGUAAUACUCGUAACAACGUCGUGGCGGACCUCUUUGGUAGGUCAAGCGAUCAAGCGACACAUAUCAACAUAUGUAUAAAAGCUAGCGAUGUAAGAUGCCUCUUUUACUGGAGGGACGUAUACGCAAGUAACCCAAGGCACGACAGGAUAGUUUUGUUUCCAUAGAAUUUAAGGAUGCGUACAGUGAUGCAUGAAAUAGAUUAUAUCUCUUUUUCAUCCUUUGCUGCUUGGCAACUCGCAAAUAGCAGACUUCGGAGAACGAUGCGCUGGCGGGCGACACCCGCCGGACCGCGGCAUACUCCAAAUGCCAGCUCCUUUGUCUACCGGAACGAUAUCCACCGACAUGAUGUGGUGCACAAAGGGCCCAUUUAGCCAGCAGUACACUUGAGCCCUUGAGACACAGCCAAAGCAAGAGCUGCGCUGUUGUCGGACCCAUUGCAGUACAAAUGCCUUUCUCAAGCCGAUCAUAAAUAACCCAACACCAACCGCUACAACCACUAACCAUCAUGUCCAAAUCAGGCUCUCGCCUCCAGGUCCACCAGCAUCACUUUACUUCUCAACCCGCCUCUGAAAUAUCGUCCAGAAAUCUCUCGAAGGUCGGUGUUGAGCAUGUUGAGCAACGGCAAAAUUGAAUGGGAAGGAAGGAACGAAGUUGAACCCGUUCACAAUUCCAAUGACGCAAAAUGUAUACCUGUUUAGCAAUUUCAAGUCGGGAGGCCCGACUUCUUAAAAAGUCCAAGCCCCUCCUUAGGAACUCUUUAAACCUCUUUCCUCCGCCACCUCGCCGCAACCUCAACCCUCAUUGCUGCACCUUACUCCGGACUGCUGCACCCCCCUCCUCCAAACCCGCAUUACCCGCCGCCCACGCCUCCGCCUGUCGUACCCAAUUGCUGUUAACCUCUUCACCUCCGACACCCCUCCACCCCACACCCCAUGACGGCGACGAUGGCGAAGACGAAAAAGAGGGCACAGGAGGAGAUGAAGAAGAGGAUGAAAAAGAAGAAGAAGACGGCGACACGGCACCUGGGAAGGGGCUGUGUACGGCGGCCCCCUGGAUGACGUCACCAGCCGCCGUCGUCGUACCGGGUAGUUGUUGAUCCGGCCCUGCCACAUCUUGCUCUCGCUCCCGACGGGCGGCAGCGGCCUGGUCGCACACACACACACGGGUGGGGUGUGUAUUCGAAGGGGGUGGGGGCGGAAAAGGGGAAUUCAAAGGGGAAAGGGGAUGGCCCCGGGGUUCAGGCUUUGGGCGUUUCGAGGGGUUAAAAAAGAAACUGCUCCAUAAAAGGCAAACAAUUCCGGAAGUUACGAUGGACGAAUCUCACGUUUUGCAUAGGCUUGAAAGUACGGAAAUGCUGUACGAGGGGUUGUUGUACCAGCGCUGGUAAGGAGCGGGGCAACCCAGUAACCCAAAUGGUACGACAGCAUUAUCGUAAUAGCGAGCAUCCACAUACAUACAUACAUACAUACAUACAUACAUACAUACAUACAUACAUACAUACAUACAUACAUACAAAUGUCAGGCGGCUGGCAGAGGUUAAGGCCUGACUUCUGCUCCCGGCCGACCCGGGUUCAAAUCCGCCUGCCGGCUCCUCGGGUGUUUGAGGAAUGUUGAAUUGGGAAGUGGCCCCCCAUCAUAUGGACGAUGUAGGACGUGAUAAAUUCAACUUGCGAGCUGACCAGGAACUGAGUUGAUGCGCCGUUGAUCCGCUAGAUUUGGUUGGAUGCUGGUGGUGAGUUGCCGAACCCAACGAAUACAUUCUGAAGUCGGAUGGGGUGAACGGAUGAGAAGGGUGCCCCUCUAGCAGGGGAGAGCAGGGACUGCCCGGGAAAGGGGGCCGCUGGCGAAGCUAUAUCAACCUGUAACAACAUACAUACAUACACACACACUUACCCGCAGCUCAGCCUCCCUCCGCUCCCUGCGGACCAAAUCCGGAGGCAGCUCUAAAGCGAAUCUGCCCAGAGCACCCGAUCGAUAGUCCGUCAGCAGCCGUACACCCGCACGCUCUACGUCACCGCCGUACUGCCGUACAGCCAGCGCCACCACGAAGUCCUCUGCGCUGCCCACCGUCUACCGUCGUUUCGUCGCCCCGGGGGGGUUGGGUUGGGGGGAAGGGUUUUAUCAUGUCGUUCAGGAAACACGUCCAGGGACGCGGGGUUUGACUGUUGAGGCUUGAGGGAUUAGGAAUUGUUUGAUUUCUAGUUUUUAUUUGGGGUUGGCGGAACUUGUAACGACAUCUUUUUGGGGUCGGUGCGUGUAUAUGUGUGUGUACGUAAGUGUAGUUGUCCCCUUCGGUUCCCCUUUAGGGGAUGACAACUUAUGUGUGUGUACGUGUGUGUCAGUGCGUACAGAACGAAUACUUAUCGCCCCUAACGGCCCCACGCUCUAAAAACCCCCAAACCCCCCCGCCCCCCCCCCCANNNNNNNNNNNNNNNNNNNNNNNNNNNNNNNNNNNNNNNNNNNNNNNNNNCAUACCCUCCCCGACACGUACCAGGGGGUCCACGCCGUACCGUCGCCGUACUGCCUCCAACACGCCGCCCACAACUCCACCACCACCACCACCAGCGGUAGAACCUGCACCUGCUGCCGCCUUCCCCUUCCCCUUCCCCUUCUCCUGCUCCGUCUCAUCGCCGCCUGCUCUGUCUCUCCGCCGCCCCUUAACAACGCCUCCUCCCCCUCCCCCUCCCCCUCCCCCUCCCCCUCCUCCUCGUCCCUUUCCCCCCGUGUCCUCCACUUCCUCCGCCCCUCCCGCCGCCCCGGUGGGCCUCCCUUCUGCUACUGCUCCUGUUGCUGCUACAGCUACUCCAUUACUACCCGCGGGUGUAGCGAGAUCGGCGGCGGCGGUAGCGGCGGCGGCGGCGGCGGUGGCGGCGGCGGCAGCGCUCUCCCCAGCCGCCAGCUGUUUGAUCCUUAGAACCAGCGCCGCCGCCACCGCCGACGCCAAGUACGCCGCCUCACCGAUGUCGUUACACAUCGCCAAACGUUGCGCCGCCAACUGAUCUCGGAAAGAAGCCGGAAUCACUCCAGGGGCGUCCAGAAGGUCGAGCUGCUCGUCCACUCGUACCCAACGAAGCUGCCGUGUAACGCCUGGUUUCGGCGCGGAGGCGACGGCGCGGCGGUUGACGAGGCGGUUGAUGAUUGCGGACUUGCCGAUGUUUGGAAACCCAAUGACGCAGGCGCGGACGGGUCGGGGCUGUAGACCGCGCUUGGCUCGUUUGGCAUUGAGCUGGGCGGCGACCUGCAAGUCGAGUUGAAGGCCGGGAAAGAAUUCAAAUUUGAAAAAACUGACAAGACGGAGGCGGUUUUAAACGUGAGUAACCUUGUGUGUCAACAGAUCCGUCAAAGGAUCCGUUUUCGGCUUCUCCACAACACCCCCCGGUGUGUGUGUGCAUAUCUGUCUGUCUGUUUGUCUGUCUGUCUGUAUGAAUGUCUGUCUAUUUGAAUGCCUAGGGGAAUCCUUUGCUGGAUAUGGCUGUACGGGGUCCAGGAAGCGCAAGGCAGCAACGGAAUGCGAUUGGCCCUCUUUACCCCCACACACCCCCCACCCCACACACACAAUACACACACACAGGCAGCCACAUCCCAACGAGAGGUCCCCUCAAGGCAGCACCUUGAGCAGCUCCUUCUUCACACCCCGGACCCCGUCGCCGCUUCGCCCGUCCGUCCAAAACACUUGCUGCCGCGUGGCACGGAAGUGCGCUCUCCAAGCCGCCAGAUCGCGCUCCGAAACCUCGUCUGCCCGGUUCAUGAGCAGCAGACGCGGCUUGACUCCCACCCACUGGGCGAUCUGCGGGUGGUGUGUGGAGAUGGGGAUGCGGGCGUCGCGAACCUCCAACACCACAUCCACCAUUCCGAGCUGGGCCUGGGGGGGGCCGGGCGGGACGGGGAAGGGGGGGCGGAGGGGUGAGAGGGGGGGGAAGGGCGAGUUUGGGGGGUUUUGGGUUGUGUGGGUGUGCUAGUGGAUACGAGUGGUAGCGGUAGCAGGUGGUUAAAAUUACGGUACAGAUAGACAAACAUACAGGCAGCCAGAUAGACAGGCAGACAGACAAACAGGCAGUCGGGUAGGGGGAGGCAGUCAGGUGGCAGCACCGGCAGCAGCAGCAGUAGCAGCAGCAGCAGUACCAACUAACAGCAACAGUAGCAGCAGCAGUACCAACUAACAGCAGAAGUACCAACUAACAGCAGCAGUAACAGCAUGCAAAGCGCCCGCGCUGCCUAAUACUUAGCUGGCCCCCUUAACACGUUCAAGAGAGCGCCCAUUUCCGUUCCCUCCUUUUUUUCCCCUUUCUCGCUCACACAUACACACAGGCACACACAUACACACAUACACACUCUUAUUCUCUUUUCCCCCCUCGCCGCUCCCUCUCACAAGCAAAUAAAUACAAAUAUACACACCACACACGCAUACUUUGAGUUGUCUCUCGGCUCGGGCGAUGUGGCCCGGAUACCAUUGCACCAUGCGGACCUGGGGGGUUGGGGAAGUAAGGGAGUUGGGGGUUGGGAGGGUUAGGGUUAGGGGUGGGUAGGGGGUGGGUAGGGUUAGGGGGGUGGGUAGGGUUAGGGGGUGGCGGCCCGUGAAGUUGUCAGGUCAGACGAGGUGAGGUGAGGUCCGUUGAUGUUCGGGGUUUUGAUUUUCCGUUUAAUGCUUUUUAACCCCUUCGAAUCCUGCCGUUAGCAGGGGCAGGAUAGAGGGGUAGGAUUAUAAAUGACAUUCCCCAUACACCGAGGUCGCUGCCAUUUUAAAAUCGGUAUUCUACCCCGGCCCACCUGCAGUGAUUCAUCUGACAUGUCUGAAAGCUGGAGGUAGUUGCGACCACCAGUUUCAGCGGCUGCCACGGCGUCCUGGUCAUCUAAGACGAGGUCGUCGCCGGUCAGGAGUUCCUGCUGGCUGCUGGCGGCUGCCAUCGACAGUGCACAAUGUGAGGUGGAAGAGGAGACCUUGAAGCGGUUGUACACGGGCCACCUUGGGCAGAAAGAAGAUGCAGUGAGGAGGGAGCCAGGUAGAUGCAUGGCUUUGUGGCGUAAGGGAUGCGCUGCCGGUGAGCAACGCGGAGACGUCGACGUGACUAGUCGAUGCAUUGAGCCUAUCGGCCUCAGCGGCAAUUCACCCGUGCUAGUUGCCAAGCUCUGCAUCCUCAUAUAACAUAUAGGUUUACAGCUACGGCGACGGAAACUCGUUUGGAUGAGUUUAGUCGGCGGGUCACAACUCACAAGCAGAGUCCUGCUCACAAGACUCACAGCAAACCAACCUUCCAAGCUGAAGUAGGCUAGAAAUAUUACGCUUUGCAAGGAGCCUAACAAUUUGGGCCUAAGCAGCCUUAGUUCGCUGAAUCGUUUCCAGUGCCUUGCCGUAACUAACGGUCUGCCACCACAUUUCCUAGUCCCCCUUUUAUUUUCGCGUUGUGUUGCUUCCAACUAAACAGCUUGGUUUUUGUAAUUGAUGAAAACACUGUAGCACCCAAAAGGCAGCUUGUCUGCGGUUGGUCGUUCGGCGCUGGUGUUUCCUAAUGGCCUUAUAAAUGCGUUAAUCUUUUUAAACCUCUCGCUGUACCAUAAUUCAAAUAAUAAGGAGCUGUGGUAGCGCCGCCGCUAGGCCCCCACAAUCACAGCAGCAAGCAUGCCCGCGCUUGCACUUGUCCUCGUCGACUCGUUGCUCAAGGUCGCCGGUGGCGUUGCAAUUGGUUGGUUGCUACGCGACGCCUCAUCUAAGCGGAGCGCCAGGAAAUCCGCCAGCGCCAGCAGCACAAAGAAGGCCGGCAACAACAGCAGCAAGGCAGCAGCUCGCCGCGCGGGCGCUGCUGCAGCUGCGUCCCCCUCGCCUGCUCCCGUUCCCCGCCCCAAAGAGGAGCUCAAAAUGGUCCUGUGCGUCAACAUGUCUUUAAAAAUGGGUACGGGCAAAGUGGGCGCGCAAUGCGCGCAUGCGGCUGUGGGGGUCCUCUGGGCGCACUACCAGAGCCACAACGUUGCUAUACGGCAGUGGGAGAUGUAUGGACAACCCAAGAUUGCGCUUAAGGUAAGCCAGCCGGUAACCCGAGCGGUAAAGGAGUGCUAUCUGGGUCAGGGCAUCUGCAACCCCUGCACAUAUAGCCAGCAGCACGUCGAAUCUCACAAUUGAGGGGCCCGGGCCCCCGGAGACCUCUCUCUCGCGGGGAGGGGUAACCUCCGCGGGGAGGGGAGGGAAAGCAAAGGCCCGUCGGGGCAAGUGCAGCAUCCCAUGUGCGCGGAAACAAAAGCCGAUGGAUCAGACUUGUGGGGGGAGGUGAAGAGGUGUAUGGGAGGGGGCCGCGUUGCUUGGGACAUACGUGUGUGUAUGUAUGUAUGUAUGUAUGUGUUAAGUAGGGGGGUUCAGCUUCACUACCCACCACCGACAUCGCUGUAUGUGUAUCUAUUUGUAUGUGUAUCGAUAUGUGUGUAUCGAUGCGUGUGUAUAUCUAUGUGCGUGUAUCUAUGUGUAUGUGUAUCUAUGUGUGUAUCUACGUGUGUGUGUGUUCUGCACCCCUGCAAACCCCGCGUUGGACAGUUGAAGAGAACCAACGCAACCAGAGGAGUGCUAACCAGACCACCUCUCCGCAUCACCACUGUCAUUUCCCUUGAAGGCUUGACAGGAUUAUAAAAGUGUUCAGGUGGCCAAGAGCACGUGUGUAUUGGUUCAGGUCCUGACGGUUUGGGAACGGACGCCAGCGACGGCGCCCCCUCCCCCCGAACCAGGGGGUGCACUUCCAACGGGGCUCUCAUUGAAAUGACUUUCCUAAAGCUCGUAUGUAUGCAUACAUACAUACAUACAUACAUACAUACAUACAUACGUUGCGUGUAGGUGGGCGACGAGGCGGAGAUGGCGGAGCUAGAGGCUAAGGCGGUGUCGCUGGGCAUGCCCACCUACAUCGUUCACGACGCAGGUCGGACCCAAAUCGCUGCGGGCUCUCAGACGGUGCUGGCCAUAGGGCCCGCACCCAAGAGUGAGCUGGACACCGUCACGGGGCACCUGAGGCUGCUGUGAAGUGUGAGAAAAAGAAGGAAAAGAGAAAAAGAAAAAGGCUCCCAAGGUGUCAUCACUAAGAAUAAUUGAUUUAUUCCGGAUUGGGCUCCUAGGCUCACAGGCUCCUAGGCUCGCAGCGUCAUGUAUGGCAGGGGCCGAGACCUUACUUUUUAACCCCAAAUCAGUGUCACAUCCUCCGCUGCGAGGUGGCAACCAUGGCAGCUGUUGGUGGUGAUGGUGGUGGUGAUGAUUUGUUGGGUAGUUUUAUAAGCAGCAAACCAAAACAGGUUCCCUGUCGCUCUUUUUCUAAUCGUGACUUGGUUCUCAAGUUUAUAGAGCUGGAUUCCUGAACUGCAAGGAGAUGGAUAGAGAGGUAGAGGAACAGGGGGAAGAGGAGGAGGAGGAGGGGAUGGUGUUUCAUUUUUCAGGCUAGCAAGGCGAGAAAAGCGGGACGAGGACAGACGCUUCGGAGGAAGGCAGGAGGCACAAAUAAAUUAAGAGCAGGAUGAGGAGGAAGAUUAGAAGGACGCGGUCUAGAAGGUGGCACGGGACAAAGGGAGGUGCGGGAGCUUACAGACAAAUAAACCGAUGGACACAGCAAAGCAAGGGUGCAGCCAUGAUGGAGUGCUGCGUUGGCUUACCUGCUAUGAGCACUGACUCGGCAGAGCGCGCGUGUGCGGGAGAGGAAUGGCUUUGAGGGUUGAGGUUAUUCGACGAUAAAGCAGCUAUCAUCGUAAGCUUGGCGAUUCGGCACCGCCAACCGGAAAUCGCACGAGCUCGCAAGACGUGCGAGCAGAGGGGACGGACGCUGUACAGCAUCGUAAUGAGACUUUCAAAUGUCGUUGCGCCCUAUGGGCCCUACCAGGCACCACUAACUUGCGUACAUACACACAUCCCGUACAACCUGUUGUCGCCUACAUAGUAUCCUGAUUUUAAACUUUUUUAUUCUAAUACUCGUCAACAUGGACUAGUAUUCUUCAACUUCUGCUCCUAUGGAGGCCUAAAACCCUAAGACCCAUACCACUACACCGAAACAGCUGUAAUACCUAUUACUAUUACUACUACUACUACCACUACUGAAACCGCAGGCAGCUACAUGCCAGCAACACCGUUAGCACAGCCAGUAGCAACAACAACAACAACAAGUUUCGCAGCUGACACGUGAAUAUCACAGAGACAGGCACACCGCGGCCUGACUACAUAAACACAAAAAACCUCCGUCCGCAAGCGCUCUACUGCCGACGUGCCGUAUAUAUACACGCCACCUUUCCCAAAACUGCACACGGCACGUGGAAAGCAGCGGACCAACCCUCACCAUGGGGUGUACGGUCGACAUAUAUGUGUAUAUGUAUAUACGUAUGUCCACAUAUCGACCGCUGUGACCGACAAGAACACAAAAGAACACAUGCGCGCGUACAGACGGACGUACGCAUGUCCAUGCUGGCCGGGUGCGCGUCAUUCCAUCCUUAGACGGAGACGAGGAUUCCCUCUAGAAAUUCCCUCUAGACGUGCGUUCACGGCUGUGUACGGUUGUAUACGGUUGUAUACGGCCAUAAGAGCUUGCGCUGCGUCGAGGUUGUUGAAUCUGAAGACGACAAAUGUGUGCCGCACGGUUCCACCGUGUGCAGCACUAGACAACAGUAAAAAGUCAGAAUGUCGACGAACAAAGAAUAGGAGGAACUGUGCUGCUGGCAAACACACACACACACACAUACACACGAACAGACAUCUCCCUGAAAUGUCAGCCAGGCUGACAUAUGCUGUCAAAGCCUGUGCGGUGCGUGCACACACGUGGCUUGUACGGCAUCACUUCACAGGUCCCAGCCUUGCUAGCUGCCGGCUGCUGGGUGGCCAACAGUAGCUCAUAUCACCCUGCCACGACAAGUUAUAACAGCUAAAAAAACACUUAUAGAUGUAAUAACCAGGCUAUGCCAAGCUAAAAGCUGUGCUAGAGCCCGGCAGCCAUACAUGGCACGACAUACACCCUCGGGAGUCCUACCGCACCGCAGAGCACAGCCCGUACUAGGUCUAUCGAUCUAGCGAUCCUGCUGCUCUUGUGCCUGCCGCCCAGCUAGCUGCUGCUGCUAAUAACUCGUUCGGCUACUCGUUCAACUCCAGUGAAGUGAACUAGUAGGUGGUGAGGUAAGCGGGUAACUCCCGCCGCCCUUCCGCGCGGUUACUACACUACUACUACCCCCGAAGCUUCUUCUUCUUCACCCAGUGGGGCGCUGUGUCGUCCGAGUACCUGCAGCAGUGCGGUGCAUGAACAUAAACAUACUUACAUACAUGCAUACGUACAUGCAUGUAUGCAUGCAUAACCUAUUUGAAAACAAGCAAAGCACGCGCACGUACACAUAUAUACCUGUAGUCGUAAGUGAUUUCCGUGCCCGGUGCCAGGUUCUUAUCCGCCAAGAUGGCAAUGCGGCUCUCCCCGUCCACGAGCAGCACCUUGGCCUUCGCGACAGGCUCCUCGCUGUGGUUGGCGCAGCGGAGCUUGUUGCCCCUGCAGGCAGGGGUAUGUUGCGAGGGGAACAUUCGGAACAAGCUCUCGGCAAUAAUAAAAAGAUUUCAGUGUUUUUUUGGAAAUAGUGUUUCUUCCACCGAUACACACACAGCAGAUGGAUGCGUGUCAUUACAUGGGUAGCUGCUGUAUGCAGCGGCACGAGCGCUAGCGGCGGGGGGGAUGAAAUGUGUAAAAAGAGAAAGGGAUUGAAGGAUGGCUGCUGCUGGGUGCGUGCGUGCACACGUGGGCACAUAUACAUACAUAUGCGCCCUGAGGGGACCCCGUGGUCACAAAAGGGCAGAAAGGGAAUCAACAUAACACACGUCGUUGUCAGUGCAAUUCCGAUACUCUUUUAAGGUACUAUUAUCUUAUCAGGCUGUGUGGCCACUCACUUUAUACCACUGUGCAUAUCUAACCCUUUUCCCUUUUUAAGCCUAUCUGGGCCGCACUCUCUGCCGACGGCAUUUUCUCAUGCUGCUGCUGCUGCUGCUACUGCUGUUGCUACUGCUAGUACUGCAAAUUGCUUACCUGAAUUUCGCGUCGACAACCCACUCGUUGUUCAGGUUGAACAGGUAGCUGCAUGUGCCACCAGACAGGGAAGAAAAUACAUACAUACAUACAUAUAUACAGCGAGGCGAGGAUUUUGAUAAGAGAGGCGUCGUGUCGCUGUCAAUUAAUAUAUUCCACAAACAUCAUCGCAAUGUUUGCAUGCGAUGCAACAAUGUCACAAAUAAAUGGGAGGACCACCAGACCUUACCGCGUGACCAGCGAGAAUAAGUGUGUCACGUCCGUAUGUCCGUAUGUCCGUAUGGAUAAACAAGUUGGGCGACAGCAAUGCGGCCCAACUUUAUUCUAUGUGUCGCAAAAAGGAGCCAUAUUGGGAAAGCGAGGGGAUUCCACAACCCACAACCCACAACCCCCGGGGGGGGAAAGACGAACCACACGCGAUUGAAGCUGCUGCCAGGGCAAGAUAGUAGCAACCGAAAGAACUGACCGAAAGGCGUCCGUGGCGACUGUGACGACUGUAACCUCGAGAUGACGACUGUAACCUCGGGACGAAGAAUUGACGUAGAUGUUGGAAGUCCUACCUACCUAAGCCGCCAGAAAUAUUAUAGCCAAACCGUAAACUAGUAGGUGUAGAAAAAGUAGUGAAGGCGGCGAGAAAAAAUGCGGCGAGAAAAAAUGCUGACGUAAAAGAGGCGUAAAGUUGCUGGCCAGGAAAGAAAGCUGCAUUGCUGAUACUGAAAGGCUGCCGGUAUGCAAGUGUUCCUCCCAACCCCCCAAAAAAACUAGAACGCGCGACUGACCCGACCGACCCAAACUAAACUAUUCCGGCUAGCCUACCGACACCAACGCGAAAUACCAAAGAAGCUCGAACCACCUUUUGGACUCACCUGGCCAGGCAGCAGGAGCAGCGGGUAAAGGCACAUGCAAGGCAGAGAGGUUGGGGAAUUUGUGAGCAGCGAAAGAAAAAUACGAAAACGCAUGCAAAUGCUGCUGAAAAGGAGUAUAAAACUAGCUGAUCGGGGAAGCUGGAAACGAGAAGCCCUAAAGAACCUAUAUGAAAACGGAAGAAAACGCAGGAACUAAAAAAUAAUAAUAGCAAAAGGCGGCGCAGGACGACACAGAAGGUGUCGUACGAGAUGACCUAAUGACGCAUUGGACGGGAUGACGCAUUGGACGGCGUGUAUGCCGGCAGAAUGCAAAGAAGGGGGUUGGAAAGAACGCAAACGCGAACGUUCUUUCCAACGCAAAAGAAAAGCCAAGCCCAAGGGAGGAGAGGGAGUUGGUAGGAAGAGAAGCGCAAGUGCGCGGGCCGGGGCCACCCGUGGCUCCCGCCAACCUGCGCGCACUAGGGGCAUGUGCAUGCAGCCCCGUCGUGCCUAAUACGUGGGGAGGGGAGGGGAGGACGUCAGGUUUGGGGGGGUUGAGGCGGGAGUGGGAGAUAGGUAGCGGGAAGUGGAGGGGUUCGGCGUGAAAGGGAGCGGGAACUGGGUUGGGAGAAAGAGGGGAAGGAGCUGGAGAUGGGGGAGGUGGCAAAGGAGGGAAUUUAGGUAUGGGAGGCAGGAGCUGGAGGUGGGUAAAGGGAAGAGGUGUGCUGAUAGCGACAAGCGCGCAAUACGGAGCAGGUAGAGCUAGUGCGAGAGAAGUGGGCAGUAAGGCGCGCGAGGGGAAAAAACAGCGUAGACAACUCCGUAAACAGGGACGGGAUCACGGAGAAGAGGGGACGAGGGCAUCGCGCACAGCUAAGCGGGAGGGGGAAGGUUUUCAAGUGGGAAGAAAAAUGCAAUGCAAUAACAAAAGGGUAACAAAGAAGUGAGGCGGGUAACUCCCCCGGGGGGGGGGAGUUUGAACCCCGGUCCCCUCUUGUUUAUUUUACCUGUUAUUCAUGAAGUCGUAGAUGCUACCCCGCCGGUUGGCUUCGUCCUGUGUUCAUUAGAGCACACACGGAAAGAAACAGCCGUAGCAGUAGCAGCAGCAGUAGCAGCAGCAGUAGCAGCAGCAGCAGUAGCAGGUGAAAGCCCUCAAGGGUAUUCUAUCUGCUUUGUGCGCCCUGUAGGCCUGAAACAACACUGUUGUGCAACAGGGUUUUCAAUCCAGAUCAUCAUCCCCAUCUGCAACUGCAACUGCGUCGCCCGAGGCCUUACACCUCCGUCGUCAGCGCACCUCCACAUAUUGACUAGAAGCCUAACAUCUUCAGCAUCCGAGCAACACCCACACCCACACCCUCACCCACCCACCCACCCGCCUAGUCACCCUCACCCCCAUCCACCCACCCCCCCACCUGUGUAAUCAAGUCCCCGGUGUACUCCCCAGAGCCGUUCUUAGCCCGUACUGUGCCGUGAAUAAGCCCCAACCAGCUCCUGCGGUUGGGGCGCCGGGGAGGUGCAAAUUUGGCCGUGGCGACGCAUCAGAAGAUGAGAUGCGCAGCCGAGGUAGGUGUGAUGUGUGGGACAGGGGGGCCAUAUCUUCACCCGUGGCCGCUACCCGGCGAAACCCUGCCUUUCCCGGUAUUUCGGGGCACCCUCGUCUAGUCACCCUAGUCACAACUUCUCAGUGGAUCGCAAUGGUCCGCGCCUUACCAGUAGUGCCUAAUCUGAGUCUAUAGAAGUAAGUAGCCAUAAUGAUACAUUACUAAAAUAUAUACGAUAAUGGUGAAUUCUCGAAGUACAAGGCACACACGCACACACACACAAACACACCUCCCACCUGCUCCCCCCCCCCGCACUCCUCUCCCCGGCCCGCUUCUCUUCCUACCAACUGCCUCUCCUCCCUUUGGCAUCAGCCAGCUUCACUCGCUCGUGGUUCGUCUCCCCCUCCCCCCCCCCCCGUCGCCGCACCCACCAGGGAUGUCCGAGGUACCCAGCACUACGCGGGCGUGUUGCCGCAUGCGCAGCCGCAUGUUGUGGCACUCGCGGCCCGGCUCCGCCCCGCACUCCAGGGUGGUCGCACAGCCGCCGCACAGGUCCGGGUCGCACUCGCGGCCCGCAGCCCAGCAGGGGCACAUGUUGGUCCUGCAGCCGGACUUGCAUGUGCAGCCACGGAACCUGGUCCACAUCGAACAUACAUAACGAUACACAUAUAGCUGGCUAGCUGGCUGUAGAUAGAUAGAUUAGAUAGAUAGAUUAGAUAGAUAGAUUAGAUAGAUAGAUUAGAUAGAUAGAUAGAUAGAUAGAUCCAUCCAUCCAUCCAUAGGUAGGUUAGGUACUUGCAUGCGCACUAGGCGGCACUCGAAAGCCUCACAGGGUCGCAGCCACCCCCCCCCCCAGCACCCUCACGCUCCCAGCUCUCUCGGGAGACUCACCUCUCCCGGCAGGAAGUGCUGCAGCCACAGAACUUCUCACAGAAGUUGCGGACGCGCACGCAGGAGCAGUCGGCCUUGCACUGGCCCACGCAGGUGCAGGGCUGGUACUCGUGCCAGUCGCUGUUGCCGCCCUGUUGUGCGCGCGAGCUGGCAACCAGCGAGCGAGCGUACUUGUUGUUGUUGGUCAGGACGGUCUGAAAACCACCGGGGUAAGUGUUUCGGUGAGGCGACAGGAGAGGAGGGGAGGGGAGAUAUGAGUGGCGAGGCGAGGCGAGGAGAGGAGAGAGGGGGAGAGGAGGGAAGAAACAAGGUAGGUAGGUAGGUAGAUAGGUAGGUAGGUAGGUAGGUAGGUAGGUGUGUACAGCUCCUCACGCACUCUUCACUGCAUCAUCAUGUACAUAAUCGCUGUGUACUGCAUCAUCACGUGUACCUUCCUCGCUCGGCCACCCUUACGGCGUGCAGCUGGCUGGUGCUCCACCCGGCCGCUGUUGAGGUCGCCGUUGAGGGCAUCACCGCCGCCGCCAGUACCAGUACCGCCUUCCCCGUCGCCGCCGCCGCUGCCGCCACCGUUAGCCCCCAGCGGCGCAGCCCCGCCACCGCCGCCGCCACCGCCACCGGCAGCGGCGGCCUCCGGACCGGCAGCAGCAGGAUCAUCAUCAUCAGCCACAGCCGCUGCUCCUGCAGUAUCAGCGGCAGCUGCUGUUGCUGCCGUCGGCAUCCACGUCGUGGCAGCUGCCAAACCAUUUGCCGCUGCUACCUCUUCCGCUUCCGCUGCUGCUGCUGGCUGGCCGCCGCCGCCGCCGCCGCCACCGCCGCCGCCGCCGCCGCUGCCGCCGCCGCCGUCUCGGUGUCCAAGGUGAAGUUGCUCCAUGGCCAGCUUCACAGCGGCGCACGUGUGUAUGGCCGUGUUGCCCAGCAGCCGGGUGACCAGGCAGGGGUUACCCAUGCCAAAGACCUACGCACGCAAGUGUACGGCGGAAUACACCUUCAGCCCCCUCUCUCCUUGCCUGACUGGCUCGCCGACUUUACUUGGAGGGCCCCCAAAAAGGUUCGUAUGUAUGUAUGUAUGUAUGUAUGUAUGUAUGUAUGUAUGUAUGUGCUCCCCUUACGACUUCGAUGUAGGGUAGCGCAACUCCAGCAGGUAUGUAACACACAUGAAAACAUACAUACAGGCAUACACACAUGCAUACACAGUCCGACUCAAGACGACCCACGUCAGCUGGAUUAUCCAACGCGCGUACGACACACAAACGUCAACGUGGUAUGGAGCCUUGAGGAUGAUAAUUAUAAUAAUCUCAUCCCUAAUUAUUUAUUUUGCACAUUUUCAUUCGGAACACAUCCGGUUCGCAAAAGUCCGCAACUGCCUGUCUAUCCGCCCUACCUAACCACCUACAUAACUACCUACCUAAACUACCCACCCACCAACAUACAUACACACAUACAUACCUGAAUUCCUUGCCUCACAAGGGACAUAUCGUACGGGCUAAAAGAGCAUGAUGGGCUGUCGUCCCUGUCGUCAUCACCGCCGCCGUCGCCGCCACCCAGGUGUCCCGCCCUCCGGAGAUGUCCUAGCUGCUGCGGCCCCUGCGGGCCCCGUGCCGCGACUUGAUGAGCAGCAGCAGCCGCAGCCGCAGCCGCAGCAGCAGCCGCAGCAGCAGCAGCUGAGCCGGCACCUCCACCACCACCCCCAGCCCCGUCACCCGCACCCACAUCCGCAUCCAUUAUCAUCGCCGUCGUGUCGUCCACACCUCCAUCCGCCGCCUCAGCUGCCCGCGGCCCACCACCACCACCACCACCACCACCACCACCACCAGCAGUAGUAGUAGUAGGGGGUCCUCGGAAGCCGCCAGUCGAAACCCUCAGUGGCGGCACCCUCGCGGCCAGGCGCCAGCAGCCAGGGCUGCAGGGCAGCUCGCUGGCGCCCCGCGGAGGGGGACGAGGGGGAGCUGGACGGUGAUGGGGUUUGACGUGGCCGCCGCCUACCUCACAUACACACGCACACAUACACACGCACACAUACAUACGCACAUACACAUACAUACACACGCACACAAACAAAAAAACACGCACACAUACACACGCACACAUACACACGCCCAUACACACACACGCACACAUACACACGCACACAUACACACAGACACGCACACAUACACACGCACACAUACACACAGACACGCACACAUACACACGCACACAAAAAACACGCCAUGGGCAGGUCAUCCAAAGUGGUCACCCGGCCAGCCGCGUAGAUCCGGAGGGGGGGAGGGGGAUCAGAGAGGGGGAGUGAGCACUCGGGGGGCGGGGGGGUAACAACACGAACCACUGACGACGAUCGAAGCAGACACCAGCAAUAGCAGCCGGGAGGUUUACUGUAUGCACUUUCCGGGUGCAUAGCAUGGCCGUACAUAUUCCCGUACACAUGGAAAAGCACGCACACAGCCGAUUUUUGACUGAUUUUCGAAUCGGCAUGUGUGAGCGCGUAGGCGGCCCUGGUGGUGAUGAAGGCCCUCGCGAGUGCUAGGGCUAGGUGGGCACCCUAUAUAUAGGAGAUUGCGGUUGCUAACCCCGGGAACGAGGCGGCGCGGGGGGGGGGGGUAACCCAGGCGGCGACUGCACUAACGGCCAACUAAGGAGUGCAGCUUGCAGCAGCACUGGCGGCACCAAGCAGCAGCUACUCGCAGCAGCAGCAGGAAGGAGGAGGCACGGGAGGCAACGUUUGGACAAAUAGAGGAGAGUAGACAGGUUUUUACUUACGGUACUUACUUACCGUGUGUACGGCAGCCGUAGAUACGGCAGCGUCGGCAGAAGCCCCCGGUAAACGCGUCCAGCACCUCCUCCACCUAUCAUGUUUGUAUGCAUGUACGUAUGUACGUACGCAUGUAUGUAUGUAUAUGUCACCAAGGGAGCAGGAAAACACAGGCAGGACGGGACACGCGAAGAGGCCAUUGUUUGCUGGCAAGAUGAGUAAAACCUUGGUGAUGUAAAUCACCUUUCCGACCUUUGCCGGCAUGCAUGUCCCGUAUAGUGGCCAGCUUGUUAAGAGAGCCCCUUCCAAUUCCCGGUCCAAUGAAAUCAUGAAAAGCAAAUGAUUCACCGGCCGAGCAGGGCAAAGCAACCCCGCCCCACCAACCCCGCAUGCCCGCCCGGCUAUCCUAGCUGUAAGCAUCAAGGCAUGCGCACCCAUCGACUUCACCCACACACAUAUCCACAAACCGCAACCCCCCCACACACCGCACACCUCGAUGCCCUCCCGGUCCUCAUCCACCAAUCUGGGACGUUGCAGGUAGGCGAGCCGCUGAGCAACGGCCUCCCGCUCCGGCUUCGGCCGCAGGACCUCCGUCAACGCCUACACACAACACCAAGCUCCAGGCCGUUAGUUGGUUGGUUGGUUGGUGAGUUAGUUGGAGGAUUCCCCAACAUCCACGUUGGGAAUUUAAUAAUAACAAUAACAUUAUGAAACGGAUAACACCGGAGGUAGUGUGGCUAUUAUACUAUUCUUAUUAGGACUAUAUUUACGUAAUUUUAGGACGCAGCGGCAGAAAUAGGAAGAGCGAGCAGCAGGAAAUCACAAUAAUAUUUAACAUUUAAUACUUAACAUAAUUAACAUUUAGUAAAUAAAUAAACAUUUAACAUUUAAUAUUUAAUAUAAUUAAUUAAACUGUAAACUAUUUAGGCAACAUGCAUGCAUCCAUCGGCAACCCACUAUUACUAUUACUACCCCUACUCCUACUCCUACCACCAGCAGCAGCACUACCAGCAGCGCCACAGGGCACCAGCAGGCGCCUGGAGACAUCGCACCAGCAUGCCAAAUGCAUGAUGUACAUACAUACAUACAUGUGUACGUACAUCCGUCCAGUCACCCACUGCCGUACGCACCUCCAGGACAUUUGGAUCUUCCCAGCCGUACUCCUCGGCUAGUCGGCUCAUGGACCAGUCCACGGCGGCCCCGUCAAUAUCCUCCCAGGGUAGACGCUGCGCAUGUAUGUAUGUAUGUAUGUAUGUAUGUAUGUAUGACGUUGAUUACACUGUGGGCUGAAAAGCCGGGGGCCCAGGGCCGAAGCACAGCGCGAGGGGCGGGUGCAUACGGCUGGUUAGUCUCAUGCACUCCGCCCCCGGGUCAGGCCGCACGGGAAACGACGGCCGGCACGCAACAGCGCUUGUUUGGCGCUCCAACUAGACGGGAUCUAUGCCCGUUGGUCUCCUAACAUAAACGAAGUCGCAACUGGGGGGCUCUUCCUGCCGACCGAACGAACCGAGCAUCUUAGAGAGCUCGCAACCAGGACCUGGGCGACCGGGAGCCCGACGAGUCAUCCCGGGCUGGGGAGGUCACCAAGCUCAAAAAUCCUCAUGCAAAAAAAGAGCGCAAAGAGCUCACACCACAAGACGCCAAACAGCCUCCUGAGACUACUACCCUCCUCAUGUAUGUAUGUAUGCAUGUAUGCACCCAGGAUAAUACAGAAGGCAUGGAAGGUAUCUAUCGAUGUACCAUCGAUGUACACACAUAAUGCAUAUCGACUGCACACACACACAUACAUACACACCACUGGGCGGGAAAUGAAAGGAAGAGCAUACACACGCUACAUACAUACAGAUCAUACGGGUCAUCCAGCCGAGGCCCAAACCCCGUGGCCCAAUCCUCUUCCUCCUCCUCCUCGCCAAGCAAGCACCAGAGGCAGACAGAGGGACAGACAGACAGGCAGACAGACAGACGGACAGAUUUCCGCGCUACCCUGCCUACCUCCUCCGUCUCGCCAUCGUCUGCAGGCACCGUCUCCCCAACAUCGUCAACCAGGAACAUGCGCCGGCCGUGGUCCCGUGCCAACUCGUUUCGCUUCAAGUACGACCACGUGGUGUACGACGGCGGCUUUACAUACAUUACAUACAUACAUAUACGUACAUACAUACAUCACAGAGCACAGAGUGCAUUACAUAGCAGUUGGACGGGGGAGUUGAAAGGGGGCGGAGGUUGGGAGGCAGGCAGAGUGAGUCAGCAGGAGAGACGCGAGGAAGCUCAGGCCUAGGUGAUGAGCGGGUGCGUGCGUUAACAAAGUCGAAUUCUAAUUCUUAAUCAAGGACUACAAGCGCAGGAAGUAUCUAUCUAUCUAUCUAUCUAUCUAUCUAUCUAUCUAUCUAUCUAUCUGGCUAAAUGGUGCCGCAAUGGGCACCACCACCUUGACACACCACAUUGGCGGCUCCUCGCUCUCGCUCGCUCUCACCCACCGGUUGCACUGCGGGCAGUACGACUAUGCGGGAGCGCAAGGGUUGGGCGCUGCCUGAAGACUUGACGACCGACCGUCGGUCGGAAAGAGGGAGCGGGAGCGGGUUGGAACGCGGCGGAUGAUGUGCUGCUGCUGCUGCUGCUGGCGAUGUGGCUGUGGCUGCUGCUGCUGCUGCUGCUGCUGCCGGUUCCGAGUUCGACCCCGCCGGCAUGUCUGUGUGUGCAUGUAAGCGAUGACGACACAACUUUAUAGACCCAGAUAGACAUAUACAGAUAGAUAGAUGAACGUAAGAAUAAACAGGUAAAUAGAUAGUUAGAUAGCUAGAUAGUUAGAUGUAUAAGGAGGUGGAUUCAUGUCGUUGCCAUCCCAUCCCCACGUUGGCAGCCAACCCCCCCAACAGCAGUCAAAUCACAAUCAAGGACAUCUUAUUUGCAACAGGACGGAGCAGCAGCAGCUGCAGCAGAGAGCAGGCGGAAAGGUGGAAUUGAUACAGCAGUGAUGGUGCGUAAGUCCCCGGGGGGAAAGGUGGCGGGUGGAACGUGAAACAUGCGACAGUCGUCAUCGUCGUCGUCAUCGUCGUCAGUUACCGGUUAUCGUUAGAUUUCGUUGCUCGUCAUCGUCAUCACAUUUCCGCCGUUUGUAACGGGGGGAUGCAUUCCUCGUUUGGUGUUACAUAUGCUACUACUAAGUAUUACUUGCAAUGACGUCAGGCGUCUGACACGUCCUGCAGGACAUGCCAUGCAUGUGUCCACAGCUGUGUGCAUGACGCGCAGCAGGGCUAUAUGCCUAGCCAAACAUGGUACGAUUGUGCACGCUUAUUCUCGAUACAUACAUACAUGCAUGCAUGCAUGCAUACAUACAUACAUACAUACAUACAUACAUACAUACAUACAGCCGGGCGGGUUAAUACGCGUGUAUGUAUGUCACGUAUACGCCCCCAUGUAUUAGGCGUAUUCAACCAUAAAAUGGACGAGUGAGCGGCAAAAAAUAUUCUUUUGGCGUCUCACCGGUCUGGACGUCUCCGAAUUUGGGAAUAGGAAGGGCACUUCGUGUGCGACCUUCUGCAUUGCGCAGGCGGUACGACACGUAGGAAGAUAUGGCGGCCUGCCGCACACAAGGUAGUAAAGAAAAUACCAAAUCGGAACAGGGCAGUUUGGUAAGUUAGUGCAGUGCGCAAAUCAUGAAGUUACACUCUUGACGAUGAUACGAUGGAGGGGUGGGAAACAUGUUGUAGUCUGCUGUAGCACUGUCGGUUAAAUCCUAACAGCGCGCGGGCUUUUUUUCAGCAUCGCGUCCCCACUCCCUUCGGAAGAGACGUGGAGUUGCGCGCGAUGUGGGAGGACAUAAUCACGGCAUUCACCUUGUUCGCCGCGAGCAGGUUUGCGGCCUUGACGCGCUGGAGCACGAGAAACUCCUUUUUCAAAGCACGAAAUCUCUUGACCAACUCGGUCUGCCGGAGUUGGUCUGCCGGACGACCUUGCGGUAAACAGAAGAGACAGUCAAAGGUUAUAGCUUCUAAGGAAGGAUUUGCUAGCCUAAUAAGCUAAUUAGUGUUGCCUUCUGUCCGACUUGAGCUUCGCGCCAGGAUUGAUGCAAGGCAUCCGGUUCAUUAUUGUAUUCAACAUAUGUCGUUAAGUUCAUAAUUAUAUUAUAUUGCAGCCCUCAGCAAAUCCCACGCUAACCUUGGCCGGCGUCCUUCCGGCUUCUUUGCAAUGGCCCUCGCUUUGCAAAAUCAUCAUCCAUAUUUGGAACUGUACUUAGACUUGAUAGUUCGACCCGACCGAACCGUUACAAGGUUGAUUUCGUCUGCUAGUUACAGCAAAACGCUGCUGCCGAAGGGGAGUACUCUGUAAAUCUAGCUAUGUUACUCAGAAACUUAACUUCCUCGAUUUACCAGAAGCUCAUAAAUUAUGGUUAUAAUUUGCCGUGUGUGCACCUAUCAUGUCAGCGGCAUGCACCCGGCAUCCUCCGGUUACGGCAUGGACGAGCCACGAGCAGCGUCCAACAGAGCCGAGACCCCAUACCUGGCAAGCGCCGGCCCUGAAGUCGCCCUCCUGCUCCAGCUUUUAUUCUUCAUGCAUUCAUACGCAACACUAUCUUCUACGGAUGGAGUAAGCAAGUCUCAAUUGGGUCACAUCUGUGAUAUACGUGUACAACUCCAUGCGCACAUCUCAGCCGACAUGUAAUGCAGUGGAUAAAUAGGUAAGUGGAUAUAUGCAUCCAUGCAUUCCUACAGAUGCCGUCCUUAUGGCAGCAAAUGCAUUGCAGCAGACGCAAAGGUGCUCGACCUAGAUAGAUAUACACCUAACAGGUAAUCCCCAUCUCCACCCCCUUAUGCAAAUAAAACGUUGUCAAUUGGUUUGCAGACUGCUGUUGUGUUGCAGCAGACUGCUGUUGUAACAAUCUAUCCUCAGCCUAUAGGCUGGGGAUCGAUUGCCGUACGUGCCGUACAACUGACGGACCGGCCCGGGACACGCUGGUGAGUAGAAGUAGUGUUGUGUUUCCCCCGGCCCCGCCCCGCCCUGGCCUCUGUUGACGGUUCGUUCUUCCACGUACGACGCCAGGUACAGGGGUCAUUAAAAGGAUUAUUAUGAGCCAGCUGCCACUGCCGCCCAUGAUGAUCCCAGGUGUUUCCCACGCAUCGAAGACGCCCCAUCCCGGAGCGUCCAACAAACUAUUUGCCUAAUGGUGUACAAUAAUAGAAGCAGCGCCUAAAUUUAAAUGUUGUUAUUUUAUUGUUAAAGUCGGUGGUGUCACCGCUGCCGCGGAGAUGCUUGAGUUGCGUUAUGAACAAAGAAUAACGGCCAAGAUAAAAAAUCCCGGAUGUAUCUCGAUCUCGCACAGGAGUCGCCUGUAUGUAUAUGCAGCCAUUAGUAGGCCUAUAGCCGCAAAUCCUAAAGAGGGUUGUUAAUGGUGACCUGGGGUACGUGCGUGACUGUCUGUCUAUCUGUGUGCUGCUGAGGCAGGGCGGCGGCGGGCGGGUUUGAAGCAUGAAAUAAAGUAGUACAUAAUAAUGAGAAUAAUGUCCAUCUACGCUUACUAUUGGCCAAGCAACCUUUGCACCGUCUUCACCGUUGCAGAUCGAAUGGCGGCAGCAGUCAUAAUUUGAAAUGGUCGAAAUAAAACAAUUGUGGCCCAAACAACUAAGACGCCUGGAAACUUGCAACAAUUAUAUACGCGACGUUGUACAUAUUUUUUAGUUGUUAAGACACUGUAGGAUAGCUUAAGUCGCAACAAAACAAAUGCCUUGAUAUGACUCUGCGGAGACCGGCUUCCGGAUCGGAUCGGGUCGCGAUGCUCAAUUUGGUUUGACAAAAGAAAAGCCCAAAAGGGUAUUUAUAAAUGAACACAGAGCGCAUCAGCAUUGCAAUCGUUGCCAUGCUUGCCUGCCACCGCCGCCCCGUGGAUGCAUGUCGGCCCACUAGCCACAUGCGCACACUCGUAUAUAUACACAUAGCUACAAAUUGUAGCUACACACACAUAUAUAUAGGCGGCUAGCGCUAAGCAAGAACCUCAAAGGACUCUGAUACGGCCUUCAUUAGAUCCUGGACUUGACUAAAUGCCAGGUACCGAUAUCUUGUGGUUGUUAGACGCAUCGUGUACUGCCACCCCUGCAGCAGGGGACAAACGCAAAUCUGCAUGUCGUAUGUGUCACAACGCAAAGAGGUGAAAUGCACAGCAUGUCGACAUGUGUACAUACAUACAUACAGGCAGGCAGGUGGCUGGCAGGAGUUAAGGCCUGACUUCUGCUCCCGGAGUGUCCGGGUUCACAUCCGCCUGCCGACUCCUCGGGUGUUUGAGGGGUGUUGGAUUGGGAGGUGGGCCCCCAUCUUGUGGACGGUGUAGGACGUGGUUAUACCAACUUGCGAGCUGACCAGGAACUAAGUUGUGGCGCCGUUGAUCCGCUAGAUUUCGUUGAAUGCUGGUGGUAAGUUGCUGAACCCAACGAAUACAUUCUGAAGUCGGAUGAGGUAAAUGGAUUAGGGUGCCCCUCUAGUAGGGGAGAGCAGGGACUGGCCCGGGAAAGGGGGCCGCUGGCGAAGUUAACCACCCUGUAACAACAUACAUACAUACCUCAGCAAUGGUGAUUGCUCGAAACUCCCUCGCUGCUCUGCAAGUGCGAGGUACACGUGGCAAUUGAGGGAGUGAGGGAAGGGCCAAGCAAGCAAACGCACAAAUGUAUGUAUGUCGGCAUUCGUAACAACAAAUUGUGAUUAAUCAUGACUUUACAAGCACAUCCAUCCCGAGGCUAGGCUGUUAGCCUGACCAUCACCCGACAGCAACAGCAACACAACAUUUGCGUACAGGUGUGUGCUACAUUAGGGUUAGGCACUCCUGGUAACACGCGACCAUUGCCCCCGGGAGAUCUUGGUACAUCAUGUUGUACAUGUUGCGAGGCAGCUGCAGGGUGAGCUCCAGCAGCGGCAUGGGAACAUACAAUAUCUAAAGAAAAGAAACCCCAAAGAAGUAAACAGCGGGCGGGGUGCAGGUGCGGGUGCAGGUAUGCAGGUGCAUAAUGGGAACGACCAAGUGACGGGCCCGGGCAGGCGAUGCACGCAGACGACCCAGCCACCGACCGCAUCUCUGGUUGGCUUGCAUCCACCAUGUGAUGGUUAUUAUCUUGGCAUGUGCAUGUACAUGUACGUGCCAAUUUGAUAAUAACCAUCACCAACGCAUCCAACACCAUCCAACGCAAGGGCAGGUAGCAAUGUCGUCACACAUAAGUAUGUAUGUAUAUAUGUGUGUGUCACACACUGCUCCCAAUCACGUUAUGCAGCCACGUAGAGAAGAUGGAUGGAUGGGUGGAUGGGCAGCAGACAUACAUACAUACAUACAUACUCACGCACCCAAACAUUCCCGCGGUGUUGCCCCCAAACUGGACAUGUACGAUGAUGUAAUCUCUGUCGCCAUCGUCGCCGCCAUGCUUCACGUUGCGGGCCUCAAUAACGAGCCCAUUGGGUGCGACGCCAGCCAGGCCUGCAGCUACUUCCUGCGGUAGGUGUGCACGCGGGCAUGUGGGCAUGCAUGUGUAUGAUACCGCCGCACGGUAGGUACCACCAGGCAAGUGUGUAUUGGACUGAGUCACUCGAUCGUCACAAAACAAUCUCACAACUUCGUGGUGACUUGGUCAAGUAGAAUUAAAAAACGUUAUUAGUUAUUAAAACAAAUGCAAACUAUCAUUAAAAACAAGAGAUUUCUUCUUGUUCUCGUUUCUUGUUCGCUCGGGGGCUUGCUUAAUAGAAAGGCGUGCCCUUGGAUGGAUGUGAUACAUAUAUGAGCAUGAAGGUAGUUAUACAUUGCCGAUAUUACCAGAAGUGCGAGAAGGAUGUAGACAAACAACCAUAUCAGCGCCGCGGUGCUGGAAAUGGCGGCACCAGGCACCGAACAGACCGGGCUUAGUCCACAUCAGCAGGUCACACACACACACACACACACACACACUCACACACACGCCAGCUGCAUCUGGUCCGUAAAAUAUAUAACCCAGUUCGAAUGCUGGUCUUGCAUCGGACUUACAUAAGACUCAAUCGACUAUAAAAUGAAUAAACCGUACUUCAUUUCAGCGGGUAGAGCAGUUGAAACACCAACAUGAAGUCACGACUCGAUCGAGGUAUGUACGUACGUACGUACAUACAUACAUACAUACAUGCGUACAUAUAUACAUGCACGGUUAGGUUUAGCGGGAGGAAAUCCUCAGGUGGCAGGAAACUCGCCUGUACCGAGCCCAGCUGCUGUGUUGCUUGCACACCCGCCGGUGCCGGUGCCCGGUACACGGCCAACGUCUCCGCACCGGGCUCCUCGGGGUUGUAGAAGCUGGCUAGGACCGCUGCACGGCCGCGUGUGUGGUUCGCAGCAGCAUAGCAGCAGCAACAGCAUAGCAGCAGCAGCAAGUAGAAUAUCUUCAUACGCAUUCCUAUAUAAGGAUAAUGCAACGAGGUUGGAACUGCACUCCAAACCCAUCCGGGCGUGAUGAGAGCCCCGGGAGAAUGUGGACGGCACUGGCAGCGGGGCGGGCGGCGGCAUAGACAGCAUGGGUGCAUGAUACAGCUUUGCUGCAUUAUUACACACAUACAUACAUACACACAUAGAUACACAUACACACACACAUACACACGGGCGGAAGUCAGAACGAACGAAGGGAGGCGCGAGCCAGCACACACAUGCACACGGAUAUGUCUGCACGUGGCACCAUGCAACAUGAGUUGUUGCUCUCCGCAGUCCGCAGUCCACUCCAGGCUGCAAAGAAAUUCGCCAUGAACGUACAUGCAGUACGUAUACCCGCAGUACACCCAAUGGGUAUUACCCAUGCACGUGGCAUGCAAGGUAAAGGCGGCAGGUUGAGAUACAACAAGCGAUGCAUCCAGCAAGUUAAAACAAAGGAGGUAAUAAAGAACACAUACAGACAUACAGACAUACAAACAUGCCGGUACUCACAUGACUCGGGCAGCAGUGUCGAGACCCUGAUCCAGCCACAGGGGCGGACCAGGCGGAACCGCCCCGCAGGGUCAGUGUACGGCACCACCGCGGGUACGGAAGCCGCCGCCGGCACGGUUGCAACCGCUCCUCCUCCAUCACUCUCAUCACCUGCUGCUGCUGACGCAAGCAAGCAAUCGUAUCAGACCCUGCUGCUCAUGCAGCAGCGCGCAACCCUACCAUUUGUCAGGAAUUGAACACACGCACUACUCAAUAAACGCUGUGCUGAUGCAUGUUGUACGAAUAGAACGUACGGCGUCAUUUAUUGCGUUAUGUACGGAUACGGAUACGUACUUGUCGCGGAUGGUGAUGAGCCGCACGUCUUCGGAAGUGCUCCGCUCUCAGCCAUCCUGCGGGCGUAAUAAUUGAUUAAUGGCAAAUUAUUACGUUUACUCGUAAAUCCACCGCUGUACAAAAAUUGAGAGGCAAUCGCAGGACCUGUACGUUGCAUGUGAGUGGAUGUGUGUGUAAUAAAUAAUAUUCAGCAGUCGCGGGAUGGACAACAUAGUACGUAACUGCCGCUGCUCCUGCCGCUGCUCCUGCCGCUGCUGCUGCUGCUGCUGCUCCUGCUGCUGCAGCUGCUCGUUGAUAUCCAACUUACUUUCUUUAGUGUUUAGUUUACAGUAUUUACAUGUAUAUGCUUAGUACAGCAAGGCGUUUGGGGCAACUUCACAAGCAAGUACCAGAUUUAGAGCACGCAUGCCAAGCUGUCUAUCUGUCCGAACAAGUUUGAUCCUGCGUUGAUGCAGCGCUAUACAACAACGCAAAGACUCUUCCACAUGAAGCCCCAGUUCCCAUUCCACGCUUACACGGUCGAUCCGAAAGGAAGCCCCAGUACAACAGCAGAGCACGCCAAUGUGGCUGCGCAUGCAGCAAUUCGUCGCCGGCUCACGUUUAGGGAGUGCCGUGCCAUACGCCAUGUGGCUGCGGACUCCUGAUCUUGAUCGCCCUGGAACAGCGGAACGUCUGCUGGCAGCGCUGGGAGGGAUGUGCUUCGGUCAUCACAGCAACUUGACCAGCAGCGGUUGGCCCCACGGCCGCCUGUUGCCGCGAUAUUGCAGCCACGUAAGAGUACAUGUAAGAGUACGAACAUCUACAGAUUCAUAUAAAAAUUAUAAGUCAGCUUACGCCGGUGAGACCGAGGCUCUGAGACGUUCCAUCGACAAAGGCCAACCGAACCGGUAACCUUCAACGAUUUCAAGUGUAAGCUUGGUGAUAACAGCAUCCCAGAAGGUGGUGAUUCGAUCAGCGGUGAGAUAUGAGUCACUCGGUGGACAACUAAACAGCAGUGAGCAGCCAUUUUUUUGAUUAAGUAAGUCGUAAGAUCUCAGUUACAGUAUGAUUCUCUUCGUGUCAUCACAGUCGAAUUUGCUUUACUGCGUGUCAGGGUAUAGCCACUACGCCAACCCUGAGUUCCGGGUGCCUAAUGCAGUACAACGCCUUGUCGUUUGUGAUUUUGCACCACAGCCGCAACUUGUCAGCAUCACACAUGAAUGUAAACACGUCUUAAAGGCUGCCCUAUUUUUCUAUCGAAGAGCUGCGGGCAAGCUAUCCAGCGAAUUAGCUCCGGAACCCUUUCAGCCCGGGCGGCAAAAAGGAAACCCUCCUGUCAUUAUACGCUUUCCUCGUUUCUGUAAUACUUUAUGGUCUACAGGCAAAACUGGCCUUCAUGCAAUUAUCCACAUUUCCUAAUAAGGCGACCGACGGCUUUGAACAACCUUCCCAACCACUCAGUCUUCCGACUUAGCUCGCACCCGAUAUCCCGGCGUAAAUCUCUCCUAGCAUCCUCAAGUACUGCAAACAUGUCGACAGGCGCGAAGCCCAAACGGGCAAAGACCAUCGACGCUUUCUUCACCCCGAAGCAGCCACAGAAGCAAGCAGUUGUGGGAAUCGCGCCUCCGGUGAGCCGAAUCCACCAAGCUCGGUAUCCAGCAACCCAUCCAUUUCAACAACUUCCAUCAACAACACACACUCAACCUCACAUCGUGCACCUCGCUUCCGCUUCCCCAACCCAGCAGCUCCCAGACGUCGUCGCAGCGCGCUGUAUCAUGGAAGUCGCCGGCGACAAAGCUGAGAGCAGCAAAGACUCCAUCCCCCUCCAGGAGCAACAUCAACCCCACACCGGCUCCACAACAGCUCCAAAAGCAGCGGUCCCAACAGCGGCAGGUUACCCCGCCACGCAGCAGCUACAGGUCCCGGAACCCCCUGGCCCCACGGCGGCCGCCGCGUCUGCCGGCGAACAGGACCCCCCCGCUGUCCCCCCUCCUCCCCCUCAGAGCCCCUUUCAGAGUAAUACUGAGAGAAGUAGAAUGGUUGGCCGCAAACGGCGCAGUCGCUCGGCGGACGGGGGCUGCUCGGCGGACGGGGGCUGCUUGACGGCAGCAACAGCACGGGAAGAGGGUGAGAGAGAGAGAAAAAGAGCGAAGGCGGUGUGUGUGUGUGUCACAUGUGUGUCAUGUGUACGGAUGGCAGGUAGAGGCAUUUGACAAAUGACCAGGGGGGCCUGGCAAGCAACGAGCUAGUAAGGGAGCUAGUAAGGACUGCUAACAGUCCAGCAGCCCAACAACCCCCAUUGGGAGAUGUAGCUGGCACAAUGGGGUUGGGGGGGAGAUAGGGAGGAAGUGCCGUAAGGGACAGGGUGAGCUCCAGCAGCGGUCAAACGCGGCUGGCAAGAGAGCUAGCUAGAGGGAACUGCCAUAGGAGAGGUGUAUGGCUACUACCCUAUACUAAUGUGAGCUGUCGUUAUACUAAUGUUCACCUGCAACCAUUGCCAAUGCCCCUCAUUGUCAACAUCCCUCGCUACUGGCCGCUCGGAUGCGAACCGGAGGACAUACAGACGGACAACCGUCAACGUCGGGGGUUCCGGGUACGGCGGCGCCCGGGGGAGGUGGGGCGGCAGUAGCAGCACCCGGAGGAGGAGGAGGAGGGGGAGGGGGGACGGGGGGAGGGACGAAAGAAGGUGAUGCGGCCUGUGCCAGUGUAGGAGCGGCAGCAGCGGCUGAUGGUGGCGAUGGCUUGACGCCGGCACAGCGUGCGCAGGUUCGUACGCGUGCCUGUGUAUGUGUGUGUGUGUCUGUAUGUGUGUUCGUCCGUCAUUAUUUUGAAAGGCUACAUUGCACCGUCCGGUUCCGGUUUUCCUUCCCCCCCCCCUUUUCACUCCUCCCGCCUUCCCACGGUCGCCGCCAUCACACACGGGGGGAAGCUGACACACACACGCGCGCGCGCGCGCGUGCUCGGCUUGACCCUGGACUCGGCCCCGUGCGCCUUGGGCUGCUUUUUGGACGUGUCAACAGUUUGACCUCCUUUUAAUAUUUUCACCACCAUCACCACCACGAUCAUCAUCAUCAUCAUCAUUAUCAUCACCACCACCACCAUCACUACCAUCGUUAUAUAUUAUUGCCCCCCUUCCCCUCCGCCAACACCACCACUGAUCGCCACCACCACCUCCACCGCCACCACCGUCAGAUCGCGGCCAACCGCAACCGUGCACUGGCACGUCGUGUCCUGGCGGAGUCCUCGGCUCCAGGGGGCCCCAAGCUGCAGCUCUCAGCGCUGCUGGUCGAGCCGGGAUGGAGGAGCGCCCUCGCGGGGGAGCUGGCGGGAGCCAACCUCCGGCAGCUAGACUCGUUCCUGGGGGCCGAGUGGGCACCGGGCAGGAAGCCGGUCUUCCCGCCGAAGGAUUGCAUCUUUCAGGCCUUCAACGCCUGCCCGUUUUACCAGGUAUGCGUCGCAAUAUAUGAUGGGUUGAUUGGUUGGGUGGGUGGGUAGUUAUUGGCUGUUGUUACGGUACGUCAUAUCCGUGUUACUUCAUUGUCUGUCUAUCUAUCUGUCUAUCUAUCUGUCUAUCUAUCUGUCUAUCUAUCUAUCUGUCUAUCUAUCUGUCUAUCUAUCUCUUCAGUCCCAUUUUGCCUCUGCGCCCGUCACAAGUAAAACCCAAAACCGCGUCCCCCUAGCCUCUACCCCCCCCCCGGUAAGUACCCCUCCACCCAUCCCCAUCUUCGCCACCGUUGUCUGCAGUUGAUAUUCCCCUCCCCUUCCUCCUCCCCUCACCCUCCUCUUCCCCUCACCCCUUAAUCUCCCCUCACCCUUCCCCGCCUACCACCCACCCCCACACUCACACACACCGUCAUUAACUUCCUUAUAACCGCCAAACCGCAACCCCCCUGACCUGAUGACCAGGUUCGUGUGGUGAUCCUGGGUCAGGACCCCUACCACGGCCCGGGCCAGGCUAUGGGCCUGGCCUUCAGCGUGCCCCGGGAUGUGCGGCCCCUGCCGCCCUCCCUCGUCAACAUCUACAAGGAGGCGGCCGCGGACCUGGGCUGGGGGGACCGCCCGGCGCACGGAGACCUGUCCGCGUGGAGUGUGCAGGGUGCGUCGUUUCCUCCCCGUGAUCUGAUCUGAUCACGGUGAUGGUGGUGGUGGUAGGAGGUAGAGGGGGAGGAGGUAGUGGGGGGAGGUAGUGUGGGGGGGGAUUGAGGUUGGGGGUUGGGGGGCUGAGGAGGUGGGGUUGGGGGGAAAGACGAACCACGAACGAGUGAAAAGCUGCUGCCAGGGCAAGAGUGGGGGUUGGGGGGGGUGAGGAGGUGGGGUUGGGGGGGGGUGAGGAUACCGGUAGUGGCUGCUACACGGCUGUGUUCGACCGGCUACUGGCUACUGGUUCUGGACAGAGACCAACUUUAGCCAAACAGCUGAAGCCAAACUACCCGUGAAAGGUAAUCAAGUCGGCGGGAAAGAGGCGGCCAACGAAACAUGUGCUGGCUGGCUGGCUGCACAGUAGCAGCAACACGUCCAUCCAUUUCCUACUUUACCGUACUGUACGGCAUGUACUACUAAGGCUACUAUUAAGGGUAAUCUAGAGUAAGGGAUGGAUAGAUCUAGUAUGCCCGAAUGUUGAGACGGAUGUAUAUAUAAGUUAUGACGACCACGACCGCCAUCGCGCAGGUGUACUGCUGCUCAACACGUGCCUGACCGUACGACAAGGCGAGGCCAACAGUCACGCCAAACGCGGCUGGGAGCAGUUCACGGACGCCGCCAUCAGGGCGCUAAGCGAGCGCCGCAGCGGUAUCGUCUUCCUGUUGUGGGGCAACCCCGCCCAGGCCAAAGCGAGCCUGGUGAACACGUGGGUCGCCCUAAAACCCCUUUCCCUCCCCUCUCUCCCCGCCGCCUUUGCUAUUGUUUUUUAGUUCCUGCGUUUUCUUCCGUUUUCAUAUAGGUUCUUUAAGGGUUUUCGUUUCCAGCUUCCCCGAUCAGCAAGUUUAAUACUCCUUUUCAGCAGCAUUUGCAUGCGUUUUUGUAUUUUUCUUUCGCUGCUCACAACUCUCCCACCUUUCUGCCUUGCAUGUGCCUUUGCCCGCUGCUCCUGCUGCCUGGCCAGGUGAGUCCAAAGGGUGGUUCGAGCUUCUUUGGUAUAUCGCGUUGGCGUCGGUAGGCUAGCCGGAAUAGUUUAGUUGGGUCGGUCGGGUCAGUCGCGCGUUCUAGUUUUUUUGGGGGGUUGGGAGGAGCACUUGCAUACCGGCAGCCUUUCAGUAUCAGCAAUUCAGCCUUCUCUCCUGGCCAGCAACUUUACGCCACUUUUACGUCAGCACUAUUUUACUCGCCGCCUUCACUACUAUUUUUUACACCUACUACUUUACGGUUUGGCUAUACAAUUCAGCUUUUUAUUUCUGGCGGCUUAGGUAGGUAGGAGUUCCAACAUCUACGUCACUUCGUCAUCCCGAGGUUACAGUCGUCACAGUCGCCACGGACGCCUUUCGGUCAGUUUUUACGUUUGCUACUAUCUUGCCCUGGCAGCAGCUUCAAUCGCGUGUGGUUCGUCUUUCCCCUCUCUCCCCCUCGGUUACGACUUCAUCGCUUAGAACUCACUCACGGGGGGCAGUUUCGGGGACUUUUUGGAACUGCUUUCCGGCAGGCAGCUCAUUUCUGGUUUCCUCGGGGUGUUUUUGUGAUCUCCCCCUCCCCUCGCCUCUCCCCACCGGCUAGGGUGGUUGGGCGGAAUCAGGUUGGGAUGAGGUCAAAGCGGGUAAAGGGGUGGGGGGUUUGGAGCCAGGCAGUGACGUGCCGCGGCAGGCAGCAGAAUUGCAGCACACCAGGCCGCACAGCUGAGAAGAGGCCCCUGCAUGUGCAUGUGCAUAUGCACGCGCAAAGCACCGGUAGGGUGCCGAAAAACAAAAACAAAAUCCAAAAGAAGGAUGUGAGGAGGAGGGGGAGGAGGAGGAAGAGAACCUGCGGGGGAGAUACGGCGGGGAAGGGUGGCAAGGUGCGAGUGGGUGUUUAGGGUAGAGGCCCCACUAUCGCGUGAAGUAACCGAGUACCAAGAUAUCGCAAGACUUAAGCACUUGAAACAGUCCUUCUCUCCCAGAUUGAUCCCCCCCUUCUUUCCCCUUCCUUCCCCUCUCCUUCCUCUUUGGCGGAAUGUGCAUGUGCGGGUUCCCGUUACUGCUACGGCUGCUACUGCUACGGCUGCUACUGCGACUGCUGCUACUGCGACUGCUACUCCGCAGUCGCAAGCACCACGUGCUGAAGGCGGCCCAUCCGAGUCCCCUCUCCGCCUCCCGAGGCUUCUUCGGAUGCCGUCACUUCUCCGAGACCAACAAGCUGUUGACGAGCCAGUCAUUGGAACCCAUCCAGUGGAGGCCGUCGUGACAUGAAACACACACACGCAGAGGGCUCGGGAAGGGGGGGGGAGAACCACAGGCCGGCGGGGGAAGGAGGGGCGGGGGACGGAACACGAAACACGCGCGGACAGUGGGAGGAUAUGUGGUUUGGAAGGGGGGGGAAAAGGCGAAGCUCUCCAAAAGGGGCCAGGUGUCAUGCGAUUGUGCAGGGCAUGUGAUGCCGUACAACAUGGGUAAUGCACAUGGUAUCGUACCUGAGGGUGGAGGUGUGAUUUGAGUGGUUUCGGGGCGACGAAACGACCUUUUUCGUGGACUCCUUUUCGGGGCUGAGUGGGAUUUUUUACGGUUGGAGUUGGAGUCGGUAAGGUGGUUUGUAUUGCAGACCUUAAUUUAAGGAUGUGUUAGAAGAUUGGAUCAUUUGUCGUGCGAUGUGGGACUACCUAAGGUGCGGCUGCUUGUUUUAUCAAAAUUUGAGUGCUGUUUUCUGGAUCCAAAAUUUGACCAGUUUCGUUUUGACACAGAAUUUGAACCAAGCUCUGUCUUUUGACCUCACACAUCUACUGACUGACGCAACCCCCCUUAUUUCCCCAAAUCUAACCACCACAAACUUGGACUAUCGGUGCCGCGUUGCGAUGGGAGGUACCAUUUUGUCCUUUUCUUUUUUUUCCUUUCGUACAGGAUCUCAUCUCGUGCCUGUGGUUACACGAAAUUGACUUUUUUGAGUACUUGUAGUAAUUCCCUUGAAUAAUCUGUUCUCGCUCGUUAAAUACUACCGACCCCCAGCAUUUGUGACUAAGCUUUGUGAACGCCAUUUAAACAAAAGCUUCACAGAGCUACACAUUAUUGUCAUGUCAACUGUUGGUUCCUUUUGGAGGCCCCUUUCAAAUCCGCGCCGCGCGCGUCCUCACCCCCCCCCUCUGCUCAUACACACUGCUCCCCACGCACGCACACAGCGUGUACAUCUUCUCCUCAAAUCUCCCCCCUUCGAGGCGCCGUCUCUCUCGUACCAAACAUAAGCACGCGCACGAGCUGGUUGAAUGUGCAACACACGUACGAAAAAAUAAGCACGACAUGUAAGAAGAAGAAGAAGUUCUUUUACUAUACAGACGUCAAAUACCACACAGCCAUGCGACUGCCCAAGUCCUGUACGGCACAUCCUUCAGUGUACGGAAACAAAGUCAGUCCGACGUCAGAGCCUCUGCAAGGAGAGGAGGUCAAACAGGCAAAGGUUGUAAAACGCCCACUUCUCAAUCCUCUUCCUGUCAUAGACUCAAAGCUGCCGUACGGUGUGUGUCGUACUUGUUCCGAUUUGCGGCUGAUCACACCGGGAGCUGCUAUUCCUUCUUGUUGUUGUUGUUGCCGAAUGUUGUUAUUAGUGCCCUCCUCCGCCGCCGCGUCGUCGCUCUCUAAUCACCAGUCGAUGUUCGUACGUUGAACGACGUCUUUGGAGUUAAACAAACUCCACUUUUUGGAUUGCUGGAAUCAUGUUGUUAUGUUGAGGAGUACGACGUUAUCAGCGAUUCCCCAUCAAUAAAGCGCUGCAGUACAAAAUAGCACGGCAGGUUUUUAGCACAGUUGUGGUACAGAGUACAGGANNNNNNNNNNNNNNNNNNNNNNNNNNNNNNNNNNNNNNNNNNNNNNNNNNNNNUUAUACAUCUUUUUCAUAUGCAUGACGAAGGAAAAAAACCCUUUCGCAACCACCUCAACACAUCCCCCCCGGGGCGAACAGAGGUCCGGACAGAGGCGAGCAACACACACCCAUAUUACACACACACACCUACAUACCACACGGUGACACAGCUUUCGUUCACAAACAUUCCACACACGCACACCUGUUCAUCCGCCACGAACCAAGGCUGCCAGGGCGUCUUCACGGGGAAACCCAGAUCCCCUGUCCACGCCUCACUGCCCGUGUGGGGCACAGCCAUGUCGUGAUCCCCGCUGUAGAUCAGGGCGCGAAGGCCUGGAAAAUCGCCAAGGUGGUUAAAGCGGUUGGGGGUGGUUAAAAAAGGGGUUUGGGGAAUGAUCACAUGCAAGGAAACCAGGAGGGGAUGGGGAAGUCGAUGACGAGGACAUGUUAAAAAAUAACGAACAACUGCCAAACUCCCAACGGAAGUCUCGCGUGACUCGUCCCACUUCAUUUACCGAACAACCCACUCUAUAAACUCUAUAAACGUUCGUCCAAGUAUUCUAGCAUGUCCGUACCAUGCAUCUUGGUGUUGUUGAUGUGAAUCGGAAUCAUGGAUCCGUGGUCUCGGAAGUAGGAAAUCUUGUCGGAACACAAGGUCCAGUACCCGAUGGCCUCCCUGGACUCGGCGUGAAUGGCCUCGCGCACCCGCGGAUCGUUCAACCAUAAAUCCGCGGCCCUGAAUUCAAAUUUUCAAAUUCAAAUUCAAGCAAAUCACAACAAGCAAAUCGCACACAUGAAAAAAAAGAGAAACAAGGGUACGUGAAUAAAUGCAGAGAUUACGGAAUUUAAAAAAGUACAGAGGAAUAUAUGCUAUGGACAGAUGUAAAAGUCACAAAUACGGGCGCGAUGCGAUAGGUAGCGAAGGGGGUAGGAAAGAGGCGAGAUAACCGGAGGCUUCAACCGAUAAAAGAAACAUCAUUCCUACAAAAAUUCAUAAAGUUUUUUUUAUCAAAUUGUUACUUAAGGUAUAUUCGAGCAGUCGCGCAGCAGCUAUAGCCCAAGAGCCCUAGUUGUUUUAAACCAGGCAAGAACUCCCUUCCAAAACAAGACCCGCCAGCAGUUCCGAUGAUGGGGUUGAAGUUUUCCGCGUUUUCUGUGCUUUAAUAGGGCGAUUUCUUUGUUGAUGGGGUGGGGGCCGGGCACUGACGUGUACGGCACUGUACGGUACUGUACGGCAGCCCGGCACACCUGGAGUCCGUACAGAUGGGCGUGUGAGACAGAGUGGGUGGUUUCUUCACCUGCUGCUGCCGGGCAGUGCCUGGGUCGCACAGCCUGCACGCAACGUAGGCGGCGGCGGCGGCAGUAGCGUUGCUGAUGUGGCGGCGGCGGCGGCGGCGGCGGCGCCGUUGGUGAGGUGAUGGCGGGGCCAGUCCACCACACCACCACACCCACCACCAUCACCAACACCGCCAUAAACAGACAACAACGACAAAACGUUCAACCCAUCCAAACCGCCGCCACCAGCGAAACAUUCCAAAACAGUUCUCAAAACCAUCCGCUUCCUCCUCCUCCUCCUCCUCCUCCUCCCAAAUACUCGCAGCUAAAGCUGUUCGGUCCGACCAAGUACGGCCAGCCUUGUCCGUACAUCCGUACACCGUACUCCCCUGUACCUCAACUUACACCCCGAAACUCUGACACAACCCGCUGCCCCGCCGUACACCCGCCGCCGUACAAGAAACCCAAGAAGCUUCUGUCCACCCCCUCACGGCCUCACCUGGAGUCCGUACAUGGCGGUGUGAUGCCCAGUCGUACACCCAGCUUGGCGCUGACGUGGGCCCAGUUCAGUACGGGACCCGGCCGUACAACUCCGCCAGCCAGCGGCCACACACCCAGCAGACCAGCCUCGUCCAAAAGCUGCUCCGAAAUUCGAAAACGGCCUCCCACAAAACUGCCAACGCCGUCAGCGCUUAGCUGCCGGUGCCUAGUGUGUUGGGGCCUAGCCGCGGCGGCGGCGGCGGCGGCGGCGCGGUCCUGACGGGCAAGGGCGGCCGCGCGGAGGGCGGCGCCGCGGGCGGCCCGGUCAUCGACGACGCCGUCAUGGAAGCAGUCCUGCAAAGUGUCGUACACAUUCAGCGCCGCCAGGUUGGCCUCCAGCUUGUUCCACAGCUUGUCACAGGUGCUGCCUGAGGUGGGUUGGGCGCGUCACGUACCAGUUGGCAGUUGACAGUUAGCAGUUGGGGCAACGAAACCAAACCCCAAACCGAGCCCCGACAUGACCGGAGCGUGAACCCUGUUCUUAACCCCCCGUGCGUGUGUGUAUGUGUAUGAGGUCCCGUCGCUCCACCCCCAACACCCGGGGAAAUGUACCGCACUUGUACGACGCCAAAGAGGGGGAGGUAUCUGUGUCUACUAGGGGGUAUCUGACCUUGGCCCUCUGGCGGAUAAACUAUAUUUCUUUAUUUUCAUAAAUCGCAAGAGUGUUUAGCUAAACAGUGGCUGCAACAACGAGGUCAUGUUCCGAGCUGGCUUUUCCAUCGAAGCUUUCUGAAAACUCUAAAACCUCUAAAACUCUAAAACCUAACCAGGUCAUGUUUCGGUCUGUUUUUGUUCCAUCCUAACGCUUCCGCACCGCCCUCCCUUAUUCCACGUCCGUACAUACAUACAUACAUACAUACAUACAUACAUACAUACAUACAUACACAAACCCUUGUUCGUACCGUGUGUACGGUUCCAGUACUCGCCCCCGCCGCACUCGGACUCGAGCUCGCGGAAACCCCGCCAAGGAAGGAGCGACUUGCCCGCGGCAAACAGCGGGUGGGCGUUACCGUCGUAACGCUCAUCCGUACAGCCGUUACCAACCAAGUAGCCCUGGGCCACAUCACAAACGAAUAAAAAAUAAAAAAAGUUAGCAUAAAUUAUUUAAUAUCGGAAUUUUCUUAAGACAGGUAGGAGUCCCCUCAUUAUGUUUUGAUCUCUUCUUCAGCGAGAGCUGGUUGCAUAAGUUAGGGUUGUGUUUUAUAUUCGUUGUUCGUUGGUAGUUGUGGUUUUUUCGUUAAUGACCGUCCAUCACCCCCACUCACCACAAUAUUUAUGUUCGGUUCCUCUCCCGCCUCAUUGCCCAACAGUACUUGACGGACCAGAUUAGGCACGUAGAUACCCGCAUAGCUCUCACCUUAGAGGGGGGCGGGGGAAGGGGGGGCACGGGAUGUGGAAAUAACUACGAGGCAAAAAUAAAAAAAUUAUGUAUUAUAUAUUUAUAUAAGACAUAUUUAUAUUUAUAUCAGGAUAAAUAUAUUUAUUGUAACAUUAUAUUAUAAUAUUAUAUGUAACAUUAACAGUAUAUAUGGCAAAAACUUUUAUAAAGCAAAACAUAUAUUCACAGGAGUCAAAAAACACGAGUCAAAAAGCAAAACGAGCCAAGCGGGGGACCCCAAAAGGCUCCAGAGGAGGGGGAGGGAGGGGAAAAGACGAACCACGAGCGAGUGAAGCUGAUGCCAGUGGGAGGGAAGGGGAAAGACGAACCACACGCGAUUUAAGCUGCUGCCAGAGCAAGAUAGUAGGGAUGGGAGGGAAGGGGAGGGAUAGGAAGGGAAGAGGUCAUUUCAAUUCAGGAAUACUGGAGGAGGGGGGAAGUGUGCGGGCCGGCCGGGGCGGGCGGGGAAAUAUGGAGGGAUGGGGUGUGUAUGUGGGAGCAGCACAUAAAACACAAUAUAUAUACAUUUAUACAUAAUAUAUGUGUAUACGUGUAUAUAUGUAUAUAUAUACAUAAUACAUUACUUUAUACAUGUAUAUAUGUAUGUAUAUAUAUGUACAUAUAUAUACAUAUAUAUAAAGUACAUGUAUUAUGUAUACAUUAUAUCAAGCACGGGAAUGGAAAGAGGACGAGGCUGCAGUUGUAGCAAGAGGGGGAGGGGAGGUGGGAGAUCUAGAUUCCAACAACCCCACAGCAAAACCCAACGUACCGCUGACAUAGAAGUCGUUGUCCAGAUACUGCGGGAACCUCCGAAACCAACCACGCAAAAAGCGGUCCGCGUCAGCUGCCGUACGGACGUCGUCAACCACAUAGUCCGCCGCAUUCUCACUGUACGACAGGCCCACACCUACCCAGCGCAGGGGCAAGGGGAGGGGAGAGCAGGGUUUACGGAAACGAGACAUUCACAAAAAACACGGAGUGUACACAGACAGACAGACAGACAGACAGACAAACAGACAGAUAGACAGAUAGAAAGAUAGACACACACGCGCACGCGCACACACACACCUGCGGGUGAGUCCAGGAAGAUCAUAUUGGCCACCUGUACGGCGGUGAGGGGAAUACGAAACACACCGAGGAGUGAUGCGGAUAUCAGAGAUAGACUACUGUACUCCGGGGGGGAAAAGAAGAGGAGGGGAAGAGGAGGGGAAGAGGAGGGGAAAAAAAGAGGGGAAGAAGAAGGGAAGAAGAAGGGAAGAUAUUGAAAUGAGAGGGAGCGGCAUGCUCGCAUGACCCAGCUCCUUCGGACCCAGCUAAACAUUCUUCUCCUUCCCCUCCCAAAAACACACCCUUCUUCUCCCCCUCCCUCCUCCCCCCUCCCCCCCCCCUAGCAAACACACCUUGUUCCAGGCGAAGGGGUUACUCCGGAGCUCCACAUGCAGCCCCCCCGCAACACCCCCCGCGUCAUCGGAAGUGGCAGUAGCGGUUGUGGAGGGCCCGGGUACGGCGAGGUUGAAGGUGAAGGGGCCGUGUUCGUACACGAAGCCGUCAAAGGAGCUGCAGCCGGGGCCGCCAUUCAGCCAGAGGACCUUCAGGCGUCAAGUCCGUCGUGGGCAGUAGCAGCAGUAGCAGUCAGCCACAGCAGCAGUAGCAGCAGGAAGAAGGGCCGUAAAUCAUCAACAUGAGGUCGUUUGCUGACUGAUGAACUCGAUUAUCCCAUACACACAUACAGCCCCGCUUUAUUAGUAUUAAUAUUAUAACUAUAAUAAUAUUAUGAUUAAUCCUAAUUAUUACUAUUAUUAUUAUUACUAUUAUUAUUAUUAUAUUAUUAUUAUUAUUAUUAUGCCAUUACUAAUAUUAUUCAUUAGCUCCCCAAACGAAUGAUAAUUCAGGAGCUCCUCUCCCUUAACUGCUUAGGACGUGUUCACAUGUGGGCGAAUCAGGGUUGAUUCAUGCGAAUUGGACUCUGAAUUGGACCUGAUUGGACCCGAAUCGGAAUUGGGGUCCGGGGGGGCCUCUUCGGGUAUGAUUCGACGUGAUUCACAGUUUUCUUUCUCAAAACAAAGUUGUUUAACAAACCGUUUCUCAUAAUUACCAUUACAAUACUAUAGGAACAUUUUCCAAUUGUUAAUUCACGCAAAGCGCACCGAGCAUUUUUCACGAACUCCUGCAGCUAUGUAUGUACAAGCCUGGUGAUAAUUUUCGCCAUAGAAACGAUACUUAUACUGUUCUGUUCCUAGAUAAUGCUGGCUUGCCUUGGGUGAUGGGGCGUAGCCGCGGAGCUUCAGCUGGGCGCGGUGGCACCUCGCGCGGUGCAGCGAAUCGUAUGUGAACACAAUUCAGAAAGCCGCCCCGAAUCGGACUCCCAAUCAGACUCUCAAUUGGACUACAUGUGAACACACCCUUAUUGCGAUAUCAAUCAACCAUAUUCAUACAACAUUAAACACCCACAUCUCAUCUAAUCUUCCAAUUUAUUUGAAUCAUUUCAGAUGCACCUUCCAUCCCUCUCUUCCAUCCCUUCCGUCCCAUUCAGUCAAUCGGUCCAUCUGUCUGUCAGUCUGUCAGUCGCUCUCCCCUUCCCCCCCCAACGGAGUGUAACCCCGGGGCAUCUGCUUCAAUCGUCAGUGGUUCAUCUUCUUCAUCCUCGAAGAAGGGCUGCUUACCACCGGGUCGUUGGCGGGGUCGCGCUCGCUCUCAACGAAGUAAUAAAAGAGGCGGCGACCUCGUUGCUCGUCCACCUGAACAUAACCAGCUGGGAGAGGGGUUGUGUGGGGAGGAGAGGGGAGGGGAGGGGGGAAAGACGAACCAAGAACGAGUGAAGCUGCUGCCAAGGAAAGCGAAGCAGAACUGACCAGUGGCGGAGUUGUGGGGAGGGGGGAGGGUAGAAUGUUUAAAUUAACAUAAUACGGGGGGAGGAGAGGGGUUAAGAGUGGCAGAUGGUGGGUUUUGCGUCGGGGGAGAUUGGAGGCGGGAAUUAGGGUUUGGGCAGAGGAAGGGGAGAGGAGUUUUUUUUGAAAGGGUGGAUUUGGGCAGCAGCAGGGAAUAUGUUUUGGGGGGAAACGUCCGGGGGGAAGGGGGAUGUAAAAGUAUUUGAGUGAGGUGGGUUUGAGAUAGAGGGGGAAUUGGAUGAAAGGGCGUGAGGCCGGGUGAGGAGUGGGAAGUCCGGGGGAAUGUGCACGGGCGACAAGACAAGAAAAGAGGCGCAACAUAUGUUGUUGGCGCGUCCGCGGAAGGAACCUGGGACAGAGCCCGGAUUUGCCUGCACAGGAAUUCCGGAUGUUUAUUUUACUAUAAUAUCUGAACAGGGCAGUCCGUCGUGGCAGCCACGCGCAUGUUGAGAUCAUAGAGGAGGGCAAUUGGAGAGCGGCAAUUUGAAGAGGUUGCUAGAAAAGAACGAAGGUAGCUGUGCUGGUCUGUCUGGAGGAAAGCGUGCCACGAGGCCAACGGUAGUUGCAGGCCGUCGGCCCUUGUCGUGCAGAUCAACGCGCAUUGUAAGACCUUUGUGAGGAAAGCGGGUUAUAAUGUAUUUGGUUGCGAAAAUGCGUGGCCAGCCGGCUGGUUAAGGGCCACAGAAAACAGAAUACUGCGCGCGCAGCGGAGCUCACCAAAAUGGUUUGAUGGGAGAGCGUUCUGAAAUCCAGGCAAAGACAGGAUUUUGUCUGCUGCGGCGUCUGGGGUCAAGUUGCUGCGUUUUGGUGUCUCGGCCUUCUCAACUGCGCGCGUAACGAACCUCGCUGCUCGGGUCCCGGAAAUGAGGAGAAAGAAGGCCAGCAUGGACUUUAAGAGCGGACUGGCCAUUCUUCCUGUGGAUGAGUAGGCCUGGGAAUCUAUUAGCUGGCACAAAUUGCAAAUUUUACUUACAUCCACCUUCCUUAACUGUCGGGCAUCGGAGCGGAAAACCCCCUCCGACGGACUUGUCACAUACACAGAACAGCAAGCUGACAAAUAGUGAGGAAGCAUACAUAUUGUUGAGCUUACAAAGGUCACAGUAAGGUUGCGGUAUGGAGUGAAAGCUUCCACGCUUCUUUGGUAUGUAGAACUCUUUUCGUCUCGACGUAAUGGAGACUCGGUGUCUGGAAACUAGCUUAAUUUUGAAGGAGAAGGAAGAUUUUUUAUAAUUGGUGCACCGCGCGAAGAUUGUCUGAACCCUCAUGCUAGGAGAGCCGUUUCUGAACGACGCUGUUAGCAGCGGCCGCCGGCGCUUUCGUCACCGGAAGUGUGCAAGUGAUACGUUUGCAUUCGCGGCAAGCGCGUUGCUUGAUGACCUUCCCUCGUCGAUGCCGCAACCCCUUGCGGUUGGCCCCUUGGCUGGCCAAAAUGCCAAUCAGCCAACCACAAUCGGCGAAACACCAAACCCUCCUGGUGGCAACAACCUAGGUCCGGAACUUGGCCCGGCAGACCUCCUGGAAAUGUUGAGGGAUUUGGACGAAGGUGGCCUAGACAUUGACGCGGGUUUGCUGGAGGACCUUGAUGUGGAAGGCGAGACGGACGAGGGACAUGGUGUUAUGCUACCCGCCACAAAUGAGGCGGUGGGAUGUCAAGGAGGCAUUACCGCUCCCGUCGCUGGCGCCUACACGCGCGAUGCUCUGGGCCCCACCCUCAACCUCGGCCUGCUAACAUCCCCAGCCCCGGCAGCACCCCCCCAUCCGACAAUACCACCACCAACAUCGUUGCGACCUGCAGUUACAACUGCACCAUUGCUGCAACAGCAGCAGCAGCAGCAACAGCAGACGUCGACUGCAUCGAGCAUGCUGCCGCAUGGACCUAACGGCAGCGGCGGCGGCGGCAGCGGCGGCGGGAGGGAACAGCGGGGGCUCAACACCAACAGCUUCUCAACAGGGACGGCGGCAGUAGCGCCGCCGCCGCCGCCGCCGCCGCCGCCGGGUGCUGCAGCUGCUGCUUCGGUCCCGGGCCCUCGCCACGUCCGCAGCCCCAGCGACCCCCUGAUGGUAAGGAUCUGAGCUCAAUCCCCCCUCCCCCAACCCCCCCUCCCCCUCCCCGUCCCCUUCCCUCCCUUGAUAUCCACGCACGCCCCAAACCACAACCUAGAGAGGGGGUGUCUCUGCCAGACUACUUGUUGGAAAUGACCAACACUCAUAUACCAGUGAAUGGUAGCCACACUAAUAGGACCCAACGGGGGUCCGGCGCUUUGUCUUUGCCAGGCUACUCUCUCUUUUCUCUCAUCAUCAUCAUCAUCAUCAUCAUCAUCAUCAUCCUCACCACUACCACAGGAACCACCAACACUCGGCCCACCCGCCGUCACACGCGUACACCCCCAACCCCCCCACACAAACAUACACACACAUACACACUCCGCUCCGCCGUCCCCUCCCCCAACCCCCCCUCCCUCUCCCCCCGGGUGUCGGCAGAUGCAAAAACAACCGUUUGCCCUCAUUCCUGCAUCACAUCAAUAUUGAAUUUCUCCUUUCCGCCCACCCCGCCCCGGCCCGGCCCGGCCCGGCCCGGCCGCCUGCAAAACACAGAUGUGCCUGCCCAGUGCCGUACAGUCCUCCGCGGAGAAGCCCUUUAUCGAAUUCGCGGGACAGACGCGUACCAAUGCACUCGACCCGGCUUUGCUGGAUCCAAAACGUGCCAAACGCAUCAUCGCCAAUCGUCAGUCGGCGCAUCGGUCGCGAAUGCGGAAGCUGGAGGCUAUCCGGGAACUGGAGCUGCAAGUCGCGGCGGAGAACGCCGCGGCGGAGGUGGUACGGCAGCAGGUAGCGGCGGCGGCGGCGGCACGGCGGGAGCUGCUGGCGGCGGCGCUGAGAGCGCAUCGCAUGGCUGCAGAUGUGAGGGGAAAGCUGGCGGCGGCGGCGGCGGAGCAGGCCGCGCUGCUUUUGAAUCUGCAGGGGUUAGGCGUGACCGCCGCCACCGCCGCCGCCGCCGCCGCCAUCACCAUGGUGGCCACCGGCCCUGGGCCGGAUGGCGGUGGCGGCGACGAUGACGUCAGUGGCGGGCCUGUUUCUGUGGGGGCACCAGCGGCAGGAGUUAAAGGUCGAAUGGCGGCGGCGGCGGCGGCCGCGGCGUUGCCGCCGCCGGCGAUUACGGCGCGCGCCUGUGGUCAGGGUUCAGCUGCCACCGCCACCGCCGUGACAGCACCCCGCAGCCGCGGCAGCGGUGGCGGUAGUACGACAUUGCAGUACGUAACAGCGCCCCCAGCCGUAUCGCCUCCGGGGCUGCUCUCUGCUGACGCUGCGUUAGGUUUAGAUUCGGAGCCAACUUUGUCGGUGGCGAGUGGAGAACCGGGUUGGCGACAGCCGCUGCCGCCGCCGCUGGCGUCACCACUGCUGCUGUUUGGCGAGCCGCCGAAGUUGCUGGACGCGCCGCCGCCGGUGCUGGAGACGCCGUUGGGACAUUCCGCUAGUAUGGUAUCAAUGGUCGAGGCUACUACUGCCGCCGCCGCCGCCGCCGUUACCGCCGCCGCUGGGGCCCCACCCUCCCCGGACGUGUUCUUCCAGAGGCUGCAACACUCCACCAUUAGGACCCCCUUCCCGUCGCAUUCAGGAGCAGGAGCGGAAGGGCCUGCGGUUGCCGCCGCCGCCGCCGCCGCCGCCCGCAUAGGCCCCGCUGCCGCCGCCGCCGCCACCGCCAUAGGGUCAAUGCCGCCCUCCUGCUCUCUGCUUCUCGCACCGUCGUCUUUUUCCUUUUUGAACUCUUCCCCCCAUUAUUCCCCCCCGCCUCCGCCUCCUCUUUCCCAGCACCAUCAUCAUGGGCGGCAGCAGCAGCAGGCGCUACUGCCCGGGGCUUCUCCCGCCCUGGCUCAGCUCCCACAUCAGCGGCGGCCAUCCCACCACCGCCGGCAUAUGUCGGCGGGAUGUGCGGGGGAGGCAGCGGGUACGGCGGGGCUGGCGGCGUACUACUACUCCCCGUCCGCUGGGUACGGCGGUGGCGGCGGCGCCAGCUGCCGCGGUUUUGAGGGCAGUACGGGGCAGUCGGUGCCGCCGGUGCUACUGCUGCCGGCCAGCAGCAGUAGGACGGAGGCGGCGGCGGCGGCUGCUACAGCCCCCUUGGGUGAUGAUACGGUCAUGGCUGCUGCCAUUCGGGAGGCGGCGGAAGCGACGGAUCAACCUCCGGCGGAAGGACGACCGGUCUGUUUGGUGAACACCACUUACAGCGACGGCAGCGGUGACGGCGGCAGCGGCGGCGGUGACGGCGGUGACGGUGACGGGGGCGGCGUUGACGGCGGGGGCGGUGACGGCGGCAGGGGGAUGGACUUAACGGCUGAAAACCCUUGGUCACCGAUGGCUUUGGGCGGGGAGAUGCUGGUGGUGGGGUUCGAAGGGGGGAGCGAGGAGGAGCUGCAUGAGAUGACGACGACGACGACUGUGAUGAUGGUGGCGACGGAGGAUGCGACGGAGGAAUUUACGGCAAAGGACGAGCCGGCGGUGGGGAUGGGAGUGGGGACGGGGACGGGGAUGGGGGUGGCUGAUUUGGGUUUGGGCUUAAGCUGCAGCGGAGGCGGCGAUGGAGGGGGCGGCGGUUUGGAUGUCCGGAUGGCGCACGGCGCGUGACGUGGCGACACGACACACCAAACCAUGUGCGCACAUACAUACAUACAUGCAUACAUACUAAUUGGGGGGGGAAAAGGGAUUUCGGACAAGGGGGGUAAUGAAUGAUGUUUUCGGAAAUGAGAGAACCGACAGUAAUAGUAGUACAAUCUAAACGAGAUGGUAAAUUGGAUAAUUGUAAUAAUAUGGGCUUCUGUUUUUUUCCAGGAUGCCGUACAUCACGGCAAAAACGAGUUGUACGGCUCAGGUAUUGAAAUUGGGACGGGGGAUUUUAAGGUUACGUGAGAGUUGAGAGAAGACUAAAUUGUUGUACGGAACUGGAAAUGGCGCGCGAAUAUGACUGGCGUGUGGGCGUGUGUGUUUUAGUGCGUGUGCGCGCUUAGUUGGGUUCGGUGUUGCAGCGAACGGGCGUUGUGGUGUGUCACACCACAUGUGUAUGUACGGGAAAGACCUGGGGUGUUGCCAGGUUGUUACUCCGCUUCCUUGGUAGGGUUGUGGGUAGUGUGCUUUCAGGGGGGAGGGGGGGGGGAGGAGAGGGGUGGGGAGGGGGGAAUCACCAUCACCCCAAUUCAAGGGGGGGAGCAACACGUGGUAAUGGGCCGCCGGCGUCCGGGGGAGUGAGAGGGGGAGGCAUGUCGAGCGUGUAGGGGAGGGCAGGGGGGGGGGGGAAGCAGCCCGGGGGGGAGAGGGUUUACACUAGGUAGGGGAAUACACCGAUAAACACAUCUACGUUUUUUGGCGGAUUUAAAUUUUGACGGAUCGGAUCUCACAUUUGGGUUUCGGUUUUUUUGCCGUACAUCGGCUUUGUUUUGUGUUUGUUUUCCCGCUGGCUGCCGUACAAUGCGGAAAAGGACAACGGUUGGCCGUUGGUCGUUGACGGGCUCCUGUUGCGCUUGCGUUAAAGAGACACAUGACUCGAGAAGCCCGGAUGGCAUGCGGUACGUUUGCAGGUUUCAGGGUUUCUAGUGAUGUUGUUGCCUGAUUAGAACCUCUUAAGGCCGUAAUUGUGCUUGUGGUUUUGCUGCGACAUAAAUGCAUGUGCAUGAUUUUUGCGUGUUUGCGCACGAACUGUUUGCUGUUAUUGUUGGUGGUGGUGGUGGUGGUGGUGGUGGUGGUGGGAGGUAGUGAGCUGCUUUGUUUUUGUUUUGUCUUUGUCCUGUUCUUGUUUUGUUUUGUUUUAUCGCCUCGUUGCAAUCCAUGACGUAAUAGUGAUGCAGUGUCGUCGCCGCCGCAGGUGCACGUGCUGAUGACGUGUGCAGUGUACGGCAGUUGAGGUAGUGCGUGAGGAGGUUGUGAUGGGUCCUCAAAGCCAGGCAAAAAUCCUAUGAAGAAGCAGAGUACAUACACACAUACAUACAUACAUACAUACAUAUAUACAUCUUGUAUCUGUGUGUGUGUGUGUGUGAGCGCUGAGUGGAUGCGCUGGGUAAGGUCUUUUACCGUCGUGAUGUACACAGCUGUGACGGCGUUUUGUAGAGGAGGGGGAGGGGGAGGGGGAGGACGAAGCGGCGGCGGCGGCGGCUUGAUUGUUAGCGAUUUGUUCAAUGAGGUGAGUGUUGGGGAUAAUGUUAGACCCGGGGGGGGGCUUCGUGUGUGUAUGUGUGUCUGUGCCUUUUUGGCUUUAAGAGCUUUACCAAGAAGAUUAUUCCAAAAGAAGGUUGAAACGAGAGGGGGUGGGGGGUUAGAGAUGUCAUAAUGCUGUCUGCCGCUGUUUGGUCGGCUCGGGCAUCGGAGGGGAUCGAUCGGAUGCCGCAUACAUCUAAAAUAACUUUUGCAAAAGAUGUUCCUGGGUGCAGUUGUUGUUGUUAAUGUUGUUUUGGUUGUCGCCGUCGUCAGCACCAACAAGAGUGAGUAAUGUGGUAAUAACUUGUAAUUUUCAUGAUGGACACGCAGACAGACAGACAGACAGACAGACAGACACACAAACACACCGGCGAACUAUCAUGUAAGGAACAGAGGGAGAUUACUGAUUCACCUUGGGAGCUAAACCCGACCUAAACACCGCCAGUCUCGCACGUCCUCCAUCUUCGCCUCCGCAGUCCCACACUCUUAAGUCGACGCCCGAGAGAAUCGUCGUGUGUACUUAAAUUAAACGCUCUACGGCUGCUUUUUUUGGCUCAAAAGGUGGACAGCAGCGAACCCUAAAACUCACACGGACACAUACACACACGUGCAGGCGUGGCUAGGCUCACUCAUGGCCCCUACCCAUCAGUCUAUCCUUUUCAUUAGCUUCAUUUGCUCGCGGUUCGUCCUCCCCCUCCCCCUCCCCCCUGUUUCCCCCUUCCCAACCCCCAAACACACACAAAGAUACCACAUUCCCACAUACCCUCCCCACCCAACCCCUCUUUCACGCACACACACACACACACAUACACACAUACACACACACACACACAUACACACACACACACGAAGCCGGGCCCACGACAUCAGCGGAAGGUUAUCAACUUCUACCAAAAAAUGUAUUAUAAAUCUGCGUUUCCCCUCGCACCACAUAAAGCUUCUGAACCUCUCUCACACAAAACACACACACACACACGGAUUUAAUCGUAUGGGGUAUGUGUGUAUAUGUAUGUGUAUAUCUGUGUGUAUGUGUGUGUCAUGGAAAGGUGAGCCGCGUGUAUGCGUGCGUGUUUUGCGUAUGUAUGUCUUACGUCACCAGCCCGGCGGCCGGCCCCGCACCGCCCCCUCCGGCCCCAAGCAACUCGAUCAUCGACAUCACACGACGUCGCAUCCGGGAGCGCAACAUGGCCUUCGGGAAGCGAGUGUGUGUGUAUGUGUAUGGGAGGGGAGAGAGGGGGGAGGGGAGAUGAGGGGGGGGAUGCUGUAGGUUCGGGUUCAAGGCUGUACAUGGUGUUUUUCUUAUAAAUAUGGAGUCUGCCCGGAGGAGUGUACCCCUCCCCCACAUACGACCCUAAGCCCCCCUCCCCCUUCCCUUCACCAUUACUCUCUCACCCCUUGGCUUCUCCCCCCUCCCCUCCCCUCCCACCCCCCUCUCCAUACCCAACCAUUUCCCCCCCUUGGCUUCCCCCCCUCCCCCCUCCCCAUCCCUCUCACCCCCGCACCCCUCUCCCACCUUGGUCGCCUUGACGUGCGACGACACGAAGUGGGGCAACGUGGCCAGGAUCCAAACCACCGCCUCCAUCUGGGGACCAGACACGUGGCGCCGCGUCAGCGUGAGGGUUAGGUAGCCGCCGUUGCAACCGCCGCCGCCGGGGCCCCCGACCCCCAUGCCAGACAGAUCCAAACCUGUGUGCGAAAAAACGUUUGCAUAUGUGUGAUUGUUUGUGUGGGUAUCUGUGCAUGUGUACGUGCAUGUGCAUGUGUGCGCGUGUAUGUGUAUGUGUCGGUAGGAACCGGGGGGAAAGAGAGGAGGCCGGAGAAGGAAAUACACACGCAUGGCCGAGGCGCGGCUCCGGGAACGGCGGGAAUGCGAUUGCCCGAAAGUAAAAUCCCACACGCAUACACACACUCGCACCCCCCUCACCCCCCCCUCGCUCACCUGCCAGCUCCCCCGGGGGCUCCUUCAGCUGAUAGCUGCAGGUGGGGGCUCGCCCCAGGGAGGGGCCUCGACGAGCCUCCACAAACUCCUGAAAAGUGCAUUAUGUACGUAUGUAUGUAUGACUUAAAUUACACUGUAUGUAUGUAUGUAUGUAUGUAUGUUGUUACAGGGUGGUUAACUUCGCCAGCGGCCCCUUUCCCGGGCAGUCCCUGCUCUCCCCUGCUAGAGGGGCACCCUAAUCCAUUCACCCCAUCCGACUUCGGAAUGUAUUCGUUGGGUUCGUAUGUAUGCAUGCAUGUAUCUAUGUAUGUAUGUAUGCAUGUAUGUAUCUAUGUAUGUAUGUAUGGGGGGAAAGGUUAUUAGAGAUGAUGGGAGGUGGUGAGGUGUACGGCAGGGGAGUGGGUUAGAUAAGGUAGAGGUGCACACUUCGCAGCUUGGGGGGAAAGGGGCGCGUGAUGUACGGACGCAGCCAAACACACGAGCUAUGCAUACAUGGUAAGUGGUACGGCUCUUAUCACACAUAAUAGACACACACAUACAUACAUACAGAACUACAUACAUACAUACAUGGCUUGGCGUUUCCUGGCUCUAUCCGACGAAUAAAGAUAUACAGUCGACUUCGCUGAUCUGGUCGAUCUCGGUAAUCAGUCAUUACAAUUACUUCUUCUUCUUCUUUGCUCUGCUGCUGCUGUUGCUGCAUCUUUGGCCCAUUUAAUUUUCUCCUCUCUCCCCUCCCCUCCUCUCCUCUCCCCUCCUUAUCUCUUCUCGCCUCUCUAGUUCAAUGAUCACCAAGACAAAAAGACGCCCACAUAUUUUACACACAGACAGACAGACAGACAGACAGACAGGUACACCUGCAGAAACGCCACCCCUAUGGCCGUGUCUUGUCGACCACUGAACCUCAACGGGAAGGUCAAGGCAACACUCUCCGAGGCCGGUUUGAUGACGAACACCUGCUUGGGGGGGGGAGUCGUGGGGAGACGGGAAGAGAGGAGCGGACAGACAGACAGACAGACAGACAGAUGGACGAACAGGUGGACGAACAGAUGGACACAGGCAGUAGAAGGCAGACAGACAGACAGGUGGACAGGCAGAUGGAUGAACCGGCGUGGGUAUGGAUAUGGAUAGACAGACAGACAGACAGACAAGUAGACAGACUGCACGACAACGCCAUCAUGGCGAUACGCCCUGCGGCGGUAAUCCCGGGCGUGGCGGAGGAGCCGUCGAAUACACAGAAUACAUUCCCCUCCACCUCCCCCCCUUCCCCCCCCUCUCCCCCACGCACCUGCCCAGGGGUAUUGCAGCACACCAAGGGGGGACCCGGCGCCAGUGAACCCGCCUCAAGGGCACGAAACACCUGCCUGCACGGGUGUACGGAUGUACGGCGUGUGUAUGUAUGUGUUUAAAUGAUCUGGAGUCACGAUGAAGGAAAUGCCAAUGUUGGUACGUAUGUAUGUAUGUAUGUACGGAGGCUGUACUACCUGACCUGAGCGGGUGGCCCACCAUCAGCAGCCGCAAUGACGCCAGGCUCCGAGACCAGCUGUCCUGCUGUGCUGCGCUCAGGCGAGCCAGCAGCGGCAAGUCGAUAUCCAGAGCCACGUGAUAACGGCCACCGGGGGGUGCGGGUUGGGGGUUGGCGGGGGCGGUUUGGGGGGCGUCGUGUUUUUCGUGUGUUUCUUGAGUACUUGGCUCUGACGCGGUGGCAAUCCCUCGAAACGCCGCCGCCACUUCCUCCACCACCUGCGGCCCUAACACCUGCGCUCGUUGAUGGUGGUGGUGGUGGUGAUAUGUGUGGGGGGUUGCGGUCGGGGUGGGGGGUUUGCAUGAUGAGGAGAGGGGGGAGAAGAGGCAUGCUGGAUGCUGACGACGAUAAUGAUGAUGAUAAGGAGUUACUCAGGAGUUACACAUGAUGAUGAUCCGCCUGCCCCUCUUUACAUUUUUCAAAUGUGAUUUCCCCCUUUCCACUCCUCAUCCGGGCCGUACACCCGACCUGCCUGUUGUUGGAAAGGACCUGCUAGCUGCGGCAUGGCAAACAGCAGCCGUAAAGAGCCUUCUGGCCCCGAAACCAGCAAAUACUCGCAUCCACCAAAUUCGUACACAUGCUCCUCAAAGACCUGGCGAGAGCAUGAUGUGGGGAGAUUUAUCGGGACGGGGUGAGGGGUGUGUAAAGUGGGUGAGGGCGUGUGGAGUGAGCUUGGCGUGGAAGGGAAUGGGGAGGGGUUGAAGGGAACGGGGAUCCCGCGCGACGUGAGGGUGAGGGUGGGGGAGGCUGAAGAGGAAAAGGCUGUAGUUGGAAGGUUGUAGUUUUCGUGGUGCCGUUGGGGUGCCAGAAAUCAGGAUUAUGAUGUUAGAUUUGUAUGAGAGAGGUGGCUUUCGACGCGAAUUGUGUCGUUAGGAGAGGGCGCAGCACGCGCAGCACGUGUCCCGUCAAGGUCUCGGCGACGACCAAUACGCGCUAAAAGGGUAUAGUUUACCUUUGGUUCAAUACCAGCUGCCUUCUGCUGGAUCAGCUGGAUGAUUCGGUUUUGGAUGAUCCGGUUCUGGCAGCUUAUCAUUGUGCCGCUGCCCUGUGACGCCAUGGUUGCUCUGUCUUGGCUACAGAAAGUGAUAAAAUUAUUACUUGGCAGGGUGCGACGUUGAAGUGUCGUAUUCUUCCUGUUCGUUUGUUUCCGUUUCCUGUUUCCCGCCUUGUAGGGUUGGUCUCGAAACUCAGGCACUCGGGCUUCCUUCUGGAAGUCUAUAGUCUCUCUAAGCUACAGCCCAAUAAUAAAAUCACACAGCUCCAUCGAGUCUGCUGUGUCGCUUUGCUAAAGCCAUGGACGAUGUCGACGACUGCACCGUACGUGAGCUUGACUUUGGCAACUUGGGCACGUUGCGGAUAAAAGAGUUCACAUUCUUAAAGGUAGAAUUGUUGCCGUGACCGGGAGCAACGAGGAUACGUUCUGCGCGCUGCGGAAAGGCGAAAAAAGGCUGCAAUGCUACUCGAAAGACAUAACCCAGAGGACCAGAAGGCCAGAGAAACGGGACCUGUGCCGGGCCCUUGAAGAUAUCAAAAUGAUUUUGGGAACGGACGUGCGGGGCCUUUGGAACGAAAGGCUUUUGCCGACCCUGGCUUGCCCUUGCCCUUUGCCAAGCGUGGCGCGUCGAUUUCCGUCCUUAAAGAGCUGUGAGAUGACAGGGGCGCCUUCUGGGUCGCGCAACUUCUUUGGUGCAGGAUGAUGCAGGGGCAGUGGUGUGGGACGCCGGUCUCGUGCUGUCGUACUAUCUAGCCCACCAGCAUCGCCAAGGUGUGAAUGAAUUAAUGAACGCAGCUUUGAAGGAAACAUCACUCACAUGAGCAUUUUUCACAUAGAUAUAUGAUGCAUCUGCAUUAUUAUUUGCACUGCACAAGCGGGCUUACGAAAGCGGCCUUCAUUCAACAGGUCCACCACCACAACCCAAUGUGGCACGGACGAGAGGCCGUCUCUCUCUCCGCCCCGCGCUCUCUCUCUCUUCCCCCCCAUCUCUCUCUCUCCCCCCCAUCUCUCUUUUUCCCCCGCUCUCUCUCUCGCUUCCCCCCUUCUCUCUCUACCCUGGAACGCACCGCCCUCCCUCCACAACGCACAAACUUAAGCUCCUCUUACCGGCCCCUGCUGCUGCUAGUACUACUGCUGCUGCUACUACUACUAUUACGGCUGCUGCUGCUGCUGCUAGUACUAGUAUUUUAGUAAGUACUGUAGCUGCUUCUAGUUCUACUGCUGCACAGCACCUCUUAGGUGUUCUGACCUGUCAUGUAAAAGUGCGAGUCGGUUGCCGGUUGUCGGUUUCCUACACCGCCCUACCUACCUACCUACCUACCUACCCACCUACCUGCCAUAGCGACUCCGCUACCUUUCCAUCCAUUCAUCCAUCUGUCUGUCUGUCUGUCUGUCCCGCGGUGCAGGCCGCCUCCUAGUCGCGGGCCGUACCUGCCUAGAGCUGGGCAGCGGAACGGGUGUGGUGGGCCUUACGGCCGCCCGCCUGGGCGCCGCUCUGGUAGUACUCACUGACCUGCCCCAUCUGGUGCCGUACAUACGACAAAACGUCCAGGCAAGACGACACCCUAUUUAAAAUUUAAAACUAAAAAUGAGAUCCGGGCCCCCGACGGCAUUGCAUUGUUAACCAAUUUCCAUAAGCCGUUUUCUCUUUCAUCGUUAGAGUGAAAAGUGCAUGUGGUGGCAACACGUGGCUGCUGACCGACCCAACAUACACACGUAUGUAUGUCUGUAAGGCACGUACACGCGCGCGCGCACACGUCGUCACACACACACAUAAUCUGCACACACAGGCACACACAGGCACACACAGGCACACACAGGCACACACACGUGCCUCCACAGCAGCGCGGCCCACUCUCCGCUCCUCCCCCCUUUUCGCAGCUUCAAUCGUGUGUGGUUCGUCUUUCCCCCCCUUUUCGGUCAUCCCACCCAACACCCCUCCAUUCCCCCAUGAAGCAGCCUCAUGUACCAGCCCUUGAGGGCCUGCAGCGGCGCACAUCAAAUAGAUAGCACCCCUGUUUCCCCCCUCAGCUCCCCCCGGCCCCUAUCCCCCCUUCCCGCGGCGCAAUAGCUCAACGGUCUUGAUGCUACCUGCAUUGCGCUGGCCUUUGAGUGGGGAACUAGCACCCAACAUUUGAAAGUGGAGGUGGCGGUGGCGGCGGCGGCGAGCGCCUCUACAGAGACGUCGUCGUCGCCGCCGCCGCCGCCUCCUGUCCCAUGGUCGCCCCAGGUAAUUCUGGCUGCAGAUGUAGUGUACGACGCAGCUGGCCGACACAGCCUGUUCCGUACACUGGCGCAGCUUCUGGCGCCGCCGGUUAGCACCUGUAGCGACAGCAACAGCAGUAGCGGUACUAGUACUGGUAGCGGCUGUAGCAGCAGUACGGGACCUGACGGUGAAGGCGCCUCCGCGGCCGGUCACCGGGGGCAGUACGACAACUGCUGCCUCAGCGGCGGCGGUUCCGGAGCUGCUGUCGGAACCAGCGACUGCGACAGCGGUGGAAGUGGCGGCAACGGCGGCGGCGGCGGCGGGGAGGGCCAUGACAGAGGUGGAUGCGGAGGCGGCGGAUGUGGCGACGGUGGCACUCCGGUGGUGUUUCUGAGCUAUGAGCUGCGCGCGGGUGCGGAUGAGCUUUCGAAGCUGUGUGCCCAAUUCGGGUUGGUGGCUGAGGAGGUGAGGUGGGGGGGCCGGCCCCGGGGCGGGCGUCUGUCUCUUUCUGUCUGUCUGUCUGUCUGUCUGUCUGUCUGUCUGUCUCUUUCUGUCUCUCUGUCUGUACAUCGUUAUUCGUGACUCGAUGCGCAGCGUGUGUUUCUGUUUGCAUGGCAGGCUGUGAUGGUCGUUGUAAUAAUCGCGGCCUUGGUGUCUACUAUUGUUUGUGAUGGUGAUUACUUCGCUGCUCUCCUCUCUGUGUGUGUAUUUCCCGCAAAUCCGAAAAGACGUGGUCCACGCCGGGGUCCCUGGGGCGACGUGAGUGGGACACCCGUCCGUACACCUGAAAACCGUACAUCUCCGUACACCUCUCCCACCCACACGAAGCGGAAACUGCUGCGUUGAAUGCUGCGGUCGCAAUCGCAGUCACAUCCCCUACCCCCUUUAGCAGUGCCCAUUACCAUAACCGAACCUGACCUUAUCUGAUCACAUCUAGGCCCCGUGGCACAGGUUUCGGAGCUGGAGCUGCACCCCUACUGGAGCUGCCCGGACAUCCGCAUACUCAGGCUGUGGAGGAAAGGGCCAAUGAGCAGCGGCGGGGCGGGGUGAUGGUGAUGGUUGUGGUGAUGGCAAUAGGGCCGGGGGCCGUGAUGUUGCAACGGUGAUGUUCCUGCGUCAACUGAGCAGUCUGCGCGCGGAUUGAGUAACUUGCGUCAACUAAGCAGCUGCUCGUGAAUGUCAAGGCAGCCCUAGUGCCAAAGUACUGUCAUCGACUGUGGUAAACUGUGUUAGGCUUGCUUUAUGGAUUUACGGGCUGUUUUUACACAUGGAAAUGUGUUUAAUCAUGUUAAGGCUAAAAGAGCUCUACUCAUGCAUGCUGCCUGGUUUGCAUUUCCAUCAGUUUCGGGGCUUAGCGGUACGGACGGAAAGACCGACGAUCGAUUUGAUCGUCAUUGAUCCUAUCGUCAUUGAUCCCCUGACGGAACUGUUGCUGGUUAACGGUAGGUACAACUUGUAACCUAUACGAUACGAUAUGCACCGAUCGAUUUUAUCUCAGCCGCUAGCAGAGAGCAGAGAGCACUGCUACACUCCUUCUGCAGGACGAUAAGGGUCUGGUCAAGUCCUGGCACAGCCGCUAGUACAAGCUGCCGUAGCUUGUGAGCUCUUGUGAGCUGUUGUGUCAGGUGACGCCUGACGACGGACUAAUGCCAGGCAGCCGCCUGACCGCAGCGGCAUGGAUCUUAUGCUGCCACCGAUUAACACGAAUUGCUAUAGGCCUUGAGGCCAGCGCCUUUAGAGGCCUUUCCUUAUUUAACUUUGAGAAAGUUGUUGUUUUGUGCUGCCGGGACUGCUGCCGACAGCAUCGGCUAGCUGUCGGAGAUCGGAGGUGGCAUUGACGCUGCUGCGGAUGGCCUAGUUUUUUUAUUAAUUAACCUGUCGCUAUGUUCCCUGCUACCGCUCUCAGCUUUCAAUGUGAAUAUCCGGAUCGUGUUGCUUAAAAGCGCAGUGUGAUUAGGCUGAGAACAUGGCAAAGGCCAAACGCCAUUUCACAGUUUCCGGAGGCUAACCUAAAGAUCCAAACUUGAAAUUGUGUAAUGCAAUGCAAUUGUAGAGCUGGGGAGCUGACUUUCCCCUCUAGUUACAGUAACCGUGAGAAGCGCCGAAAAACUCCAUAAUGAGAGGUGGCCUUCACUUCACGCUGGUCAUUGUUGUUAUACAUAAUUGAUCUAGACGUCAGCUUUCUUGACUGUGUAAUAGCAGCCUUGCAAGUCAACCGACGCUCGCAGUACUUACCGACACCAAGAUCGUUUUAAAGACCGGAAGUGCACGCGCUUCACUUCAGAUCAACUUCACGUAACUGGUUCCUAUGGAGCUUUUGGAAUGAAAACGCCUUCUCCCAAGCCCUACGACACAUGCUCACACGCUUUAAUUGAAAGGAGUGACUCCAGUUUCCAGCGCGUACUUCGAUGUUAUAGGAUAAGACAUUUUUAUAGAUCCCAUACGUAAUAAGGAAAAGCCACCUUGCGGCAAACCCUGAGAAGCCGUUUCGUUCGUUAUCCGCAAGACGGAAUCUGCACGGGAGUGCAUUUCACCGGGUAUGCUUCCCAGUUAUCGGCUACCACCUUUUUCUUGUAAUCUGACACGCUCCUAUAGAAUUAUGGGUGUUCCAAUGGCACCUCUCGACCCCUUAACCGGUACGAAGAUUCAUAAUGCAUAACGAUAUCGCAGGUCUCUUACGCGCAAAAUACAUUCCCUGAAUCACCUGUGGUAAUCAAAAUUCUCCCGAUGCGCUGUUAUACAGCUGCAUGCAUCGGUAUCAUCGCAAUGCCCUAAAGUUUCCCGGCCGGCAGUGGUACGACAGCUAUCCCGGGAGAAUACUUAAUUGGCCAAUGAGGCUGCAAUAAGUCAUAACCCGUAUGUUCAAGACGUCGUCUCACACGUGGUACGUAUUUUGGCCUAUUAACAACUGUCUCGGAAGGUGACCCUAGCCUUCUAUUCCUUCCGGUCUCCGUCGUGUCUCCUGCGAUACCUGAAUUCUCCCACGGAGGAAUCGUUAGCUACGUGAAAAGGCCGAAGGUAUGCUUAUGGGGUGUUUUGCUGUUCAGCUUUGAAGGCUGAUGUAACUAAUCGCAGACCGCCAAGAGCCCUAUUUGUGAGGUCUAGCGAAUUCAAUCUCAGGUUGCAGAGCAUUACAAAAAUAAUACAAUAUACUAAAGCGCUCAGGUCCUUGGCGGGCCGUGGGGGCCAUGGCCUUCCGACGCUUAAUCCCGUAUCGGUACCAUAUCGGCAGUCCUGGCGAUGAUUUGUGCAAUGUGUUCGUUCCUGCGCCGGCCUUACAGGUUGCCAGAAUGAUGUCCACAAGAUUUAACCCGUGCAAGAAGGGAAUUGCUUCCUCUUCCAAGCUUGGUUCGGCGGUGCCUCUACCGCCCCAUGUCAGCCGUAGGACUGCUCGCAUUCUAUGCGAGGCAACGGCGUCACCCGCGCCGGUUGCGCCAAAGUCUGGUGCUGCCGCUGUUCAGGUCAGUCCUAAUUUACAGCCUGCCGCUCCGUUUCUGGGAUGCAGCUGCCAUGCUUCAUAAGUUCGUUUCUCAAUCUUUGCACCCGAUAGGAAGGACAUUGAAGUUACUAUUUAAGCACCUAUUCCAAUUACUUAUAAUCGUCUUAUAAUCGUGCUUCCACUGCUUGGGUCAUGUUUGCGUGCUGUCGGUUUCGUCUUCACACGGCAGCCGCCUGCAACACCCGUCGCGCACGAUGCGGCCGUGAAGAAGGAGCGCGCGCCGGUCGCUGAUGAGCAACUUGCUGCGCUCAAGUCUCAGUUGAAGCGCGCGUCAGAGGCACAGCGCAAGUACUCCAUAUUUACCCAGGAACAGGUAAUUAUAAUAUACGUGGUCCUAGCAAUAGCAGCCCAUGCUGCCCAUGCUGCCCAUGCUGCCCAUGCUGCCCGUGCUGCCCAUGCUUGGAACGAAUGUUUCUGUUCUUGCGACUUGCUUACCAUCAUCAGCACAAAUCAUGAAGUGGGUCAGAAGAAUUUCAUUCGGGUAUCAGCCAUACUGCAACGUUUGUGUACAGUUUGCGUAUUCCUUGACGAGUCAAAUAUUUUGAGGUUUAGGAUUUAGGAAACCUCCCCGAACCCUCGAUGACGGGGUUCCACCCAAACCUGCCUUAACACACACGAAAGCAUUUACACACGAAAAAAUACGCGCACAUAUAUACAUUCAUAGACUUAUAUAGCAGGUCAGGCACUAUUGGUAGAGCACGCACCAUUGCCCCCGGGAGAUCCCGGGAUUGAGACCUGUCAGGGUCGAAAAUCCUUCCGUUGGUGGAAGGUAAUGUGCCCAUAGAUGUUGGAUAACCUGGGAUGAAGUUGACUUGCAAGCUGACCAGGUAUGCAGUUGAGCCGCCGUCGAUCCAGCAGAUUCCGUUGGAUGCUGGUGGUGGGUGCGGAACCUGAGCGAUCCACUGAGAAGUUGACUAGGGUGACUGGAUGAGGGUGCCCCGAAAUACCGGGGAAGGCAGGCUUUCGCCAGGUAGGGGCCGCAGGGUGAAGAUAUACCCCCCUGUCCCACACAUCAUACAUGCAGGUGGAUGACAUCUUCCGGCGGGCCGCGGAGGCUGCCAACGCCGCGCGCAUCCCCUUGGCCAAGAUGGCCGUGGAGGAGACGCGGAUGGGCGUUGUGGAGGACAAGGUAGGCGGGUUGGGGGGUUGGGGGGUUUGAGUUUAUAGGACAACUAGGACUUAACGUACGCGCCUACUAGGACUUAACGUACGCGCGAUUACUUGCUUGCUUGGGUCAAAUUUAGGGUGAAAACUUCGUUACCUUGAUAUACUUGACAUGCUUUGCUUUGUCGUCUUCGUGAACAUGAAGAGCUAAUAUCUAUCUAUCUAUAUUAUCAUAUCUUGUUAACAGGUUGUGAAGAACCACUUCGCGUCGGAGUUUAUUUACAACAAGUACAAGAGCACGAAGACGUGCGGCAUCAUUGAGGAAGACCCCGCUGGUGGCAUUCAGAAGGUGGCUGAGCCCGUCGGCGUCAUCGCCGGUGAGAUAGUGGAUCAGCGGAACUCGCACACACAUGAGCGUCUCUCAACUCUUGCAAUGCAGCAAUGGAAAAGCAUCAUCUUUAGACAUAUAUUUUUGUCCAUUUAAAUUUGAAUUUAUUAAAAAAAAUUGGUUUUAUAAAAAGUGGAGUGAAGUGGAGUGUAAAGUUAGGAAGCAUGCUUGCCUAGGUUACGAAAUAUAAAAGUUCCAAUACCAGGUCUUCACCUUGUUCGAUGACCUUGGAUGCAUCCGAGCAACAUACAGCAAUAUCACACAAGAAGCUGCCGCAUUUCACUUCUUGCUGCCACCUCCUCCUCUUGCUGCUGCAGGUAUCGUGCCAACCACCAACCCCACCUCGACCGCCAUCUUCAAGGCGUUGUUGUCGCUCAAGACACGCAACGCGCUCGUGCUGUGCCCGCACCCGCGCGCUGCCAAGUCGACCAUCGCCGCCGCCAGGAUUGUGCGCGAUGCCGCCAUUGCAGCCGGUGCGUGCGUGCCGGGUGGCUGGCCGGGUGGCUGCCUGGGUGAUUUAUGUCUUUGUCUUUUACUGCCUUUGCCCCCAAAGCCUCCAGCCGCCGCUUGCGCGACUUCCCGUCGCGUUCUAAACAGCACGCGGCAGCGGCCCUUGAAUUGCCCGCCCGGAUAUUUCUAUUGCUGCAGGUAACAUCGCAUAUCGUAAAACAACGAUUAAAAAUCAUUUAAUCACCACAAUGUGUAUAGCGAUAUGUUACUGCUAAUGUAACCUACAAUUAGUACGACUUCCCCUUCGUUUAACCUUCAUGUCCUUUCCCCCCCUCUUCCCCCCUUCUACAUUCAUGCUUCAAUCAUUUUUCCUUUCCCCCAUAACCCCCUCUCCUCCCACCCUGCCCAGUCUUUCCUGGCAUCAGCUUCACCCCCUCCUAACCCGCUUUCCUCCCCCCUUCUCUCCUAAUCCCCCAGGUGCCCCUUCGGACAUCAUCAGCUGGGUGGAGAGCCCCUCGCUGCCGGUGUCGCAGGCGCUGAUGCAGGCUCCGGAGAUCAGCCUCAUUCUCGCCACUGGCGGACCGGCCAUGGUGCGGGCCGCCUACUCCUCCGGACACCCCUCGCUGGGUGUGGGCGCGGGCAACACACCCGCGCUGAUCGACGAGACGGCCGACGUCAAGAUGGCCGUCAGCUCCAUCAUGCUGUCCAAGACAUUCGACAACGGUGUCAUUUGCGCUUCGGAGCAGUCAGUGGUGGUGGUGGGCAAGGUGUACGACGAGGUACGAGCGGAGUUCAUCCGGCGCGGCGCCUACUUCCUCAACGAGGAGGAGAAGGCCAAGGUACGGAUGUUUUCCUAAAAUUUUAUAAUUCCUGUCAUUGUUGUCCGGGAAACAAUUUUAAUUUGUGGUCUUAGGUAGGAAAAGAAAACGAUUCCAGAAAAAUCUCUUCGCUAUUCUGCGUUGCGAGUCUCGUUUGCUUGCUGUAAACAAAUAAGGCUGUCCCCUGUAUCCUGCAUGUGUACGUCUGUAUAUAUGUGUAUGUAUACAUGUAUGUAUGUAUUGGUCUUUCGUAGGUCCGUGCUGGCGUUUUGAUUGACGGCAAGCUCAAUCCCAACAUUGUGGGUCAGUCCAUUCCCAAGCUUGCUGAGCUGUUCGGCAUCAAGGUGCCGGAGGGCACCCGCGUGCUGAUCGGCGAGGUGGAGGUUUGGGGCGAUACCGAGCCGCUGUCGCAGGUACGCGCACCCGCCGGCGGAGGGGAAUUUUUGUGCAUUCCUGUUGGUUUUAUUUUUGUCAAACUUGUUGUGAAUAUCGGCCUCUUUUUAAUUAACUCGUGGAUUUUAGUUACCUAGUUGUCAGCUAUCCAUAAUUUUAAACUGGGCAAUUGCUGGAGCUGUCGUCAACCGCCGCGCUAAGUUUGAAUUUAUCAAAUAACGCGCCCUUUGUUUUCCUCUCGUGCCGUGCUGCGCGCAGGAGAAGCUGUGCCCCAUCCUUGCCAUGUACAAGGCGCCAUCCUUCGAGCAGGCCGUUCAGCUUUCGCACAGCCUGAUCAUGUACGGCGGCGCCGGUCACACCAGCGUGCUAUACACCAACCCGCUGAAUAAGGCUCACAUCGAGCUGUUCGAGUCCACGGUCAAGACCGUUCGUAUCCUGAUCAACACGCCGGCGUCUCAGGGCGCCAUCGGCGACCUGUACAACUUCCACCUGGAUCCCUCGCUGACCCUGGGUUGCGGCACCUGGGGCUCCACCUCGGUCUCCAACAACGUGGGGCCGCAGCACCUGAUCAACAUCAAGACCGUCACUUCGCGCCGCGAGAACAUGCUCUGGUUCCGAGUG
rnacentral:lncRNA from 1 species